GCCAACAACCCUCUUGAAAUUAAAGGUUAAGGAAAGCAUAGCAGUAGCUUUAAGCUAAGCACUUAAUUUUCAGCAAUGGCUUCUUCAGUGAUGUCCACAGCAACUGUUGCCACCGGCGCCAAUGCUGCACAAGCCAGCAUGAUUGCAUCCUUCAAUGGCCUUAAAUCCGCAGCCUCUUUCCCUGUUACAAGAAAGCAAGACCUUGACAUCACCUCCAUUGCUAGCAAUGGUGGAAGAGUCCAAUGCAUGCUGGUUCGUAAUAUUGGAUUUAACUUAUAUAUACUGACACAGUACAAGGAAUUUAAAACUAAUUGUAGUAGGUUAUCUGCCUUAAAUUUUUAAUUGUCAAGUUACUAAUCUCAGUUAUUAUGAACAAUUGUGUCCGUAUGUCAUUCCAAAAUUUAAUCUACACUAUUAUUUUGCCUUAAUUUCACCAAAUAUAAUUAUGUACAUAGGAAAGGAUAAAUUUCACUGACCCUGUUUUAGAUUUAACGUGUUACCUCCUCUCUUGAAGCUUGUUUAGCUAAUUAUUUACGUGAUAUGUGUAUAGGUAUGGCCACCAAUUAACAAGAAGAAGUACGAGACUCUUUCAUACCUUCCUGAUUUGUCCGACGAGCAAUUGCUCAAGGAAAUUGAGUACCUUUUGCAAAAGGGAUGGGUUCCUUGUUUGGAAUUCGAGACUGAGGUUAACAUCUCUCUGUUCUUAAAAUAUAUGAUAAUUAAUAACAACUAAUUAGUAAUAUGUUAUGUUGAUGUUGUGGAUGUGUACAGCACGGAUUUGUGUACCGUGAGCACCACAGGUCACCUGGAUACUACGAUGGCAGGUACUGGACCAUGUGGAAGUUGCCCAUGUUCGGGUGUACUGAUGCUACCCAGGUCUUGAAUGAAGUCCAGGAGGCAAAGAAGGCUUACCCACAGGCCUGGAUCCGUAUCAUCGGAUUUGACAACGUUCGUCAAGUGCAGUGUAUCAGUUUCAUCGCCUACAAGCCCGAAGGCUACUAAAUUCUCCAUGUUUAAUGUAUAACUUGGCCCUAUAUCUUUAAGGGAAGCUCGUUUAAAUCCUCCUCAAGUUUUUUCCCGCAGAAACUGUAUUGAUUUUCCAUUGUUUUCCUUUUCUCUAUUCAGUGUAUGCUCUUGGAUUCCAGUUGAGUUUAUGAGAACUAAUAAUAAUAAUCAUUUGUUUCUUUGCUUAUUUACCUUAUGAGACAUGAUUUCUGGUGCAUAUAUAUAUAUAUAUGAAAUGUUUAUGCUCUGCACCAAUUAUGAUAUAAGGCGAUAUGAACAGAGAAGAUUUAUUAUCCAGCCGAUCCUAACUAGUCUUGCAUUGAGGCAUAGUGGAUUGAUUGGGCGAAACCGACAGCGUACAUACAUUACGUUUUCAGUUAUAGCACAAACUUAAGAAGAAAUUGUCCGUAACUUUCAUAAUAAUGAUUGUUAAUCGACACAAUUGACAAGUUAUCUGUAACUAUGAUCUAUUUUGUUAUGCCAUGAAUUUCUUUCCCCUUUUGAUUAUCAUAUCUUCUAUAUGUAUAUAUAGCUCCGAAUCGAUGUAACAUACCAAUUAUCAACUACAUUUGGCAUUAUUAUAAGACAACUNNNNNNNNNNNNNNNNNNNNNNNNNNNNNNNNNNNNNNNNNNNNNNNNNNNNNNNNNNNNNNNNNNNNNNNNNNNNNNNNNNNNNNNNNNNNNNNNNNNNNNNNNNNNNNNNNNNNNNNNNNNNNNNNNNNNNNNNNNNNNNNNNNNNNNNNNNNNNNNNNNNNNNNNNNNNNNNNNNNNNNNNNNNNNNNNNNNNNNNNNNNNNNNNNNNNNNNNNNNNNNNNNNNNNNNNNNNNNNNNNNNNNNNNNNNNNNNNNNNNNNNNNNNNNNNNNNNNNNNNNNNNNNNNNNNNNNNNNNNNNNNNNNNNNNNNNNNNNNNNNNNNNNNNNNNNNNNNNNNNNNNNNNNNNNNNNNNNNNNNNNNNNNNNNNNNNNNNNNNNNNNNNNNNNNNNNNNNNNNNNNNNNNNNNNNNNNNNNNNNNNNNNNNNNNNNNNNNNNNNNNNNNNNNNNNNNNNNNNNNNNNNNNNNNNNNNNNNNNNNNNNNNNNNNNNNNNNNNNNNNNNNNNNNNNNNNNNNNNNNNNNNNNNNNNNNNNNNNNNNNNNNNNNNNNNNNNNNNNNNNNNNNNNNNNNNNNNNNNNNNNNNNNNNNNNNNNNNNNNNNNNNNNNNNNNNNNNNNNNNNNNNNNNNNNNNNNNNNNNNNNNNNNNNNNNNNNNNNNNCCUGUUACAAGAAAGCAAGACCUUGACAUCACCUCCAUUGCUAGCAAUGGUGGAAGAGUCCAAUGCAUGCUGGUUCGUAAUAUUGGAUUUAACUUAUAUAUACUGACACAGUACAAGGAAUUUAAAACUAAUUGUAGUAGGUUAUCUGCCUUAAAUUUUUAAUUGUCAAGUUACUAAUCUCAGUUAUUAUGAACAAUUGUGUCCGUAUGUCAUUCCAAAAUUUAAUCUACACUAUUAUUUUGCCUUAAUUUCACCAAAUAUAAUUAUGUACAUAGGAAAGGAUAAAUUUCACUGACCCUGUUUUAGAUUUAACGUGUUACCUCCUCUCUUGAAGCUUGUUUAGCUAAUUAUUUACGUGAUAUGUGUAUAGGUAUGGCCACCAAUUAACAAGAAGAAGUACGAGACUCUUUCAUACCUUCCUGAUUUGUCCGACGAGCAAUUGCUCAAGGAAAUUGAGUACCUUUUGCAAAAGGGAUGGGUUCCUUGUUUGGAAUUCGAGACUGAGGUUAACAUCUCUCUGUUCUUAAAAUAUAUGAUAAUUAAUAACAACUAAUUAGUAAUAUGUUAUGUUGAUGUUGUGGAUGUGUACAGCACGGAUUUGUGUACCGUGAGCACCACAGGUCACCUGGAUACUACGAUGGCAGGUACUGGACCAUGUGGAAGUUGCCCAUGUUCGGGUGUACUGAUGCUACCCAGGUCUUGAAUGAAGUCCAGGAGGCAAAGAAGGCUUACCCACAGGCCUGGAUCCGUAUCAUCGGAUUUGACAACGUUCGUCAAGUGCAGUGUAUCAGUUUCAUCGCCUACAAGCCCGAAGGCUACUAAAUUCUCCAUGUUUAAUGUAUAACUUGGCCCUAUAUCUUUAAGGGAAGCUCGUUUAAAUCCUCCUCAAGUUUUUUCCCGCAGAAACUGUAUUGAUUUUCCAUUGUUUUCCUUUUCUCUAUUCAGUGUAUGCUCUUGGAUUCCAGUUGAGUUUAUGAGAACUAAUAAUAAUAAUCAUUUGUUUCUUUGCUUAUUUACCUUAUGAGACAUGAUUUCUGGUGCAUAUAUAUAUAUGAAAUGUUUAUGCUCUGCACCAAUUAUGAUAUAAGGCGAUAUGAACAGAGAAGAUUUAUUAUCCAGCCGAUCCUAACUAGUCUUGCAUUGAGGCAUAGUGGAUUGAUUGGGCGAAACCGACAGCGUACAUACAUUACGUUUUCAGUUAUAGCACAAACUUAAGAAGAAAUUGUCCGUAACUUUCAUAAUAAUGAUUGCUAAUCGACACAAUUGACAAGUUAUCUGUUACCGUGAUCUAUUUUGCUAUGCCAUGAAUUUCUUUCCCCUUUUGAUUAUCAUAUCUUCUAUAUGUAUAUAUAGCUCCGAAUCGAUGUAACAUACCAAUUAUCAACUACAUUUGACAUUAUUAUAAGACAACUUUUUCACCGUAGAAGUAUCUCAGUUUUCCCUCACCAUAGUUAAGGAAGUGGAGAUAAAAGGAUCAUGUCCAAACCUUUUUUAUUAAAGAACAAAAUUGUGUAAAACCUAUUAUCUACUCCCAAAAUCUCAAAUUAAACGAUGAAGCCAUAAAAAUUUGGGAUAACUACAAUCCAACCUUUGGAUAAUCUAGUUUACGAAAUAGCCGGUAAAUGUAUAUGUUUGUUAUAUCUUAUAAGUAAUACGAUACAAACAUACAAAUAGAGUACACAUAAUCAAUGUAUAAAUUUUAUAUAAUUCGACCAUAUUGGUAAAUAAAUUUGUCAAACUGUACGUAUUGAUAAAUUCUCCUAAUAAUUUCAAUCAAAUAAAGCUUCAUAUCCUCCUAUUUUUUUUUAUAUAUUUUUUUUUGUAGUCGUCCACCAUAAUGGUGUUCCUUUGCUAGCCAUAAGGCCCAUAACGGCAAUGGGUUCAUGCAUGACGUUGACAUGUGUGGUCAUGCUAACAACUAGAUAGACCUAAAAAUACUGUUGUUUCCUUUUGUUGCCUUUUACUAAAGUUAAUGUGAAAUAUCAGGUGAUUCAAAAACAAUUUGGCCCAACUAGGUUUCCCUUUCUAUAGGUAAUAAUAUCACAUUUCUCCUAAAAGAGAAAUACGCACCACCAAAAAUGUAGCAGACAAAUCACAUUAAUAAGAAUACUCCUAAGAAUGGUUACUUAAUUACCUAAUUUGCAGUUGAUCUCAAAGUGAUUCUGUUUUAUUGAUACCAUUGAUGCACAAAGUUUAUUGAGCAACGCAUGUAUGUAACUUCAUAAUUUUUUUUUAUGUUGUUGAUGCUUCUUGAUUCAUAAUAGUUAAUUAAGCAUCGCUCUUGAGUAACUUAAUAAUUUUUUUGACACUAAUAAUGCACAAAAGUUAAUUAAGUACCACAUUAGAAUAACUUUAUAGUACUUUUUUGACACUCUUAUUGCACAAUAGUUAAUUAAGCACCGUUUUUGAUAACUUCAUAAUUUUAUUGACACUAUCGAUGCACAAAAGUUAAUCAAGCACCACAUUUAAGUAGCUUUAUAAUUUUUUUUGACACUAUUGAUGCACAAAACUUAAUUAAGUAUCACAAUCUUAAGUAACUUCAUAAUCAUUUUGACACUGAUGAUACACAAAAGUUAAUUAAACACCGCUUUUUAAUCAACUUUAUACCUUUCUUUGGUACAAAAUUAAUUAAUCACCACUUUUAAGUAACUACAUGCAGUAAUAUUUAUUAAGUUCCCAAUCUCAUCGAUCCUCUAUCCAUGCUUUACUUUUUGUUGCCUAUUUCUUAUGUACUAGCUUUUCGUUAGUCCAGUUUCAGGAUUGUAGGAAGAAAAACAUUAUUGGUUUUCAUUAAUUACUUUCUCUGUCUCAAAUUAUCCGUUCCAAAUUUUCUAAUUUGAUUUCUCAUUUUACUUGUAUUUUUUCAUUAAUCAAGAAGAGACAAAUUUUUUUUUUCCCAUGUUUUACCCUUUGCAUUAAUUACUUUUUCUUCAAAUUAAAAUGUAAACAUCAAUUAAUAGGAGUAUUAUAAUAAAUUAAACAUGUUAUUAAUUAUUUUUCUUAAUCAAUGUGUCAUCUUUAUUUGGGAUGGGUAAUUUGGAACGGAGGAAGUAUCUCAUUGUCAAAUUGGGGAGUAGAAAUAACAACACAAUGACAAAAUUGUCUAAUUCUCAUUCAAAACCAAAUUAAACCCCAAAUUUACGAAAUUAAGGUACGUAGCUUCUUUAUUUAUUUGAUACAACACUUGAUACAACUGUUCACAUAUCUACACUUGUUUAAGUAGGUGGUAAAAAGCCUCAAAUGGAGAGGCUUUAAACACUGCUCUUAGGUAAUGUCAUAAUUAUUUUUUUUUGAUGUAAUUGGUGCACAAAAGUCUAUUAAACAUUGUUUUUAAGUAAAUACAUAAAUUUAUUGAUAUUGUUGGUAUACAAAAGUUAAUUAAGCACCAUUUUAAGUAAUUGUAUUUUUGAUUUAUUGGUGCACAAAAGUUAAUUAAACACCAUUUUUGUGUAACUUCAUAAUUUUGUGACACUAUUGUUGUACAAAAGUUAAUCAAGGUCCACAAUUAAGUGUCACACCCUUUUUUUUUAACUCCAAAAUGAUUUGUUUUAAGGUUUCGAAAGUGUUUUUAUUGUUAACCUGACAAAAUAAAGAUUUGUUUCAAAAAAGGAUUAUUUUUAUAUUAAAAACUCAGAGUCGCCACUUGACAUAAUCCGAUGUGCCAAGUCACCUUUGAAAAAUCCUUUUCAAAACAAUUUGACUCUUUAAACUGGUUUGCGAACAGAGAUUCCGGUUAAGGAAUUCUGUUGACCGAGGGAAAGGUGUUAGGCACCCCCCAAUUCCAUGGUUCGACCAUGGUCGCUUGGUAGAACGUAUCGGCUAAUUUGACACUACGAAUGUAAAAAUCACAAAGGAGCACGUAAAUCAAUCAAAAAAACAAACCAAAUAAAAAGAAUAAAAGUAUAGUGUUCAGUCCAAUUAUACAGUUCCAAAAUAAAAAAAGCAAAAAUAAAUCCUAUCUAACCUAUACUAAUCCUAACUACGCUCCCAGGUUUUACCCGAUGCCUCGGGCCUUCCUCACGAACUUCUUCCACCAACAUAGUACGUCGGGGAAUUCCUCAGUGAAUAAAUACAAUGUGUCUCGGGGCAUUCCCCAGCUAAAUGAUACAUUCGAUCCAAAAGCAAUAAAAUCAAACCAUUCAACACGCAUUUCAAGCAUUCAAUAAUUCAACGAGCAAAACACUUAUUCCUAAAUAUUUGCCUACCCGAACCUACUUUUAGCUAUUCAUUCGAUGGCCUAAUCAUGAUGCUAUCCAUUUCAACAAUAUUCAGUAAUGAAUCAAGAUAAACAACCUUCGACUUAUUCGAUUAUCAAUUUUCGAUCCCAAGCCCCAAAUUCAUUCUUAAUGAUUAAGCCAAUUCUAUACACAUUUCAUCAAUCAAGUUUUCAACUCCAAAUUCAACAUCAAACAAACAAACAAUGAGGAUUCGAAUAUGCUCAAACACAAAUCAUUCGUAAUCACGGAAAAAUAAAAAAAAAAGAGAAGUUAGAAUUGGACCUCAAAGAGCUUUCGAUUGACUUAAUAAAAGAAAUAAGAGCCCGUCCAAGAACCUCGAAGAAUGCCAACGAAAGCCCAAUUCUUCGAAUCAAUCGAGAAACAAUCCAAGAACGCAAUAAACUCUAAAUUUCAAUCCGAACCAAAUAUAUCUAUGAGUGAAAUCGAUGAACAAGGCUAGACCAAACACUUAAGUAUCGGCCGAAUCAACCAAAAUCAGCCAAGAACGACGAACAACCAAACUAGAAUUUCCAAUCAACAAAAAAAAGAAAAUGGAAGAACCGAACCAACGAGACCAAGUUUCCGGCGAGCUGAGACAACGGCAGAAGGCUAUGUUAGUGGCAUUACCUAUGCUGCUGUAAUAUGUUAGGGGCUUGUACUUGCUGUCGUAGUAGAAUUUUUGGGGCUUUAUAUAUGUUGCCGUGGACUUGUCGGGGUGUUAGGCCGAUCAUCUUCACUGUCGUUUAUGACAAGUCGUGAGUGUGGAUUGAAUUGUUAUAGGAUGGUAUUUUGAACCUCUUUGAAAAUCUUAUUGAUAUUAUUUUAUGAAAGAUAUUAUGUACAUAUUAUUUGUGUAUCUUUGUUGUGCUUUGUAUUCUCUAACACUUAUUCCAGGGGUAUUAAAGUAGCGAGUCGAGUAUCUUACUGGGUUAUAUUUAUAUAGCUCACUCCUUACUUUCAUACGUACAGAUACGGUUGCAGAGAGAGAGGCUCGUGGCUGACUGUAUUUACGUGUGGAUUCUAUCUCUAAGGUGAACUUUCGCAUUAUUCGUGAAGGCUGUAAUUCAUCUCUCGUUAUUUUAGCUUAUGUUUCCGUUCGUUGAGUUUGUAUGCCCAAAAGUUGAACUCAUGUAAUUCUGUUUAGAUGCUCUAUGAACUCUGUGGGAUUUGGGUUAGAGAUUUGUUAUCUAAACUAUUGUAGUUUUCAUAUAUCGCUAUGCGAUGUCUUGUUGGAUAAUGAUCCUGCGUUGAUAAUUAUUUCGUGCACAUAGUGUUGUGUAUGUUUUUAUCUCAGUAUUUAUAGAUAUGGUGAAUGCAUAGAAAAUUGGUCCUCCCGGCAAGCGGUGUUGUCGGGAGCCAGUCACGCCUAAGGGUUAUUUUGGGACGUGACAGUGGGCUCAUCAUUUGUAGCCUAAAUUAAUGGGCUAGCCCAAUAAAAAUUGGACUUUAAUUAAAUUCACACAUGUUUGGACUUAAAUAAUUAAUCCAAUUAUAUUAAUCCGCAAUAUUUAUUUGGGACUAAUCUAUUUUUAAUUACCAUAAUCCAAAUUUCGUACGUAUUUCAAUUUAAUAAAAUUUCUUGCCCAUAAGUAUAUCUAAAAAUGAUUUAGAUUUUUUCUUAUUCACGAAAUAAGUUUCAUAUUUUUUUAAAAUGACUUUUCUCAAGGAAUUAGGAGAUAUAUAUUCCACAAAUGUCUCUACACAUUGAUUAUAUGUGAAUUUUUGUAGGAUUGUUUUUCCUAUUCAACAACAAUAACAACAACAACAAAUUCAGUGUAUUCCACCAAGUGGGGUCUGGGGGUAAAAUGUACGCAGCCCAUACCAUUACCUCCUAUGUUCGCAGUCCUAUUUAAAUUGUACAUAAAUAUAAAAAGCAUUUUAUCUAUUUUUGUUCCAUGAUUAAUGUCACUUUCUAUUUUGUCCAUCCAUGCAUAUAAUGCAAUGCCAUGUAUAAAAAAGGUUGAAUACAUAUACAAGCCCCUCAACUAUUCGACUUUUUCCGUUUAGGCGCCUCAAUUAAUCCAUGUACCUAUUGAACCCUUUACUUCUUCACAAAAUGAGUCAAUUGAGCCCAAUCGAUGACGCGGUCCUGACAUAGCGUGGCAUAAUGUGUAAUACACUCUCAUUUGAGAGAGUGAGAAACCAUAAUUAAUUAAAAAAAAUUAAACAUAAAAAAUUCCAACCAAUAAAAAAACAUAAAAAGAAGUUUUAAAAACAAAUAAAAGUAAUUAAAAAAAAAAGCUAUCAUCUUCUCUCUUCUACACACACACAUUCCUCACCAUUGAAACACACUAAACACACGUAACACACACAGAUUUUCUCUUCUACACAACACACAACAGAAUUGAUAUCUACAUACACAUCACAAAAUACAUAGUCCAUAUACGCACACAGCUCACAGAACCCGCACAACUCACAACACACGCAGCUACACAUAUACGAUACACACAGAAGAAUCGGGGAGAAUGAAGGGAAAAAAUAGUAGCAAAGGAGUAGAAAAACGAGAAUUCGAGGAAAACAGUGGAGAAACUGAGAGAAUAGAAAGAAAGAAGGUGCGAGGAAGAAACAAUCGAUGGAGAAAUAGUGAACGGAGAAGAAAGAUGCGAUUGACCUCAUCAGAAAUUUAACCCAUUUUUCUUUAAUUUCCUCUGUCACCGAGCUCGUUGGAGCUCCGGUGAAGUGAAAAUAGCGACCCAUCCCCAUUCACGAUCAAACCCUCAUUGGAGAUUAUGAAUGGGUUCUGUUGGUCAUCGUAAUACAAAUCAAGAAAUUUAAGGUAACUUAAUUUGCAAAGGGAGUAUGGUAGAGGUUCACUGGGUGAGUUUGUUUGAAGAUCAACAAAUACCAGUGUCUGCCAUGGUAGAUGGUCCAUAUCCAACGAAAUCUAGCUUUUUCCAAAUACCCCAAUACACUAAUUCAUUUGAAAUUAUUGUUGGGUAUUGUUUUAGUGGAGAAAUAAAGGAGUGAAGUGAAGAUGAAUAUUGUUGGGUAUCGACGAAAUUGAAGUGCUUCAAUGAUAAGGAAAGGGUUAUCGACGGAAUCAAAGUGCUUCAAUGGUGGGAAAGGGGUAUCGAAAGAAGAAGAAGAAGUUAUAUAUAUAUAUAUAUAUAUAUAUAUAUAUAUAUAUAUAUAUGUUUCUGUUGUGCAAAGAGGUGGGAAGGGGUGGGGUUAGGAUUAGGUAGGGCUGUAGUAGGGGGUAUUAAUGUUUUUUUUUUAAUUUUAAUUUAAUUAUAUUAAAAAAUUAUUUUUAUAAUUAUUUGAAUUAAAAUGCCACAUGUUGUUAUUUAAUUUGCCACUUUGCCACAUCAUUGGCGUGUGUAUUACAAGCAAUUUAAAUUUUUUGCCACGUCAGCAAAUUGGGUUCAAUUGAAACCAUUUGUGAAGGAGUAAAGGGUUCAAUAGGUACAUGGCCUAAUUGAGGUGCUUAUACGGAAAAAGUCAAAUAGUUGAGGGGCCUCUAUAUGUAUUUUGUCUAUAAAAAAAAUAAUGCAUUUAGUGGUCACUUUUCUAAUUAUUGAUCACUAAUUUGGAGGACUUCCUCUGUUCGAUAACAAGUAAAUUGUCGAAGUAUUGUAUAUCUAUUAUAAAAAGAAAAUUAAGAUAUAAAUUAGAUACUAUUUCUUAUUUUUGUCCUUUUCAGUUAUUAGCAAACAACACUUAAAAACUCAAAACAAUUAUCAUGAUAAUUUCUUCCAAUACUGACUUUUUAAAAACUAAUUCAAAACAAUAAAUAAAUAGGAACAAUUAAAUUUCUUAAAUUCAUGAUAUAAGAAAUACAAAAAUGAAGUAUAAGAAUAAAUGAAAAUUUCAACAUUAUUANNNNNNNNNNNNNNNNNNNNNNNNNNNNNNNNNNNNNNNNNNNNNNNNNNNNNNNNNNNNNNNNNNNNNNNNNNNNNNNNNNNNNNNNNNNNNNNNNNNNNNNNNNNNNNNNNNNNNNNNNNNNNNNNNNNNNNNNNNNNNNNNNNNNNNNNNNNNNNNNNNNNNNNNNNNNNNNNNNNNNNNNNNNNNNNNNNNNNNNNNNNNNNNNNNNNNNNNNNNNNNNNNNNNNNNNNNNNNNNNNNNNNNNNNNNNNNNNNNNNNNNNNNNNNNNNNNNNNNNNNNNNNNNNNNNNNNNNNNNNNNNNNNNNNNNNNNNNNNNNNNNNNNNNNNNNNNNNNNNNNNNNNNNNNNNNNNNNNNACCUUGACACCAAAACACAAGUUUCAAGCAAAAUUCAUGUUCUUAAUCUCAAUUUUCAUUAGUCCAUCAUGAUUUAUUUUUGGUAAGUGCAUCUUUGAUGGUGGAGCAAGUUUUCGAGUAAGUUUUCAUUUGAUGUUUGUUAUAUAUAUAUGAUACAUGAUGCUAACUAUUUCAAGCCUUAAUCCUUUUAUUUCAAAUCUGUUAUUACUAUUGUUCUAUUAUACAAAUUAAUUAAUUCAAGUUUUAAUCUAUUUUCUCUAGAUCUGUAGUUAAUAUUGUUACGGUAGUAACUAAUUCAAUUAUCCUUUGGAUAUCUUCUUGUUCUGCGAUACUAAUUAAUUAAAGUUUUGAUCUUUUUAUAUUAGGAUCUGUAAUUAGCUUUGUUUUUGAUAACUUAAAUUAAAGUUAAACCUUUGUAAUUGUUGUUGUUUUACUUUUCCUAAAGGUAACAAUAAUUUUUAGUGCUAAUUUCUGGUUUAAUCACUUUAUUUUUAUUGAUGAAUUGGCAGGCAGGAAGUGGAGAGGAGUCAAAUAAGUUGAAGCUCUAUUCGUAUUGGAGGAGUUCAUGUGCAUUUUGUGUCCGAAAACCACUCAAUUUGAAAGGUUUUUUAUUUUUUAAAAUUUUUACGAUUGCUUUCUUGUUCAGAGAAAAAAAAGAAUUAACCCCUUUUCCUAUUUGUCGUCGUGAGGCAGUGUAGUUAUAGAAAAGCUGAGUUUAGAUUAUGUACAGAGUUUGUUUAGUAGAGUUCCACCAGUUCACUGAUGAUAACCUGUAGACGUGUAAAUGUAGUAAGUGGUGUUUUUGCAUCAGUAAUCUGGAAAUUCGAAUAGUUGGAGAUGAAAAACAAUUGUCUUGGUGUUAAUGGUUCUUUUUCACUAUACUAAAGAAGGAUGAUUUCCAAAUUGUUUUGUUCCUUUUUACUGAGUGAAUAUCUCAAAGUUUAUUUUGAAAUUUAGAUGUCCGACAGUAUCUGCUUUGGAUUGAUGCAAUAAACUGAUAUUCAGACCAUUCUUACAGUGCAUUUCUUUUCAAGUAGAAAAAAUGUGUGACUAAGUUGCUACCGCAUUUGACUGCAGAUAUACGGAUAUAAAAUGUCACUGUGGGCAGAGCACACUACAACUAUAGAGCAAUUUUUUGAGCGUCCAGAGAGUCUUGAAUGAGUGAGACGGAUGAGAGUAUUUGGUGAACACAACUGACUACAGUACACGGCUGAUGAAGUCACUGAAAUGAGAGGCCACUUUCUUAAGUAUCCUGUUGAAAUUGAUCGAACGGGGACAGUUAAGUUGCUCCAUGGUAAGUUUUUUCCCCUCAUUCUAAGCUUGUGGGGGGAUAUUGUUCUAUCCUUCCCCUUUUAAUAGAUAUAAACUAGGAAAUAGUAACUUGUUUGGAUAAUGCAUUACAGCUGAGUUUUUGGAGCUCACUAAUAACAUAGUUCUUAAGUCUUAACUAUGUAAAUAUCACUAUCAUGUGUUUAGAAUGUUCGCCUUCCGUUAUAAUUCAUAACAAACUCUGAAUAGCAUAUAGAGACUUAACUGGAUGAAACUACAUAAUAGAGAUUUAAGAGAGUGAAAGACAGUAAUGAUGUUUUAUUUUGAAAUCUUGAAGAUCAUGGAGAUAAUUAUAUUCAAAUAUGAAAAAGGAAAAAAAAGGAAAAAAGAAAAAAAAAGAAAUAAAAGAGAGAAAAUAAAGUGAAAAAAAAAUGAAAAGAAAAUAAAAUAAAAAAUAAAAUGAUAAAAAAAUAAGGGUAAAAGAUAUGACUAUAUUUGGAGGAGAUGAAAUAGUGGAGUGAAAAUAGGAAAAUGUAAAGUAGUGAGAGUAAAACAUGCACUUCCCUAGUUAAUGAUUUAAAUAAUGUUACUCUUGCUAUAAACUGUAAUUUUACAAAAGUGUUGUCAUUUAUUGUAAUUAUAGUCUUAAAUAUGCUACUUUCUGUAAUUUUUUUAUUUCAAAAUGCAGAACUGAGGCGACCAGGAUCAAAAGGACAUUGCAAACAUUGUUCUCCAAAAUAAGCACACCUAAGUUGAUUAUCUAUGAAUAUAUCUUGUAGCAAGGAGGAUCGACUAUAUGUGUACCCGGUAAAAACUUUUCACCAUCCUGNNNNNNNNNNNNNNNNNNNNNNNNGUUGACACGAAUGUACCCCUCUUUUCAACUCUAUAAUCACUUGGUAUAUAAACAUUAAAGUCUUUCUAGAAUCAUGCAAACGACAAAUUGUUUUCAUGAAUUCGUUUUCCUUCUUCAGGCCAAUCAAUACACCACUCGGAUCAAAAGUGAGUGGCGAAUCAAUUGCCACUUUGCUGACCCUUGUAGCUCCAUCCCUUAGACUAGCAGAACUUGUGAUGUUCAACAGAAAAAUAUGUAGCCCAACUGCAACCCGGAUUGUUGUAACCAAGCUCCUUGCAAAUUCUACUAAACCAAAUGUUCCUAGACCGAAAAUUCCUAUUUUGACUCGACUGUUGGUUGACCAGUUCACUGCCAACUCUAAUAGAGUACCUUGGAACCAUGUAACUUGGCUAUUUGCAAGUCUACCAUAGAAGUUAAGACAACUAGAACUCAUUAUCCUGCAGAUGUUGUAGUCCUACAGACACCUCACUUUACAUAGCUUAUAGACAAGGUGAUAAACAACUUUUUCCACAAUGGUAUGAUACUUUAGAAUGGUACUACCUGGAUCAAAUAGCAAUGGUAAGAAAUUAUGCAUUAUAGGAACUCUCCUUGUCUUUGGAACACUCAACUUCAUGUUGAACCAGGUAGUAUAACCUCUAUUUUCAUACACGCCACAACUCUUAUUUAAUGCCAUAGAAUAGAAGUUUUCCUCCUCAUUGACAAAUGUGACAAAUAACUCUUUAGAUAAAAUCGUCACAUCAUGCAUCAUUUUGUUCCUUUCGAGUAUUUCUUGAAACAAGACGCAUAUAACACAAUCAUUAUAAUAAAGGAAAAUAAUACCCACAUCUUCAUAGUCUAUCCAUUUCUCUACCAGAUCUGAUUGUGUACCGGGGUCUUUGAGGCCAAUAUUAACAAGAAGGUACAGUAGCUUUGAAGUCCAAUUAACCUUAACACUAAAAAUUUGUCCAUGAACUUUUGACAAAGUAUUCACUGUUUUGACUCUAAAGAAAUAUCCUUGAGCACUACCUACUUUCAUUUCUUUCAUUUUCUUUUUCAGUAAUGCCUCUGCCAUUUUGCAAAUCUGUAAAGGUGUCAGAAUCCUUGAUGAUGCUUCCACAUCUAUAUUUUUCUCUUGUUUCUGAUUGUUCGACUACUCCAGUGUGGCUUCAAUACGAACAAUUUUGGUGGUUUUCACCCAUGCCUCAACUAUGAUACUAUCAGUCCACUUAUUGCACCUUUCAGUGAGACAUACACACUCACUAGAUUUAUCUACUGGCUUAGAAAUCUCAGCACCUGUAAUUUUAAUUAGUUCUGAUGCGCACUUGUCCCAAUCCUCUAAUUUUACAACAACUGGUGUUGGUAUCUAUAACACCUCAAUUUUAUGAACUAGAAUGCUACACAGUGCUCAUGACCCCGAAGGACCACAGGCUAACCCAUGACUGAUAUCUGUACCUGUAUACUGCAUAAUAUAUAUAAAAUACGGAAACAUAAACAUAAAAGGCCAUAAGGUUCGAACAGAAUAAAUGUCUGAUAACAAAAUGUCUGAAAAAGGUAUAACAAUACCAAAACAAGUCAUAAAUACUGAAAAUAAUGAGAUCUGAAUAUCUAAUCUGACAUCUAGUCUGAAAGCCUCUAACUGAACUGAAUAAGGAGUUGAAGGAACAUGUCUCCAAAUAACUCCAUCUAGCAACUGAAUAGUAAAUGUAGCAAUAAUCAUAUCAUCCUCGAAUGAGAAGGACUCACUACAAACUCUGAACACUGGAAUGAUACUACUGAUCUAGAGCCCGUGCCUCUGAACCUAUGGUGUAACAUAAGAGAAAGCACCAUAGCGCAAAUGCAUCAGUACGUCUGAAUGUACUGAGUAUACGAGUGAGGUAGGCUAAAUGCAAAGGGUUAUAUGCAUGAAAAAUGCUAACUAAUAUGAAUGUGAGAAUACACACAUUCAUAAACAACUAUAACUAAACUCGUGAUGAUGUUGACUACUGAGUCUGAAUCCUGACGAAAUGACUUUACUAUUACUGAGGUACUAAAUAGAUUAUUGACUAUUUUUGAUAAUUCAAAUUAUGAAGAACUGGUUUGAAUGACUGUGUCUAACAGUCGUGAAAUUGAAUACUAGUAACGUGAACUAUGACAACUGAUAUAGCUGAUAUAAUUGUAAUGAUCGAACUAAUCGAUAUAAUCGAUACUGAGCGACUGUAUCUGACAGUCUAAGUUCAGAUAGAACUAUCUGAGUUCCAUUCUACUUGGAGUAACUAAAUGUAAGAUCAGUCCUAUGUAGCGGGUGAUCAUGAGUAUGCUGAUAAUAAGGAUGAUUUGACUUAGUUUGUGAUCAGUCCUAUCUAGCGGGUGAUCUUUAAAUCUAAUGAUUCUGAUACUGAUUAAUCAUAGUUGAGAUCAUUCCUAGCUAAUGGGUGAUUUUGAAGUCUACUUACAAUGAUAAGCAUUGAUUAUAUCAAACAGUACUAAAUCUGUACUAACACGGUAAGUUGACUGUGUCUGAAAGCCCUGAUUCUGUAACUGAAAUUGUGGGAUGUGUUCAUCUAACUGACAUGCCCCAAGCUAAGCUGACUGGGGUCCAAUCUCUACCCUGACUGGAAGGGUGUCAGUACCGUGUCACCAGUAAAGACAUCUGUUGUAGAGUCAGUCCUAAUCUAGCAGGUGACUCCUGGGAUCAGUCCUAUACAUAUAAAUGUACUAAUGGGUGACCCCUGAGUAUGUCAUUCCUAUCUAACGGGUGACACUCGUACCUAUGCUGGAAACGUAGUUCUGGAACUUAGGAAUUGCUUCUAGGGAUCUCAGUCCUAUUCUAGCGGGUGAGCCCCCAUCCCUAGGUUCGCUCGGUGCUGAAUCCUACUCCCAUCUGAAAGACACUGAACUGAAUAACUAGGCUAAACUAAAUAACUUAACUUAACUGAUUUGCUUAACUGAUACUAAUUAACUGAACUGAAAAUAGUGGUAUUGCUUAGCUUUGCUGAAAUUGAGUUUACUGGAUUCUGAUGACGGAUGAAAUAUAAUGAGUUCUGAGGACUGAUUAAGAGUACUGAAGUUACUAAGAUUUACUGUGAUUACUGAGGUUACUGAGCACUGAGAUUAUUGAGGAUACUGAACUACUGAGAUUACUGAGUUUUCCUGAGUUACAUGACUGACUGAUUUCUAUAGAUAAUGGCUUGACUGAGAGUAUCGUGAAAACAUGACAUGGCUCUAGGCACACAACUAUAUUUUUCGGGUACAAGUACCCCCAGGACUCGAUGGAAGGAAACUGACACACACGACUGACUUGAUCAUAAGAGUAGAGUCCAUAAUCCACAAUAUCAUAAAUAAGGGAUUUCAUACUAAGCAUUGUUCUCAACAAUCUAUUUCAUGGAAGGGAAUUUCAUACAACAUGUAUAUACUUGCAUAGCUUUCAAUAUCAUGCUCAUUACAUAUUACAACGACAAUUCAUAAUAUCAUAACUUGGUGAAUUUCAUGAAGUACAUAGGUAUUCUACAUCUUGUACAUGAGUGGGUUUUGCAAGUAAGCAUAGCAUAAUUCCAAAAGACUAGUUCAUGAGUAAUCCAACAGUGCUCACAAGACACAUUAUCAACAUAGAUGACAUUGAAUCAUAGAGGCCUAUCAUGAAUCCUUCACUUAGUCACAAUUUAGCUAUAAUGCAUGAUUUCUAGUCUCUUAGGUAUUUUAUCAAACACCUUACAUGCACAACUUAGGCAUAGGUGUAAAUCAUACAAUUACUCAUCAUAAAUAAUCAAACUUACAUGUUUUCAACUCAUCUGAUGUCAUAGAUUGAUAAUAACACAUAAAGAUUCUAUCUUGACAUCAUUCAACACAUAAACAUAAUCAACAAUCCAUUCAUAACAUGAAAACCAUAAUAUAUAGUUUUAGAAAAAAAAAGGGUUCUUGAACUUCAUCGAUGAAAGGAGUCCAUGAAUGAACAAACGCAUACCUUAUAAAGGAAACCUUGAUGAUUUGCUGGAGAGUUCUUGGAUUGGGAAAUUUAAUUCUUGGUUAUCUUGGAAAAAGGCUUGAAUCUUGCUUUUGAGAGAUGAGUUUGAUGGAAACCCUAAUCUUAUGGUUGAGAGUAUAAGAGAGGGUUUUUGAGAUCCUUAACUGAAGAAAAAUGGGAAAAAUUACGUCUCUUUCAGGUUAUAAGUCGUGGAAGGUUAAGGAAAUGACCAAAAUACCCUUGCAAAAAUGCCUUUGAAUUGCUGGAAAAAUAUACUUGACGCCAUCCAUGACAGGCCGUCAGGCCGAGAUAGGCCAUCACGAAUGGUCAUCACAAAAGGGGUCCAAAUUCUUGAUUUUUUGCCCAGGGCUGACGGCGUCGUCAGAAAUGUCAUCAGAAUGUGACGACGUCAUCAAAAAGGUCGUCAGAAACAUCGUCACCGUUUUCCAGCUUGACAUGCUGGAAUAAAAUGGGGAUAACUCUUUUCUCCGACAUCGGAUUUAGGCAAAAUUGGUAUUGUUGGAAAUAUAAUUCAAUUAUCUAUUUGUUGAUAGGUCAUGAGCUCAAAAAUUCCAAGUAUAAUGAGAGAUAUGCUCAUUUGAAGUUGACUAUACCAAUAUCCUUCUCAAGAUUUCAAUCGGUAAGGAAUGUUUUGAUUCGUCUGAUAGUUGGGAGUUAUUUGAAGCCUUAAUAUACAUCUAACUUACUCAUAAAAAUAUAAAAGAACCAUGAUGUACUAUGAAUGAGCUUGGUACAUGGCUCUAAUAUUGGUUUGGAUUUUUUGGGGUAUUACAGUAGCUUUGCUUCAGCAUUUACAACAUUCAGAAAUAGAAAUCCAUCGACAAAAUUGGAAAGCAGAACUAGACUAAAUGAAUACACACCCAAUUUUUCCCUAUCAUAUAAAGCCUAAAAAACCUGUCCAGUAUCAACCCAAUUAUAAAUGAAUAAAACCAAAACAUGUAGGAGUGAACCAAUCGUUGCAUGAGGAACCCAAAAUGCGACCAAAAUAUCCCCCUCCGUCUUUAUAUUGAAUAGCAUAGAACCAAUCUCCAUGUCCAGAAGUACCUUAAUUGAAACUGAUGAAGAUGCAGACUUAAGGUGUUUCAUGACAUUAUAAUAACCGGACAGAUCAUUUAAACCCAUCAAUUUUGGUAUGGUAUCCUCAAUAGCAAGAACAUAAAGUCGUAAAUAUAGAUGUGGGUUCAGGAUCUCAGUUUUCGUGGUGUUUUUAUUUUGGAUGGAGUGAAGUUCAACUAGAACUUCAGAUUCGACCCAUUGAGGACAUUCGUCGAACUCCUGGUCCUUAUUGUAUUCUGAAUCAAUCUUACUGCUAUUUUCAAUCUUUAGCAGUUUAGCAAUAGCAUAGUCAUCUAAAACCACUUUAGUUUGUAUUUCCUUUACAUUUAUUUCCCUCGAACAUACAUAAAGACAAAAGCAACAUUGGCAGUCAAGGCUGCAUACACACCCAUAGACGCAAGAGUUGCAUUGGCAGUCAAUACUGCAUUUGCAAUUCUUACACCAUCUUUGAAAUUAUUUUAAAUCCACAACUAUUCCUGAAACUUCAUCCAUAGGUGCCCUUCUAUUGGCAUUGUUUCGUUCAACCAAUUUAACCAAAGUUGAUGAUUCCAUAAACAUCUUCUUCGAAUUACUACCCAUAGUCGAGACAGAUUCGUUUCUCUGAUACCAAUUGUUAUGAUCCCAAAUCAAAUCAUAACAAAAUUGCUGUAACCAAACAACCAACACAGUAUUUUUUGAGAAAUUUUCUGUUUAUAUCGAAAAAUAGGGAAAUGAAAUUUAAAAUAACGAGAAAAUUCUAUCUAUGAAGAGAAAACAAAUUUAUAGAGAACUCCAUGAAUUAGUCGAUCUGCUGGGGAAGAAGAUGAGAAGACAAAGUUAAAUUUAGAUGGGGAUAGAAAGGAAUUGGGAAGGAAAAGAAGAACAAUUGAUUUACCAAAUUUUAGUUAUGCCCUUCUUUCUCCUAUGAAGUGUGUAUAUAACCACCGUGCCAUAUGGCAUCAUCACAACCCUUGCGAUUCUUUUAAACUUGAGUAAUCUUGACCCUUUAUUCUCAAUCUUGUGCAUUUCUAUUUGCUUUCUAUUCCCAACUUUGAAUCCAAACAACUAACAUUUGAUCGACUAUUAUUGAGAUCAUAACAAUCAGUGCCUGAUUUUUCAUCAACAUUGAGGAAGGAGAAUCGAAAGCCGCCGCCUACUAUGAUGCCGACUUUGAAGGAGAAGUCAGCUACUCCGCCUCCGUCUGGUGCAAAAAAUGGCAAGUUUUAUGAGGUUGUUGGGAGUAUUGGAGGUAGCAAAUUAGUGAAUUCAGUGGAGAAGAGGAUUGGGGGUUUGAUGACUAGGAAGAGUUAUGCUAAUGUGGAGGAACUCAAGGGAUUGACUUCUGUUGCAAGGACUUCCAUAAUGGUGAAAACAGAGUAGGAAGAACUAACAGAGUUGCUGGCAGGACUCUUCUUGGUUACAGACAAUUAUGAUUGUUACCUCUGAAGAAUGAAGGAGAAUCAUUCUUCAUGUGGUUUUGAUUCUUCGAUCUUUUUUACAUUUUAUUUGCCUACAAGGGAGUCUUGGUGUAACCAAUAAAGUUGGCAUAACCGAUAAAGUUGCUACCAUAUGACGAGGAUGUUUCAGGUUCAAGCUAUGGAAACAUAAUCUGCUUACAAUAGACCCUUGUGGCCCAAAACCUGCACAUAGCGGGAGUUUAGUGCACCGGAUAGUCCUUUUUACUUGCUUGAAAGAUUGGUUUUUGAUUUGCAUUUUCUUUUUACAAAAGGUUGAUUUUAUAAAUUUGUCUUAAGAGUUGUAUAGAGCAAUAGGUUUGAAUCGGACCGACUCAUUGUAACCUACUAGGAAUUAUAGAAAGUAAUUUGCUUAUGGAUUGAUGAAUAUUGAAUAUCAUAAUAGUUCAUAUGCAUCCAUUUAGGCUUAUUGGGUUUCCUUUAAAUUGUUCUUACAUUUCAACCAUUUUUCAUUUUUUGCUUGUAAUGUUCUUCUUCAAACAGAUGUUCACGAAGGGAUUGUUCUUAAUGUUCAUAAAUGCAAAAGCACAAGUAUAAUAAGUAGAAUCAGAUGCAGAAUCAAUGAUUUGUACAAAAUAAUUUGCUUGACAUUAUUGAGGCAAGAGUUAUGACAUGAGAACAGCACUGAUAGGCUUGCAACAAAGUCUCAAAAAGAGGAGCUACUAACAGUUCCAUCCAAAUUUAGCUAGAACUAUAGAGGUCUAAAACAACUUCAUCUACUAAUUCUUGGAGAAUAUGCCUAGGAACUUCUGUGCCACAUUCAUAUUCUUCAAUCUCGAAGUCAGUAGAGGAUGGGUUCCCAUUCUAUUAGCUCAUCUGGAUUCAAAUCAAGAAUUCUGUCCAAUCUUCGACCUCUUCAAUAACACCAGCAAUCAGAAUCUCUUUGGUCAUACUUGAUGGUAGUUUGGUGAAGGUUCUGAAACCAGAAUUAGAGUAUCGAGCAAAUUUUGAGUCUCGGUACUCUAAUAGACAAUCAAAGGCGAAUCCUUUAAGCUAAUUCAUUUGUUUUGGGUCGUUAAAGCCAAGCAACUGACCAACAUUCAUCCACAGAAGACUUGAAAACAUUUCAUGUUCAUUGAGGAGAAAAUAGCUCACAAAGAACCCAUCCUCUACAGGUAGAGCCUACUGUUGAGGUGUAGUUCCAAAUAUGAGUUCAGUGUUCAAAAUGACCUAUUUUGCGUAACUGAGUUUGCUUUCUUUUAACAGAUCAAUCUUGCUUAGCACUCCAAAAACGCUAUUAAAAUGGUCUGUGAUCAGUUCUCUACAACUCUUCCUGGUGGAUAAUGAGGUCUCACAAUCCGAAAGAUUUCUAUCAGCAUCAUCAAUAGUGUCCACUUAUUCAGUAAGCACUUUGUCCUCUGGAAGUAAACAAGCAUAAUAUUUAUUAAAAGCAUGAAAUCCAAGUUCAGAGUUGUCUUAUUUUUUAAUUUAUGUAUUUGAGGGAAAGAAAAGAAGUAUGCAAAUAGUAAAAUAUUGAAUCGGGGACCAUACUUGAGCUACUAUUGGGACUGCUGGAGAGGUAGCUGUCAGUUGAAAAGGCAGCUUCAAGAACACAUCCUGAACUAUGGUGAUCAAGUGAAUUCCCAACAAAAUUUGUUGCUUCUGAAUCUAGUAUGGCCUGAGCAUGAAUUCAAAAGCAAUAAUAAGAUUCAGAAAAAUAACAAUAGGUUCAUAACUGAAGCAAGACAUACUAAGAAAUUUUUAUGCACUUGAAAAGCAAGGAAGGGGGGAAAUGCUGAAUAAUAGUACAAUAACUAAACCUUUAAAUAACACUCUUUGGUCACAGUAUAUGAUGUGGAUUCCCUGAUAGAGAUGAUGCUAAAUUUGCGUAAUCUGUAACUUUUGAUGUACUAGGCUUUGCUUGAUUUAGUCGUUCUAAAUUUUAUCAACCAUUGUCUUUUUCUCUGUGCUCUGAUUACAUAUUAUAAACCUAAUAGAAGUGUUCUUCUGUAGCAUAGUGUGUUGUAUAAGUUAUCUUGACUGCACAUGCACCUAGUAUUAGUUUAGUAUGAUAUGAUGCACAAAGGCAGGAAGAGAACCAAUUUCAUCAAAUGAAUUUUAUGACUAUCCAGAAGUCCAAAGCUGUUUAACCGCUUAAGAAGGCAUAGGUAAUUAAGUUGCUUCAGAUUUAAAAGGGAAUAUAUUUCACAAGAGGUCAUUCAGUAUUUCAUUCGUUGCAACUUCAGAUAGAUAACAUUUAAACAUCUUACCUGGAAAUUCAUGCAAGUAUUUCUAGAAGAUACAGCACCAUCAUCACAUAAAUCUUCUUUCCUGCUAGGCCUUUUAUUUUGUGCAACAAAAUUUUAGGUAUUAUUCAUAGAUUCUGCAACUGCUAAAACUUUGUUGCUCUGCAAACUACUUGGCUUAGACUUUAUAAGACCCCUCUCUCUAUUUUGAGCUGUUUGAUUUUGCUUCUAAUUAACCACAUGAGUGAUAGAUGAUGUAUCCUUCUUUACAUUAUUCCCUUGGCGGGUUCCAUGCAUCUCCAUUCGAGUUCUGCUAGUAGAUCUUUCGCCCAAUAUGAGUUCUGCAUAGUAUGAUACAUCAUCGAUUUCAGCAGUGGCGUCUGAGGAUGAACCCUCAAUAACUCUCUUUAGUUGAUCCCUGCUGCUGAAAAUGGGCAACCUUGGCAUAUUUCUUCCUGGACCUUCUCACGGAGGUCCAGAUUCACAAGAGACAGGUGACGAGACAGACGAUGAGUAUUCUUCCACACUUGGUGUACCGUUCUUACUAUGAAGAAAAUAACCAUAAUUUUUACAUGAAGGCACAGAUGUUCCUUUCAAAAUCUUUGAAUCCACACAAGGAUUAGGGCUUUCCAAAUGAUGAGGUGCUAAAUCUGCUUCAUCUUCUGAAGGAGAAAAAUAUCUAGUAGGACACAUUGCUCCAAGUUUCAGAAGCUGAAGCCUUUUGGGGCUUACUUCCUGAUCCUGCUGGCAUCGAUUCCAAACUCAUUAUUUCGGCCAUCUCCAAAUCCAUAUCUUCUUUAUCAGAUCUACCAGGUCGAGCACCAAGUUUGUCUGCCACAUUGCUCCAAGUUUCAGAAGUUGAAGCCUUUUGGGGCUUACUGCCUGAUCCUGCUGGCAUCGAUUCCAAACCCAUAAGCCUAGUAACCAAACUUGGAGCUUUUAUUUCGCGCUUGCUUUCACAACGUGUAUUGGUCAUUCCAUUAUUCUUUGCAUUUGGUAAACUCCCACUGUUCUCAUCAACAAUCUACAUUGUUCAUACAAGAACCAAAAACAAUAAAAACAAAAACUUUCCUAUCAGCCUAACAUCUGAGACAAUAGAAGAAAAAAAAAGCUAAAUGUGGGAGUAUAGUUCAAGAAAUGAGUACCAAACGAAGCUUUGGCUUCUUCUCAUCCCCUCCAAACUUUUUUGAAGCUUGUUUUAAGCAAGCUAUAAGAAAGCAGCCCAAAAAAAGAAAUCAUUUAGCCUCUAGCUAGAAUCACCUUCAAGAAAUUAACCAUUCUACUUUUAAAAUGAGUGGAAUGUAGUAGUAGCUAACCUAGUAAAAGCAGUUUCUUUGGAAACAACUUCUUGGAAAAUCUACGGUUCCAAUCAAAGAGCUGAAAGAAAAUGCCCACACAACCACAAGGCCUUUGAGGUUUUCUCUCAGAAAUAGUGGCUAAACUAUCAUUCAUUUCUCUAGCUGAGCUAACAUUCAUCCUUCAAAAUCCUCUCUUAAAUUUCUUCACCUUUUCUCCCACUCUGCUGAAUGUGAUUCACACACUUUGUCUUCCCAAUAAGAUCCUAUCAAACAUUAUCUUCACAUUAAUUUGGAAAGAAUUAAAAAAAAAAAAACCCUACUGGACCCUCUACCCACCACAUCACUCACCCUCCUUGGCCUAAAAAAAUAAAAUGGGGAAAAAGAACUUACAUUUUCAUGCAAGAAACAAAGCAAAAAUCCAACAAAAUAUCAGAAAAAAAAGUAGAAAAUAGCUAUGAAAAGUAAAACCCUGAGCUGUGUUCAAUUAUGACAAAACUUUCACAAGAAACCACAGUCAAACAAAGUAAACACAGAAUAAGAAAAUACAAACAACAAUACCGAUAAUGUCUUCAACUUACACCAAAUGUGCUACUGUUCAAGAAAACAGCUAGAACUGGUUAUAGUUCACUCUAGUCAGCUAUUCUUUUCUUUUUUUAAUCUUCUUUACGACAAUGAAAAAAGCAAAAUCAUUUGUACACUAGAGGUACAUGCUAACUUACUCACACAAAAAAUAGAAUAAAAAUCCUUUCUUUAGGCUAUUGAGUAACCUCAGGAAGUGAAACCUUCUGCUGUUCAGAGAAAGAAUAAGAUUAGCAGAAAAUAAAGUUGUAAGUGAUGAAAACGGCUCAUCACUUGCUUUAUUCACAGUGUAAGGAUGAGAAUCUUCGUGUGAGGGGAAAUGGGACAAGUUUUGAUGCGUAGGAUAAUUAAGAAUGGACAAACUAAGGUUGUGUUUGCCUACGCGAUUCAUAGAGCACAAAUCCCCAUCCCAAUAAUUACCAUUACAUCAGUGAGGUUUGUGUUACAAUACAGACCAAUGAAUAAAUAAAAUGAAGCUAUGAAACUAAACUAAGAAAGAAAUUAAAAACCACUCCCAAGUCCCCGGAGACUUUUCCAAUACCACUUAAUACCUGUCACAUACGUGCAAAAGAGUGGUACAAGCAUAGAAGGAAUACUUGAAUAUACCAACAGAUUGUCUUAUAUAGAGGAACAAAGAAACACAGGCAUAACAAGUAAGCACAACAUAAUUAUUUUAAAUUAGUUCCUAUAGACAUGCUUUCAAUGCUUUGCUAUCACAAAUGCUACAGAAUAAGAAAAGAAUGUGUCGAUAGAGACUAACUGAUUAGGCACUAAACAAUAAUAAUAGAACCCAAAGCAAUUGCAGCAAGGAGAAGACCGAAUGUUUUUCGAAAUCCAAAGUGCCAAAGAACUUCAAAGUACUUUUAACAGAAAAUAGAGGGAGUAAUAGCGAAGGAAAAGUCUGUCCACUUAGAAAAAGAGAAUGGUGAGUUUAUAUAGUGAGGAGGGCCGUCCAUAAUCCCAAAUAAUGAAGGAAGAAUAAUAUUUAAUGAAGGAAGAAUAACAUAUAAUGAAUCAAUUAAGGGGAUUGUUCCCUUAAAUGGAUGGGGUAAAUCAAUCCGUUCCACCAAUCAUACUAUAGUUGCCAUAAAUAAAUAAACAAGGGUAUGUCAAAUUAUAACAUUUGAAAUUUCCAUGAAUAGAACAAGUAAAAAGAGAUCCUUCCUACUUGUUAAAUGAAAUCAAGAAGAGGUAUCAAAAUUUACCAUAAUUAACGUGUGAGGGGAUGUCUGUCAACCAAAUUUCCUUUUCAGAUUAUAUGCUAAUUAAGGGAAAUAUAAAAUCACACAAAAUUUAGUCAAAUCCAAUAAAGGAAAGAUCGGUUAAGCAAAUCAGUCAUACAAAUUAUUUACUUACCAAAGAAAAGAAGAACUACCAUAUAGUGAUCACAUAAUCAAGGAAAACAAUAAUUAAUAGUACUUAAUUUUUAGAAGAAAAUUGACACGACUCAAUCAAAAGUAAUUACUUACCAUAAACCAUAUUUAAAGUAAUCAGCCACGUCUCUCAAUUAAAGAUAGUAUAUAAAUCAAUCAACUGUAAAUUAUCAAUUAGGCACAGUCAAGAAUUUUAAAACCCGUCACAAAGGAAAAUAAUCAUUCGUUUAACACGAUAGUAGUACCACAAUUACAAUAAGGCGAUUACAAAAUCAUAAAACAUGCCCCAAAAAAUAGUCAAUAUUAGCAAGCAACAAUCUACAGUGAUUAGUAAUGAGUAUCUUGUUAGAAAGUUAAAAUCAAGUCACAAAAGAAGUUGGGAUUUUUUUACCCAUAUUGACUAAGUGGUAUAAAAAAUGUGAAGUUGCAAGAAGUUAGGCGUGUUUGCACAUACCAGAGAGAGACGAACAAAUUGACUCACCAUUCAAGUUAAGUGUCACGAAAUUUCAAUCAAGCAGGACAUGCAAAUAGGGUUGAAUAAAAAUUACAGACUUAAAAUCAACAUAUUUAUUCAGCAAAAAUCAAACUUGGCCAUACUCGAUUCGAAGAAUCUUUCUAUGAGAGACACAGAUGAAAAAAUAAUACUAAAGUUCACACACAUAUUUCAAACACGGGAUCAAAACUAAAGACGGAUUCUCUCAGAAUCCAUCAUUUUCAAUGAGGAAGGGUUGUAUGGAUGGAACGCCGAAGGGGUUUGCCGGAGGUAUCGCUGUGGGGGGAGGAGUCGAGGCUAUGUCGCGGCUGUUGGACGUUCUUCGGAGGGGAUAAAGAAGGCGACUGGAGGACGGAGGAUGGAGAGGCGGCGUGGAGGCUUGGCUGGCCAUCUCCGUCGAUGGCGCCGCCACUGGUAGCGCUGUUCGCCGGUGGAGGACGAGAAGGGAGGGGGCUGGCCAUCGGAGAAGUGGCUGGAGUCGCCUGGGGUAGGCGCUGGCGGCGCGUAUGAGGAGAAGGAAGAGGCGAUGGCGAAGGCUGUUUGUCGGAGAUGACAGCCUGGCGAAGAAGACUCAAAGCGGCGAGGGUGGUUUUGGUGGUCGAUUGGCGAUGAAGAGAUUGGAGGAGAGGGGGGAGAUCGAGAUUUGGAAGUGUUUGAAGAGAGAGAGAAGAGAGAUAGAGGCAGAAGUUGGAGAAAAAAAAUUAAGGUUAGGGUUUGAAGGUUUUAAAUAUGGAAAGAGAGAUCUUUUGAUCUCAACCGUUGGAUUGGUUUUUGAUCGAUGACUGAUAUUUAAUGUCAUGAGGGAAUUAAAAUGUGGCUAGGAUGAAAAGUAAUGGCUCAAAUUGUAAGAAAUUGGGUUAAGAUUGUAAUGGAUUGGGUAAAAAUAGGCUAUAAUUGUAAGAAAUUAAAUAAAAUUGGAUUAAAAGGUAAAUAAAAUCAAGCAAGGUAAUUUUGAUUAGGCUGUUAUUUAAAUUAAAGUUGGAAUAAUAAUAAUAUAUGAUAAUAGUAAUUAAAUAAUAAAUAAUAACAUUAAAUAAUAAAACAUAAAUAAUAAUGAAAAAAUAAUAAUUAAACAAUAAAUUAUAAUAAUAAAUAAUAGUAAUAUAUAUAAUAACAAUGUCAAUAAAUAAUAAUAUCAAUAAAUAGUAUUAAAUAAAGCAAANNNNNNNNNNNNNNNNNNNNNNNNNNNNNNNNNNNNNNNNNNNNNNNNNNNNNNNNNNNNNNNNNNNNNNNNNNNNNNNNNNNNNNNNNNNNNNNNNNNNNNNNNNNNNNNNNNNNNNNNNNNNNNNNNNNNNNNNNNNNNNNNNNNNNNNNNNNNNNNNNNNNNNNNNNNNNNNNNNNNNNNNNNNNNNNNNNNNNNNNNNNNNNNNNNNNNNNNNNNNNNNNNNNNNNNNNNNNNNNNNNNNNNNNACUCCCAAGUCCCCGGCGACUCUUCCAAUACCACUUAAUACCUGUAACAUACGAGCAAAAGAGUGGUACAAGCAUAGAAGGAAUACUUGACUAUACCAACACAUUGUCUUAUAUAGAGGAACAAAGAAACACAGGCAUAACAAGUAAGCACAACAUAAUUAUUUUAAAUUAGUUCCUAUAGACAUGUUUUCUAUGCUUUGCUAUCACAAAUGCUACAGAAUAAGAAAAGAAUGCGUCGCUAGAGACUAACCGAUUAGGCAGCAAACAAUAAUAAUAGAACCCCAAGCAACUGCAGCAAGGGCAAUACCGAAUGUUUUUCAAAAUCCAAAGUGCCAAAGAACUUCAAAGUACUUUUAAGAGAAAAUAGAGGGAGUAAUAGCGGAGGAGAAGUCUGUCCUCUUAGAGAAAGAGGAUGGUGAGUUUAUAUAGUGAGGAGGGCCGUCCACAAUCCCAAAUAAUGAAGGAGCAAUAAUAUUUAAUGAAGGAAGAAUAACAUAUAAUGAAUCAAUUAAGGGGAUUGUUCCCUUAAAUGGAUGGGGUAAAUCAAUCCGUUCCACCAAUCAUAAUAUAGUUGCCAUAAAUAAAUAAACAAGGGUAUGCCAAAUUAUAACAUUUGAAAUUUUCAUGAAUAGAACAAGUAAAAAGAGAUCCUUCCUACUUAUUAAAUGAAAUCAAGAAGAGGUAUCUAAAUUUACCAUAAUUAACGUGUAAGGGGAUGUCUGUCAACCAAGUAAGGCAAGAAAAAUCAAAAAUCAAUUACUGACAUGUUUUUCUCAAAUCAAAUUGGUACAGGAUCAUACCCAAACAGUCAAAACGUGCACAUAUUAGCCUUAUUAAAGAUUUACGAACAAAUCCUCGAAGCGUCACAUACAUGCUUUUCCCAUACAAAAUUAAAUUAAGCAGAAACUAACCAGACUGAUAUUAACGCAAAUCAACAUGCAGCAUUUAAGAAGUUACAGUUUAAUGAAAGACCGCAAAAAUUAGGGAUUUUUUUACUUAUGUUAAUUAAAAGGCAAACAACUACGACAUUGAAUCAAAAUUCAAACAUCGAAUUUCACUAAUUUCACAUCUAAUAAUCUGUCAAAGAAAACAGGAGUAGAAAAUGAUAAUAUUAAAUUAAUAUAAAUUCAAACAAAGAACAAACCUAAGAGAGAUUCUGAGAAUCCAUCGUGAACUUGAAUUUCUUCGGCCGGGGCUCGUAGGGAGCAAGACGGAUGGAAUUCCCCGAUGAAAGAUCUUACGGCUGUUGGUGUUGGAGAAUGACCGGUGACAUAGUUUCACCGGUCGUGGGAUCCCCAUCGGCAGUGCAUGGAAGAAGGACGGGAAACGCUGGUUGUUAGUGUAGGAUCGCUGGCGGUUUUGACUAUUUCGGUGGUGCUGUCGACAUUUCUCGUCGUAGAAAUAGAGAAAAUGGCGAUGGGGUUGGUGGAUCCACCGAAGGGGUUCCUUGACGGGCGGCGGUGACUGGUUUGAGGCAGCGACAUUGACUGGCGGCGAAUAUGGUGAUGUUGCAUGUGAAGGAUGGGGAGAUAAAGAAAGGGAGUGUCGGGUCGACGGCUGACUGGCUAUCGCUUCUAGCAGCGGCAUACGGAUAACAGGAUGGCUGUAAUCGCCAGUUGAUUUUGGUGAAAAUAUGAUUAGGGUUUUCUCUUUGUGUAUAAAAGGAAAGGGAAGGUGACUUGAUCUUAGCCGUUGAUCAAUUUUGUCUGAAGUUAUAGAAUUAUUUGCCAAGAUAAAAUUGGAUAACUGAAAUUCAAGAUAUAUAUAAUUGAAAGCAUUUAUGACAGGUAUUGGUUAGAGGCGGCUUAAGCCUAUUGGGGGCCAAGGCCAAAUUAAAAUCGGAGACCUUAAAUUAGAAUUAAAAAAAUUAUAUUUUUUAUUUAAAAUCUAUUUUUCUAGCUUUUUGAGAUGUAAAGUUGUUAAUAAUUUUUUUAUAAUUGAUUUCUUCUAACAAUUCUUUUUCAAUAGAUAAUAUAGCCAAUCCACUUAAUCUUUCUUGAGACAUUGUUGAUCUUAAAUAAAAUUUUAUAAUUUUUAAUUUUGAAAAGCUUCUUUUCGUUGAAGCGACUGUUACAGGAAUUGUUAACAUUAUUCUAUAAGCAAUAUAAGCAUUUGGAAAAGAAUCAAGUCGUUUUAUUUGAUUGAGUAUCUCGAUUAGAGUAUUAUCUUCUACUUGUAUGAUUUCCCUCAAAAUCUUUAGUUCGGAAUAUAAGUCUAUACCGUUAAUAUCAGAGUGAGUAUUAUGUUUUAAGGAACAUUCAAGAUUAAGACAAUAUUUUUUUUAAUUCUCGUCAUCUAAUGAUCUCAAUUUUUUUACAUUAAAUAAAAAACCAAAAAUACUUUCAUAUGCUUCAAAUUAUUCAAAUCUAUUUUGGAAGUGAAGAAAUAGCUUGGUCUACUAUAUAUCAGAAAUAAUCAACUCUAAAAGAUUCUUAAAGAGAUUUUGUAAUUUUGUUAUCAACAUUCUCAUCAAAUUUUGUUUCGUACUAUAACUGAGUUUGACUGUAUCUGACAGUCCUGAUAUACUGAAAUAUGAAGACCUAUCUGAGAUUUUUUACUGAGACUGAUUCUGAAACUGUAGGAGGUAGUUUUUUAACCGACAUACCCCAAUAAUGCAUAUAGCUAAGUUGGGGUCCAAUCUCUGCUCCGACUGGAGGGGUGUCAAUACCGUGCCAUUGGUAAGGACAGUUGUGGGUGACCCUUAGCUGGUAGGUAUUCAAAAGGAGAAUGGUGGGGACCCUAAACUAACGAGUUAAGCCACCUUAUUAACCCUAAUCUGAUAGGCUAAGAUGUAUUAACCUACGCUAACUACGUUGUUCUGGAAUACAAGGAUGACUGCUAAAUAUCACACCCUAAAUUGGUAGGUGAGUCCCCAUUCUUAGGUUCACUCGGUGCUAACUUCUACUCCCAUCUGAAGAGACGAAACAUGAUUUAACUGACUGUACAUGGACAAAUUAAUUGACUUCCGUUGACUGACAGAGUAGUACUAUUAUUUGAAAGUUAACUGAGAUCAUGAGAUUCUGAGGUUUUCCUGAGUCACAUGACUGACUGAGUUCUAUAGAUUAUAGCUUAACUGAGAUUAUUGUGACAACAUGACAUGGAUCUAGGCACAUAACUAUUUUUUUCGGGUACGAAUACCCCCAGGACUCGAUAGAAGGAAAGUGACACACAUGACAUGACUUGAUCACAAGAUUUGAGUCCAUAAUUCAUAAUAUCAUAAGUAGGGGAUAUCAUAUUUCAUAUAGUUAUUCAACAUCUUAAACAUUGUAGGGAAUGCAUGGAUAUAUUUCGUGUAUAUAUUAUAUAUUCUCCAUUAUCUUACAUGCUUCAUACCACCACAAUAGCAACACAUGAAAAGCAUAUGAUUCAUAUUGAAAUAUAUAGCUAACAUGGACUUGUCAUUUAGACAUCAUAGAACCAUACAAACAUGAAUUUCUAGCAUCCUAAGCAUUUUAUCAAACACCUUGCAUGCAUUCUUUAAGGCAUAGGUGAGUUUCAUACUUGCACCAUAUUAAACCACCUGAAGUUCAUGGUUUUUAAUGAACAAACAUAUCUAUUCCAUGAAAACACCUUUAAAAAUCACAUUGAAACUUAAACAACAAUCGUCAACAUGUACAUACUCAUAUCACCACAAAAAUUUUACACAAUAAUAUUUAAAACAUGGUUCUUGAGCUCUAUGAACGGAUUGGAUCCAUAGAUGAACACUACGCAUACCUUAGAAAGGAAACUUUGAAGAUUUUUUGGAGAGUUCUUGAAUUGGAAAACUUUAACUCUUGAUUCUCUUGGAAAAAGGCUUGAAUCUUGUUCUUUGAGAGAUGACUUUGAUGGAAAACCCUAAUCUUGUGGUUGAGAGUAUAAGAGAGGGUUUUUAGGAUGCUUAACUGAAGAAAAAUGGGAAACAUUAUGCCUCUUUAGGGUUAUAAGUCAUGGAAGGUGAAGGAAAAGAAAAAAAUACCCUUAUUAAAUAAAUUCCCAGUUGUUAAAAAUCAUAGCUGAAAUGUGACAAGCCGUUAAAAAUGUCGUCACACAGGAGAGCUGGAAUUGAUGGUUUCUGCCUAAGCCUGAGCCUUACGACAUUUAUGACAAGGCAUAAAAAAUGUGACAGUCCAUCAAAAAUAUCAUCACACAGAAGCUGGAUUCUGCCUAAGGCUGACGACCUUCGUGAUAGGGCAUCACAAAUGUGGUGAGCUAUCACGAAUGUCGUCACUUAGGAGCUGGUUUCUGCCUAAGGCUGACGACCUUCGUGAUAGGGCGUCAUAAAUGUGGUAAGCUGUCACGAAUGUCAUCACUUAGGAUCUGGUUUCUACCUAAGGAUGAUGACCUUUGUGAUAGGGCGUCACAAAUGUGGUAAGCUAUCACGAAUGUCGUCACACUGUUUCCAACCUGACAUGCUGGAGUAAAAUAGGAAUAACUCUUUGCUCCGAUAUCGGAUUUAGGAGAAAUUGGUAUCGUUGGAAAGCUAAUUCAAUUAUAUAUCUAUUUAUAGGUUAUGAGAAUAAAAAUUCCAAGUAUAAUGAGAGAUAUUCUCAUUUGAAGUUGACUAUACUAAUAUCCUUCUCAAGAAUUCAAUCGAUAAGGAAUGUUUUGAUUCGUCUGAUAGCUGAGAGUUAUUUGAAGACUUAAUAUAUAUCUAACCUACUCAUAAAACUAUAAAAGAACCAUGAUGUACUAUGAAUGAGCUUGGUACAUGUCUCUAAUAUUGGUUUGGAUUUUUUGGGGUAUUACAAGAGGAUUCGACCCAAUUAGUUUGCAUUUGAAGAGUGGAUAUUGUUUUCUUAUUAGAGCCUUCAACCGAAUCUAUUCUCUUAUGCUCUGUCAAAAGUUUUACGUAAGGGCAAGUUAAUUAAUUGAUGCCUGACUUCGGGUUCUGAUUGAGGCUAUUGAAGGUUAUUUGGUUGGUAUUCUACGCAUAGUGAGGUUGUGGAACUUGUCUUUAGCAAGGUAAGUGAGACUUUAAGCUUUGAUGCUUGCUUUUCAAAUUUGAUUUAUAAAAAUUAUAUUUUUCUACCUAGUCCAUGUGUUAGGACAAGCGUGAACUUGGUAGAAAUUGUGGCUUUAGACUAUCUAUGGAUAUAUAAUUUGAAAAGUGUGUUGAGAAUUGUUUAGAGUGAAACGCGAGAUGAGGUUGGGGCGUUGAAUAUAUUUUCUUCGUUGUUGUUAUAGUCUCUAGAGGCAUACAUAGCUGCCGUAAUAUGUUAGGGACAUUACUUAUGCUGUUGUAAUAUGUUAGGGGCAUUAUUUAUGCUGCCGUAAUGUGUUAGGGGCAUUACUUAUGCUGUCGUAAUGUGUUAGGGGCAUUACCUAUGCUGCCGUAAUAUGUUAGGGGCUUGUACUUGCUGUCGUAGUAGACUUUUUGGGGCUUUAUAUAUGCUUCCAUGGACUUGUCGAGGUGUUAGGCCGAUCAUCUUCAUUGUCGUUUAUCACAAGUCGUGUGUGUGGAUUGAGUUGUUAUAGGAUGAUAUUUUGAACCUCUUUGAAAAUCUUAUUGAUAUUAUUUUAUGAAAGAUAUUAUGUACAUAUUAUUUGUGUAUCUUUGUUGUGCUUUGUAUUUUCUAAUACUUGUUCCAGGGGUAUUAAAGUAGCGAUUCGAGGAUCUUACUGGGUAAUAUUUAUAUAGCUCACUCCUUACUUGCAUACGUACAGAUACGGUUGCAGAGAGAGAGGCUCGUGGAUGACUGUAUUUACGUGUGGAUUCUAUCUCUAAGGUGAGCCUUCGCAUUAUUCGUGAAGGUUGUCAUUCAUCUCUCAUUAUUUUAGCUUAUGUUUAUGCUCGUUGGGUCUGUAUACCCAAAAGUUGAACUCAUGUAAUUCUGUUUAGAUGCUCCAUGAACUCAGUGUGGGAUUUGGGUUAGAGAUUUGUUAUCUAAACUAUUGUAUUUUUCAUAUAUCGCUAUACGAUGUCUUGUUGGAUAAUGAUCUUGAGUUAAUAAUCAUUUCGUGCACAUAGUGUUGUGUAUGUUUUCAUCUCAGUAUUUAUAGAUAUGGUGAAUGCAUAGAAAAUUGGUCCUCCCAACAAGCGGUGUUGUCGGGAGCCAGUCACGCCUAAGGGCUAUUUUGGGAUGUGACAGUGGGCUCAUCAUUUGUAGCCCAAAUUAAUGGGCUAGCCCAAUAAAAAUUAGACUUUAAUUAAAUCCAUACAUGUUUGGACUUAAAUAAUUAAUCCAAUUAUAUUAAUCCGAAAUAUUUAUUUGGGACUAAUCUAUUUUUAAUUUACCAUAAUCCGAAUUUCGUACGUAUUUCAAUUUAAUAAAAUUUCUUGCCCCCAAGUAUAUCUAAAAAUGAUUUAGAUUUUUUCUUAUUCACGAAAUAAGUUUUAUAUUUUUUUAAAAGGACUUUUCUCAAGGAAUUAGGAGAUAUAUAUUCCACAAAUGUCUCUACACAUUGAUUAUAUAUGAAUUUUUAUAGGAUUGUUUUCCCUAUUCAACAACAAUAACAACAACAAAAAAUUCAGUGUAUUCCACCAAGUGGGAUCUGGGGGUAAAAUGUACGCAGUCCAUACCGCUACCUCCUAUGUGCACAAUCCUAUUUAAAUUGUACAUAAAUAUAAAACGCAUUUUAUCUAUUUUUGUUCCAUGAUUAAUGUCACUUUCUAUUUUGUCCAUCCAUACAUAUAAUGCAAUGCCAUGUAUAAAAAAGGCUGAAUACAUAUACAAGCCCCUCAACUAUUCGACUUUUUUCAUUUAGGAGCCUCAAUUAAGCCAUGUACCUAUUGAACCCUUUACUUCUUCACAAAACGUGUUAAUUGAGCCCAAUCGCUGACGUGGCCCUGACAUAGUGCGGCAUAAUGUGUAAUACACUCUUAUUUGAGAGGGUGAGAAACCAUAAUUAAUUAAAAAACUUAAACAUAAAAAAUUCCAACCUAUAAAAAAAACAUAAAAAGAAUUUUUAAAAACAAAUAAAAGUAAUUAAAAAAAAAAGCUAUCAUCUUCUCUCUUCUACACAAACACAUUCCUCACCAUUGAAACACACGUAACGCACAAAGAUUUUCUAUUCUAUACAGCACACACAAAAAUUGAUGUCUACAUACAUAUCACAAAAUACAUAGUCCAUAUACGCACACAGCUCACAGAACCCGCACAACUCACAACAUACGCAGCUACACAUAUACGAUACACACAGAAGAAUUGGGGAGGAUGAAGGGAAAAAACAGUAUCAAAGGAGUAGAAAAACAAGAAUUUAGGGAAAAUAGUGGAGAAAUUGAGAGAAUAGAAAGAAAUAAGGUGCGAGGAAGAGACAAUCGAUGGAGAAAUAGUGAACGGAGGAGAAAGAUGCGAGAGAGAUAAAAGAAAAAAAAUGAGAGAGGGAGAGAGAAAAGGAUCGAUGAGGUCAGAAAUUUGACCUAUUUUUCUUCAAUUUCCUCUGUCACCGAGCUCGUUGGAGCUCUGGCGAAGUGAAAAUAGCGACCCAGCCCCAUUCACAGUCGAACCCUCAUUGGAGAUUAUGAAUGGGUUCUGUUGGUCACCGUGAUUUUGUUAUAAUACAAAUCAAGAAAUUUAAGGUAACUCAAUUUGCAAAGGGAGGACGGUAGAGGUUCACUGGGUGAGUUUGUUUGAAGAUCAACAAAUACUAGUGCCUGCCAUGGUAGAUGGUCCAUAUCCAACGGAAUCUAGCUUUUUCCAAAUACCCCAAUACACUAAUUCAUUUGAAAUUGUUGUUGGGUAUUGUUUUAGUGGAGAAAUAAAUGAGUGAAGUGAAGAUAGGGAAGAUGAAUAUUGUUGGGUAUCGACGGAAUCGAAGUGCUUCAAAGGUGGGAAAGGGGUAUCGAAAGAAGAAGAAGUUAUAUANNNNNNNNNNNNNNNNNNNNNNNNNNNNNNNNNNNNNNNNNNNNNNNNNNNNNNNNNAUAUAUAUAUAUAUAUAUUCACGUUUAUGUUGUGCAAAGAUGGGGAAAGGGGUGUUUGAAAGAGAACGGGGAGGGGGGGUUAGGAUUGGUAGGGCUGUAGUGGGGGGUAUUAAUGUUUUUUUUAAUUUAAAUUUAAUUAUAUUAAAAAAUUAUUUUUAUAAUUAUUUAAAUUAAAAUGUCACAUGUCGUUAUUUAAUUUUUCACUUUGCCAUAUCAUUGGCGCGUGUAUUACAUGCAGUUUAAAUUUUUUGCCACGUCAGCAAAUUGGGCUCAAUUGAAACCAUUUGUGAAGGAGUAAAGGGUUCAAUAGGUACAUGACUUAAUUGAGGUGCUUAUACGAAAAAAUUUGAAUAGUUGAGGGGCCUCUAUAUGUAUUUCAUCUAUAAAAAAAUAAUGCAUUUAGUGGUCACUUUUCUAAUUAUUGAUCACUAAUUUGGAGGACUUCCUCUGUUCGAUAACAAGUGAAUUGCUGAGGUAUUGUAUAUCUAUUAUAAAAAGAAAAUUAAGAUAUAAAUUAGAUACUAUUUCUUAUUUUUGUCAUUUUUAGUUAUUAGCAAACAACACUUAAAAACUCAAAACAAUUAUCAUGAUAAUUGCUUCCAGUACUGACUUUUUAAAAACUAAUUCAAAACAAUAAAUAAAUAGGAACAAUUAAAUUUCUUAAAUUCAUGAUAUAAGAGAUACAAAAAUGAAGUAUAAGAAUAAAUGAAAAUUUCAACAUUACUGACUUUUAAAAAACUAAUUCAAAACAAUAAAUAAAUAGGAACAAUUAAAUUUCUAAAAUUCAUGAUAUAAGAAAUACAAAAAUGAAGUAUAAGAAUAAAUAAAAAUUUCAACAUUAUUAUUGAAAUAAUUAAAUUACCUUAAAUAUCAACAAUAUCUAAACACUUCAUUUAUUAUGAAUAUGGAGGAAGUAUUGUCUAAAAUAUCAAUGAAUUAAGUGGACUCAAUGUAAAAUAGUUGAAUAAACCUUUCAAUCAUUUCUAUUUACCCCAUUUGAAUUGGACACACUCCUUAAUAAAUUCUUUACUCUUACAAGGUUAUCAUUUUCUCUGUUUUUCCUUUUCUCCACUGUAUUCCCUGCGCACCUUGACACCAAAACACAAGUUUCAAGCAACAUUCAUGUUCUUAAUCUCAAUUUUUAUUAGUCCAUCAUGAUUUAUUUUUGGUAAGUGCAUCUUUGAUGGUGGAGCAAGUUUUCAUUUGAUGUUUGUUAUAUAUAUGAUACAUGAUGCUAAUUAUUUCAAGCCUUAAUCCUUUUACUUCAAAUCUGUUAUUAUUAUUGUUCUAUUAUACAAAUUAAUUAAUUCAAGUUUUAAUCUAUUUUCUCUAGAUCUGUAGUUAAUAUUGUUAUGGUACUAACUAAUUCAAUUAUCCUUUGGAUAUCUUCUUGUUCUGCGAUACUAAUUAAUUAAAGUUUUGAUCUUUUUAUAUUAGGAUCUGUAAUUAGCUUUAUUUUUUAUAACUUAAAUUAAAGUUAAACCUCUGUAAUUGUUGUUGUUUGUUAUAUUAUACAAAUUAAUUAAUUCAAGUUUUAAUCUAUUUUUUCUAGAUCUGUAGUUAAUAUUGUUAUGGUACUAACUAAUUCAAUUAUCCUUUGGAUAUCUUCUUGUUCUGUGAUACUAAUUAAUUAAAGUUUUGAUCUUUUUAUAUUAGGAUCUGUAAUUAGCUUUGUUUUUGAUAACUUAAAUUAAAGUUAAACCUUUGUAAUUGUUGUUUUUUUACUUUUCCUAAAGGUAACAAUAGUUUUUAGAGCUAAUUUUUGGUUUAAUCACUUUAUUUUUAUUGAUGAAUUGGCAGGCAGGAAGUGGAGAGGAGUCAAAGAAGUUGAAGCUCUAUUCAUAUUGGAGGAGUUCAUGUGCAUUUCGUGUCCGAAAACCACUCAAUUUGAAAGGUUUUAAUUUUUUAAAAAUUUUUACGAUUGCUUUCUUGUUCAGAAAAAAAAAGAAAUUAACCCUUUUUCCUGUUUGUCGUCGUUAGGCAGUGUAGUUAUAGAAAAGCUAAGUUUAGAUUAUGUAGAGAGUUUGUUUAGUAGUGUUCCACCAGUUCACUGAUGGUGUUAAUGGUUCUUUUUCACUAUACAAAAGAAGGAUGAUUUUCAAAUUGUUUUGUUCCUUUUUACUGAGUGAAUAUCUCAAAGUUUAUUUUGAAAGUUAGAUGUCCGACAGUAUCUGCUUUGGAUUGAUGCAAUAAACUGAUAUUCAGACCAUUCUUACAAUGUAUUUCUUUUCAAGUAGUAAAAAUAUGUGACUAAGUUGCUACCGCAUUUCGACUGCAGAUAUACGGAUAUAGAAUGCCACUGUGGGCAAAGAACACGGCAACUAUAGAGCAAUUUUUUGAGCGUCCAGAGAGUCUUGAAUGUGUGAGAUAGAUAAGAGUAUUUGGUGAACACAACUGGCUACAGUACAUGGCUAAUGAAGUCACUGAAAUAAGAGGCCACCUUCUUAAGUAUCCUAUUGAAAUUGAUCGAACGGGUAAAGUUAAGUUGCUCCAUGGUAAGUUUUUUCCCCUCAUUCUAAGCUUGUGUGGGGGAUAUUGUUCUAUCCUUCCCCUUUUAAUAGAUAUAAAUUAGGAAAUAGUAACUUGUUUGGAUAAUGCAUUACAGUUGAGUUUUUGGAGCUCACUAAUAACAUAGUUCUUAAGUCUUAACUAUGUAAAUAUCACUGUCAUGUGUUUCGAAUGUUCGCCUUCUGUUAUAAUUCAUAACAAACUCUGAAUAGCAUAUAGAGACUUAACUGGAUGAAACUACAUAAUAGAGAUUUAAGAGAGUGAAAGACAGUAAUGAUGUUUUAUUUUAAAAUCUUGAAGAUCAUGGAGAUAAUUAUCUUCAAAUACGAAAAAGGAAAAAAGAAGAAAAAAGAAGAAAAAAGAAGAAGAAAAAAUAGAAGGGAGAAAAUAAAGUGGAAAAAAAAAUGAAAAGGAAAUAAAAUAAAAAAUAAAAUGAUAAAAAAAUAAGGGUAAAGGAUAUGACUAUAUUUGGAGGAGGUGAAAUAGUGGAGUGAAAAUAGGAAAAUGUAAAGUAGUGAGAGUAAAACAUGCACUUCCCUAGUUAAUGAGUAAAAUAAUGCUACUCUUGCUAUAAACUGUAAUUUUACAAAAAUGUUGUCAUUUAUUGUAAUUAUAGUCUAAAAUAUGCUAUUUCUGUAAUUUAUACAACACUUCAUACAACUGUUCACAUAUCUACACUUGUUUAGGUAGGUGGUAAAAAGCCUCAAAUGGAGAGACUUUAAACACUGCACUUAGGUAAUGUCAUAAUAAUUAUUUUUUUUUUGAUGUAAUUGGUGCACAAAAGUCUAUUAAACAUUGUUUUUAAGUAAAUACAUAAAUUUAUUGAUAUUGUUGGAGUACAAAACUUAAUUAAGCACCAUUUUAUUUUGAUUUAUUGGUGCACAAAAGUUAAUUAAACACCAUUUUUGUGUAACUUCAUAAUUUUGUGACACGAUUGUUGCACAAAAGUUAAUCAAGGUCCACAAUUAAGUGUCACACCCCUUUUUUUAACUCCAAAAUGAUUUGUUUUAAGGUCUCGAAAGAGUUUUUAUUAUUAACGUGACAAAGUAAAGAUUUGUUUUGAAAAAGAAUUAUUUUUAUAUUCAAAACUCAGAGUCGCCACUUGACAUAAUCCGGUGUGUCAAGUCACCUUUGGAAAAUUCUUUUCAAAACAAUUUGACUCUUUAAACUGGUUUGCGAACAGAGAUUCUGGCUAAGGAAUUCUGUUGACCGAGGGAUAGGUGUUAGGCACCCCCCAAUCCCGUGGUUCGGCCACGGUCGCUUGGUAGAACGUAUUAGUUAAUUUGACACUACGAAUGUAUAAACCACAAAGGAGCACGUAAAUCAAUCAAACAAACAAACCAAAUAAAAAGAAUAAAAGUAUAGUGUUCAGUCCAAUUAUACAGUUCCAAAAUAAAAAUGAAAAAAUAAAUCCUAUCUAACCUAUACUAAUCCUAACUAUGCUCCCAGGCUUUACCCGAUGCCUCGGGCCUUCCUUACGAACGUCUUCCGCCAACAUAGUACGUCGGGGCAUUCCCUGGUGAAUAAAUACAAUGUGUCUCGGGGCAUUCCCCAGCUAAAUGAUACAUUCGAUCCAAAAGCAAUAAAAUCAAACCAUUCAACACGCAUUUCAAGCAUUCAAUAAUUCAACGAGCAAAACACUUAUUCCUAAAUAUUUGCCUACCCGAACCUACUUUUAGCUAUUCAUUCGAUGGCCUAAUCAUGAUGCUAUCCAAUUCAACAAUAUUCAGUAAUGAAUCAAGAUAAACAACCUUAGACUUAUUCGAUUAACAAUUUUCGAUCCCAACCCCCAAAUUCAUUCUUAAUGAUUAAAUCAAUUCUAUACACAUUUCAUCAAUCAAGUUUUCAACUCCAAAUUCAACAUCAAACAAACAAACAAUGAGGAUUCGAAUAUGCUCAAACACAAAUCAUUCGUAAUCACGGGAACAUAAAAAAAAGAGAGAAGUUAGAAUUGGACCUCAAAGAGCUUUCGAUUGACUUAAUAAAAGAAAUAAGAGCCCGUCCAAGAACCUCGAAGAAUGCCAACGAAACCCAAUCCUCCGAAUCAAUCGAGAAACAAUCCAAGAACGCAAUAAACUCCAAAUUCCAAUCCGAACCAAAUAUAUGUACGAGUGAAAUCGAUGAACAAUACUAGACCAAACACUUAAGUAUCGCCCGAAUCAACCAAAAUCAGCCAAGAACAACGAACAACCAAACCAGAAUUUCCAAUCAACAAAAAUUCCGGCGAGCUGAGACAACGGCAGAGGGCUUAAACUCCAGAAAUCUAACAUUUUCUGGGGAGAUUUCUUCUUUAUAAGAAGAGAGAAAAAAAUGAGAAGAUUUGGUAGUUUUGAGACCGAUUUAUACGAACGACGAACGGAGAAGAUAAUUUCAGUGAAGCUACUGCUGGAACAGUAACCCGAAACCUCCCUUUUCUAUUAUCAGAUGGAGAUAUAUAUGGGUAUGUGUAUGUAAAAAUGGAUUUGAGUGGAGGUUUGGGGGGAGCGGUCUGUGUGUUUAUCUCCAAGAGCAAAAAAAAAAUCCUUCUUUUUCUUAGUGAGCAUCAGUGUAUAGCAAUGGUGAGGUAUGAAUCAAUUCAAUCCAAAAAAAAAAAAUGACGAGUAUCUCUAUGUUUUCAUGGGUGGAUCUUGUGAAUAGAGAGCUUUUUUUUUUUUAGGAAGUUUGUUAGAGAAAAGAAAUAAAAAUGUGGGGUAAAGUAAAGGGGGUAUGAGGUGGGGUAGGUGAAAUUUCCUGGAAGUUACCUAGGUUUGUGUAUUUCCUUUAUGGUCAAGAAAAGGGAGGGAGUCACGUGGGUGGGGGUUGGGUGAGUUGUUGUUUUUUAAUUGGAGAGGUAAGGGUUAGGUGUCUCAUUUUUGAUUGGGUGGGUUGUUGGAAUCUUUAAAAUAAGAAAAAAUUAGUUAUUUGGAUAAAAGCAAAAUAAAUAAAUAACUAACUAAAUAAGUGAAAGAGGUGGUUAUUUAUUUGUUUUUCUUGUGGGAAGAUUAUAUAUAAAAAAAAAUGGGGUUAAAUUGUGUGAUAACGAAAUAAGAAAUAUUUUUUUGACGGGACAAAAUGACGUGUCUACAUCAUGCCCCCUUUAAAUUUAAACACUAAGUGUUUCCAGACAAAGAAGUAGACAACAAGACAUAAUUUUGUCCCGACCAUUAAACAAAGGAAGAAACAAAAAGAAGAAAGAAGGGCAACCGAGUCUUGACUUAGGACACCCUACCUACCCAAUUUAUGAGAGAAUCAAAUGACAGGUAUCUCAAAGGAUUGAAGGGAGAUGGACUACACUGAGUUGGAGAGUCGAGUGAGGUUCCAUCGAGGUUCCGGUCCACAGCUCUAUCAUUACAUCAAAAUGAAAAGUACAAGUUAACAUAUAAAUGAAAUUACAAAAUCCUAUAUAUGCAACUUUCCUUGAGUCUUGGCUCGAGGUUUAUCACCCUAUUCUUCAGGCGGGCUCCUGACAUACAAUUUCUUUCGACUUGUUGCUUGUCUUUCACUUUCUUUGCUUUGUUGCUCGAAUUUUAUUUAUUCGCCCUGCUCUUCAGGCGGGCUUCGGACUUGCCAUUUUUGUCUUUCAAUUUCAUCACCCUGUUCUUUAGGCGGUCUCCUAGCUUGCAAUUUCUUCAAUUUUCCAUUUCGUCACCCUGUUCUUCAGGCGGGCUCCAGACUUACAAUUUUCUCACCCUGUUCUUCAGGCGGGCUCCUGAAAUCAGAAUCAAAACUAGAAUGACAAUUAUCCCAAACAAAGAUUAUAAUAAGGAAGGAUUUCAUCAUUUUUGAAAGUAAUGUCAAUUUUCUAUAAGGGUCCUGAAUAGAAAGUAAAUUCUCAUUUUUCAGGAGGGUCCUGAACAGAAAGUAAAAUUCCAUUUUUCAGGAGGAUACUGAAAAGUAAAAUCUCAUUUUUCAGGAAGUUCCUGAAAAGAAAGUAAAAUUCCAUUUUUAGGAGGGUCCUGAACAUAAACUAAAAUCCCAUUUUUAAGAAGGGUCCUGAAUAGAAAGUAAAAUCUCAUUUUUCAGGAGGGUCUUGAACAUGUAGUAAAAUCUAAUUUUUCAGGAGGGUCUUGAACAUAAAGUAGAAUCCCAUUUUUCAGGAGGGUCUUGAACAUAAAGUAAAAUUCUAUUUUUCAGGAGGGUCCUGAAUAUAAAGUAAAAUCCCAUUUUUCAGAAGGGCCCUGAAUAGAACUAAUUUGCAGGAGGAUCAUGAACAUAAAGUAAAAUCCUAUUUUUAAGGAUGGUCCUAAACAUAAAGUAGAAUCCCAUUUUUCAGGAGGGUCCUGAACAGAAGUAAAAUUCCAUUUUUCAGAAGGGUCCUGAACAUAGAGUAAAAUUUCAUUUUUCAAGAGGAUCCGAAAUAUAAAGUAGAAUUCCAUUUUUCAGGAGGGUCCUGAACAUAAAGUAAAAUCUCAUUUUUCAGGAGAGUCCUAAACAUAAAGUAAAAUUUUAUUUUUCAGAAGGGUCCUGAAUAGAAAGUAAAAUCCCAUUUUUCAGGAGGGUCCUGAAUAGAAGUAAAAUCUCAUUUUUCAGGAGGGUCCUAAACAUAAAGUAAAAUCUCAUUUUUAGGAGGGUCCUGAACAUAAAGUAAAAUUCCAUUUCUCAGGAGGGUCCUAAAUAGAAGUAAAAUCCCAAUUUACAGCAGGGUCAUGAACAUAAAGUAAAGUUCCAUUUUUUAGGAGGGUCCUGAACAUAAAGUAGAAUCUCAUUUUUCAAGAGGGUUCUGAACAGAAGUAAAAUCCCAUUUUUCAGGAGGGUCCUGAACAGAAAGUAAAAUUCUAUUUUCCAGGAGGGACAUGAAAGUCCCAUUUUUCAGGAGGGUCCUGAACAAAAAUUAAAGUCCCAUUUUUCAGGAGGGUCUUGAACAUAAAGUAGAAUCCUCUUUUUCAGGAGGGUCCUGAACAUAAAGUAAAAUUCCAUUUUUCAGGAGGGUCCUGAACAGAAAGUUAAAUCAAAUUUUUCAAGAGGGUCCUGAAUAUUAAGUAAAAUCUCAUUUUUCAGGAGGGUCCUAAAUAGAAGUAAAAUCCCAUUUUUCAGGAGGUUCCUGAAUAUAAAGUAAAAUCCCAUUUGUCAGGAGGGUCCUGAACAGAAAUUAAAAUUCUGUUUUCCAGGAGGGUCCUGAAUAGAAAGUAAAGUCUCAUUUUUCAGGAGGGUCCUGAACAAAAAUUAAAGUCCCAUUUUUCAGGAGGAACUGAACAUAAAGUAGAAUCUUAUUUUUCAGGAGGGUCCUGAACAUAAAGUAAAAUCUCAUUUUUCAGAAGGGUCCUAAAUAGAAGUAAAAUCCCAUUUUUUAGGAAGGUCCUGAACAAAAAUUAAAUUCCCAUUUUUCAGGAGGGUAUUGAACAUAAAGUAGAAUCUCAUUUUUCAGGAGGGUCCUGAACAUAAAGUAAAAUCUCAUUUUUCAAAAGGGUCCUAAAUAGAAGUAAAAUCCCAUUUUUCAGAAGGGUCCUGAACAUAAAGUAGAAUACCAUUUCUCAGGAGGGUCCUGAACAUAAAGUAAAAUUCUAUUUUUCAGGAGGGUCCUGAAUAUAAGGUAAAAUCCCAUUUUUCAGGAGGGUCUUGAAUAGAAGUAAAAUCCCAAUUUGCAUGAGGAUCAUGAAUAUAAAGAAAAAUCCCAUUUUGUAGGAGGGUCCUAAACAUAAAGUAGAAUCCCAUUAUUCAGCAGGGUCCAAAACAGAAGCAAAUUCUCAAUUUUUAGGAGGGUCCUGAGCAAAAAGUAAAAUUCUUUUUUCCAGGAGGGUCCUGAAUAGAAAGUAAAGUCUCAUUUUUCAGGAGGGUCCUGAACAAAAAUUAAAGCCCCAUUUUUCAGGAGGGUCCUGAACAGAAAGUAAAAUCCCAUUUUUUAGGAAGGUCCUGAAUAGAAAGUAUAAUCAAAUUUUUUAGGAGGGUCCUGAACAGAAAAUAAAAUCCUAUUUUUCAGGAGGAUCCUGAAUAGAAGUAAAAUCUCAUUUUUGAGGAGGGUUCUGAACAUAAAGUAAAAUCUCAUUUUUAGGAGGGUCCUGAACGUAAAGUAAAAUCCCAUUUUUCAGGAGGGUCCUGAAUAGAAGUAAAUUCCCAAUUUGCAUGAGGAUCAUGAACAUAAAGUAAAAUCCCAUUUUGAAGGAGGGUCCUGAACAUAAAGUAGAAUCCCAUUUAUCAGAAGGGUCCAAAACAGAAGCAAAAUCUCAGUUUUCAGGAGGGUCCUGAACAAAAGGUAAAAUUCUUUUUUCCAGGAGGGUCCUGAACAAAAAUUAAAGCACCAUUUUUCAGGAGGGUCCUGAACAGAAAGUAAAAUCCCAUUUUUUAGGAGGGUCCUGAACAGAAAGUAAAAUAAAAUGUUUAAGGAGGAUCCUGAAUAGAAAAUAAAUUCCUAUUUUUCAAGAGGGUCCUGAAUAGAAGUAAAUCUCAUUUUUCAGGAGGGUCCUGAACAUAAAGUAAAAUCUCAUUUUUAGGAGGGUCCUGAACAUAAAGUAAUAUCUCAUUUUUCAGGAGGGUCCUGAAUAGAAGUAAAAUCCCAAUUUACAGCAGGGUCAUGAACAUAAAGUAAAGUCCCAUCUUUUAGGAGGGUCCUGAACAUAAAGUAGAAUCUCAUUUUUCAAGAGGGUUCUGAAUAGAAGUAAAAUCCCAUUUUUCAGGAGGGUCCUGAAUAGAAAGUAAAAUUCUAUUUUCCAGGAGGGACCUGAAAGUCCCAUUUUUCAGGAGGGUCUUGGACAUAAAGUAGAAUCCUCUUUUUCAGAAGGGUCCUGAACAUAAAGUAAAAUCCCAUUUUUCAGGAGGGUCCUGAACAGAAAGUUAAAUCAAAUUUUUCAAGAGGGUCCUGAAUAGAAAGUAAAAUCCCAUUUUUCAGAAGGGUCCUGAACAUAAAGUAAAAUCCCAUUUUUCUGGAGGGUCCUGAACAGAAAGUAAAAUUCUGUUUUCCAGGAGGGUCCUGAACAGAAAGUAAAGUCUCAUUUUUCAGGAGGGUCCUGUACAAAAAUUAAAGUCCCAUUUUUCAGGAGGGUACUGAACAUAAAGUAGAAUCUCAUUUUUCAGGAGGGUCCUGAACAAAAAGUAAAAUCUCAUUUUUCAGAAGGGUCCUAAAUAGAAGUAAAAUCCCAUUUUUCAGGAGGUUCCUGAACAUAAAGUAAAGUCCCAUUUUUCAGGAGGAUCCCGAACAAAAAUUAAAGUCCCAUUUUUCAGGAGAGUACUGAACAUAAAGUAGAAUCUCAUUUUCAGGAGGGUCCUGAACAUAAAGUAAAAUCCCAUUUUUCAAAAGGGUCCUAAAUAGAAGUAAAAUCCCAUUUUUCAGGAGGGUCCUGAACAUAAAGUAAAAUUCUAUUUUUCAGGAGGGUCCUGAAUAUAAGGUAAAAUCCCAUUUUUUAGGAGGGUCCUGAAUAGAAGUAAAAUCCCAAUUUGCAUGAGGAUCAUGAACAUACAGUAAAAUCCCAUUUUGAAGGAGGGUCCUGAACAUAAAGUAGAAUCCCAUUUUUCAGGAGAGUCCAAAACAGAAGCAAAAUCUCAGUUUUCAGGAGGGUCCUGAACAAAAAUUAAAAUUCUUUUUUCCAGGAGGGUCCUGAACAAAAAUUAAAGCACCAUUUUUCAGGAGGGUCCUGAAUAGAAAGUAAAAUCCCAUUUUUUAGGGAGGUCCUGAACAGAAAGUAAAAUCAAAUUUUUCAGGAGGGUCCUGAAUAGAAAAUAAAAUCCUAUUUUUCAGGAGGGUCAUCAAUAGAAGUAAAAUCUCAUUUUUUAGGAGGGUCCUAAAUAGAAAGUAAAGUCCCAUUUUUUAGGAGGGUCCUGAACAUAAAGUAAAAUCCCAUUUUUCAGGAGGGUCCUGAAUAGAAGUAAAAUCCCAAUUUACAGCAGGGGCAUGAACAUAAAGUAAAGUCCCAUUUUUUAGGAGGGUCCUGAACAUAAAGUCGAAUCUCAUUUUUCAAGAGGGUCCUGAACAGAAGUAAAAUCCCAUUUUUCAGGAGGGUCCUGAACAGAAAGUAAAAUUCUAUUUUUCAGGAGGGACCUGAAAGUCCCAUUUUUCAAGAGGGUCCUGAACAAAAAUUAAAGUCCCAUUUUUCAGGAGGGUCUUGAACAUAAAGUAGAAUCCUCUUUUUCAGGAGGGUCCUGAACAUAAAGUAAAAUCCCAUUUUUCAGGAGGGUCCUGAACAGAAAGUUGAAUCAAAUUUUUCAAGAGGGUCCUGAAUAGUAAGUAAAAUCUCAUUUUUCUGGAGGGUCCUAAAUAGAAGUAAAAUCCCAUUUUUCAGGAGGUUCCUGAAUAUAAAGUAAAAUCCUAUUUUUCAGAAGGGUCUGAACAGAAAUUAAAAUUCUAUUUUCCAGGAGGGUCCUGAACAGAAAGUAAAGUCUCAUUUUUCAGGAGGGUCCUGAACAAAAAUUAAAGUUUCAUUUUUCAGGAGGGUACUGAACAUAAAGUAGAAUCCCAUUUUUCAGGAGGUCUUGAACAUAAAGUAAAAUCUCAUUUUUCAGAAGGGUCCUAAAUAGAAGUAAAAUCCCAUUUUUCAGGAGGGUCCUAAACAUAAAGUAAAGUCCCAUUUUUCAGGAGGGUCCUGAACAAAAAUUAAAGUCCCAUUUUUCAGGAGGGUACUGAACAUAAAGUAGCAUCUCAUUUUUCAGGAGGGUCCUGAACAUAAAGUGAAAUCCCAUUUUUCAAAAGGGUCCUAAAUAGAAGUAAAAUCCCAUUUUUCAGGAGGGUUCUGAACAUAAAGUAGAAUACCAUUUUUCAGGAGGGUCCUGAACAUAAAGUAAAAUUCUAUUUUUCAGGAGGGUCCUGAAUAUAAGGUAAAACCCAUUUUUCAGGAGGGUCCUGAAUAGAAGUAAAAUCCCAAUUUGCAUGAGAAUCAUGAAUAUAAAGUAAAAUCCCAUUUUGUAGGAGGGUCCUGAACAUAAAGUAGAAUCCCAUUUUUCAGGAGGGUCCAAAACAGAAGCAAAAUCUCAAUUUUCAGGAGGGUCCGGAACAAAAAGUAAAAUUCUUUUUUUCAGGAGGGUCCUGAAUAGAAAGUAAAGUCUCAUUUUUCAGGAGGGUCCUGAACAAAAAUUAAAGCCCCAUUUUUCAGGAGUGUCCUGAACAGAAAGUAAAAUCCCAUUUUUUAGGAGGGUCCUGAACAGAAAGUAAAAUCAAAUUUUUCAGGAGGGUCCUGAAUAGAAAAUAAAAUCCUAUUUUUCAGGAGGGUCGUAAAUAGAAGUAAAAUCUCAUUUUUCAGGAGUGUCCUGAACAUAAAGUAAAAUCUCAUUUUUAGAAGGGUCCUGAACAUAAAGUAAAAUCUCAUUUUUCAGGAGGGUCCUGAACAGAAAGUAAAAUUCUAUUUUUCAGGAGGGACCUGAAAUUCCCAUUUUUCAAGAGGGUCCUGAACAAAAAUUAAAGUCCCAUUUUUCAGGAGGGUUUUGAACAUAAAGUAGAAUCCUCUUUUUCAGGAGGGUCCUGAACAUAAAGUAAAAUUCCAUUUUUCAGGAGGGUCUUGAACAGAAAGUUAAAUCAAAAUUUUCAAGAGGGUCCUGAAUAUUAAGCAAAAUCUCAUUUUUCAGGAGGGUCCUAAAUAGAAGUAAAAUCCCAUUUUUCAGGAGGUUCCUGAAUAUAAAGUAAAAUUUCAUUUUUCAGGAGUGUCCUGAACAUAAAGCGGAAUUCCAUUUUUUAGAGGGUCCUAAACAGAAGUAAAAUCCCAAUUUUCAAGAGGGUCCUGAACAUAAAGUAAAAUCCCAUUAUUCAGGGGGGCCUUGAACAUAAAGUAAAAUAUCAUUUUUUUAGAAGGGCCUUGAAGAUAAAGUAAAAUCCCAUUUUUCAGGAGGGUCCUGAACAUAAAGUAGAAUCCCAUUUUUCAGGGGUCCUGAACAAAAGUAAAAUCUCAUUUUUCAGGAGGAUCCUAAACAUAAAGUAAAACCUCAUUUUUUAGGAGGGUCCUGAACAUAAAGUAAAAUCCCAUUUUUUAGGAGGGUCCUGAACAGAAAGUAAAAUUCUAUUUUUCAGGAAGGUCCUGAACAGAAUGUAAAAUUCCUCAUGGAUUUGUUUUUUCAAUGGUAACUGAAUUAAGUAAAGUGAAUUUGCCCCUGUUUCAACAAAGAAAAUUUGUCAGUUAAAAACUUAGUAGUGGCUUGCAGCACUUGCAUCCCAGGUAUCUGCUGCAACCGUUAUUCCUUUCACCUUUGUUUCAGAUUGCUGAAACUUGCCCCUGUCUUGUCGCAUCAUUCACCCGGAUUUAGAUUGAGGGGAAUGAGUUCUGACUCAAAUAAUGAAUUUCUAUUUUGCUAUGCCUCUGAGAUACACCCUUUUCCUAAUCUGAAUACUCCCAAGAAUCCCGCAGCCUGUCGGUUGAUAGACUUCCUUUACUUUGUGUUGAAUUACAAUCAUAUUUCUUUCAUGUGCUGAUCCUUGGCUUUUCCUCAUACAAUUGGAAAGAAUGGUAGCAAGUUUUGAAAUCAUUUCUCACCUGCUUUGACACAAACUUGAUAUAAAUGUAAAGAAAUGAUGACGAAUUUUAUUUUGAUAAAUGACCUAAAAAAAACAAAAUAUGAAUAUGUAAAUGAAAGAAAAGGGCAAUGUCCCUUAUUCAAAAAGAAAACCUAUCUAAAUACGGCAACCAACUCCAAUGAGUAUGACAUGCAAUUUGGAUUAAGCUGCCUGAUCUUCCUAUCCAAACUUCCCUAUUGUUGUUGAGUUCAUGCCUUUGCUGUUGAGCCGUUUCUUCAAAUCCAUUGGACUCAUAUAUCUCAUUCAAUUGAUGACAUCUUAAAAGACUUUCGCCAAUAAAUCUCUUUUUUUUUUCACUUUUCUCUCGAACUUGCCAUCGCCUAGGUGCCCAUAAGGGUUUUCACCAAUAAGACUCUCUCAUUUUUAUUUCUCUCGGCUCACCAUCGCCUUGUGGUGCCCGCAAGGAUUUUCACCAAUAAGACUCUCUUAUUUUUAUUUCUUUCCUGACUUAUUAUGCUGAGGAAGACAAGUAGUAGCCCACAAUGUAUCAUCAUAUCCAUUGCAUGCUUAGCCUUAACAUUAUCAAAGAUUGAUCUGAAGGUCUUUUUUGAUUGUAACUUAGUUUUUGGAUAAGGUUAGGAAGAAAAGAAUGGCAGGAGGCUCAAACGACACUUGAAGUGGGGGUGGGAUUUACAACUUUUGGAAUUAACUCAACAACAUAUUAUCUCAUGCCCCAGUUUUUUGUUGACUGGGUGACUCUAAAAUGGCUUAUUUGGUUGGACCGAGCCCUGAAUAGAGCAUCCUACGUAUCUCACUCCCAAGAGAGGAGAAUCAUAUCGCACGUAGUUCCAUCGGCUUGUUCUUUGUUUUGAUUUUAUUUUUUUCUCUCUUUUUUUCUUUUAUUUUCAAACUCUUUCUUUUAUUCUUAUUUUCCUGAUAUUUAUCUUUGACUCUAUUUUGAUUCCAAAAGAGAAAUGUGAAAGAAAAAUAAAACUAAGCUCAAACGGGUAAACAAAGGAUGACACAAUGUUUGGAUAGAAGAAUAAAAUGCCUUCAUCAUAUCAAUCUUCAAAAAUGUAAGUACUAAACAUGCAAUAAAAUCAACAAAGGAUAAAAUAUCAUACAUAAUAUCUUUUGACCGCAUCAGCAUUGAUAGCCAUUUUUGCCAUUUUGCCUCCAAUAUCUAUCAAAUAUAAGGCUCCAUUGGGCAACACUUUCUUCACAAUGAAGGGACCUUGCCAGUUUGGGGAGAACUUGCCUUUCGCUUCAACCUGGUGAGGAAGGAUACGCUUCAAUACCAACUGACCAACUUCAAAAUGCCUGGGUCAUACCUUCUUGUUAUAUGAUCGAUCCAUUUUCUUCUGAUACAAUUGGUCAUGACAUACCGAUGUUAGCCUUUUUUCCUCAAUCAAAAUCAAUUUUUUCCAAUCGGGUUUUGACUCACUCGUCAUCAUCAAUCUCUGCUUCCAAAAUGACUUGAAAAGAGUGAAUUUCAACUUCUACAGGAAUGACUACUUCUAUUCCAUACACCAAUAAAUAUGGAGUUUCCCCUAUUGAAGUGCGAACAUUAGUGCGAUAACCUAGCAAUGCAAAUGACAACUUCUCAAGCCAUUGUCUAGACCCUUGUACCAUUUUUCAUAGUAUCUUCUUGAUAUUUUUAUUUGCCGAUUCCACUGUGCCAUUAGCCUUUGGACGAUAUGGAGUGGAAUUUCAUUGUGCGAUCUUAAACUGUUGACACAUUUCUUGCAUCAAAUGACUAUUGAGAUUGGCAGCAUUGUCUGUAAUGAUCAUCUUUGGAAUUCCAAACCUACAAAUAAUAUUGGCAUGAAAAAAAUCUACCACCGCUUUCUUUAUUACUGACUUGAAAGUUACUGCUUCUACCCACUUUGUAAAGUAAUCGAUGGCUACCAAAAUAAAUCUAUGCCCAUUUGACGCUUUUGGCUCAAUCGGCCCAAUCAUGUCCAUCCCCCAAGCUACGAAAGGCCAUGGAGUAGACAUUUCGUGCAAUUCAAUGGUAGGAGAAUGUAUCAGAUCACCGUGUACCUGACAUUGAUGACAUUUUCGAACAAAACGAAUAAAAUCCCGCUCCAUAGUAAGCUAAUAAUAACCUGCUCGAAGUAUCUUCUUUGACAAGACAUAACCGUUCAUAUGCAGCCCGCAUACUCCAGAGUGUAUUUCAACCAUGAUCGUCGAGGCUUCUCUUGCAUCUACACACCUCAAAAGUCCCAGAUCCGGGGUUUUCUUAUACAAGAUUCCCCCACUUAAGAAAACUCCACUAGCCAAACACCUAAUAGUCCUAUUUUGAUCAUUGGUGGCAUGUGUUGGNNNNNNNNNNNNNNNNNNNNNNNNNNNNNNNNNNNNNNNNNNNNNNNNNNNNNNNNNNNNNNNNNNNNNNNNNNNNNNNNNNNNNNNNNNNNNNNNNNNNNNNNNNNNNNNNNNNNNNNNNNNNNNNNNNNNNNNNNNNNNNNNNNNNNNNNNNNNNNNNNNNNNNNNNNNNNNNNNNNNNNNNNNNNNNNNNNNNNNNNNNNNNNNNNNNNNNNNNNNNNNNNNNNNNNNNNNNNNNNNNNNNNNNNNNNNNNNNNNNNNNNNNNNNNNNNNNNNNNNNNNNNNNNNNNNNNNNNNNNNNNNNNNNNNNNNNNNNNNNNNNNNNNNNNNNNNNNNNNNNNNNNNNNNNNNNNNNNNNNNNNNNNNNNNNNNNNNNNNNNNNNNNNNNNNNNNNNNNNNNNNNNNNNNNNNNNNNNNNNNNNNNNNNNNNNNNNNNNNNNNNNNNNNNNNNNNNNNNNNNNNNNNNNNNNNNNNNNNNNNNNNNNNNNNNNNNNNNNNNNNNNNNNNNNNNNNNNNNNNNNNNNNNNNNNNNNNNNNNNNNNNNNNNNNNNNNNNNNNNNNNNNNNNNNNNNNNNNNNNNNNNNNNNNNNNNNNNNNNNNNNNNNNNNNNNNNNNNNNNNNNNNNNNNNNNNNNNNNNNNNNNNNNNNNNNNNNNNNNNNNNNNNNNNNNNNNNNNNNNNNNNNNNNNNNNNNNNNNNNNNNNNNNNNNNNNNNNNNNNNNNNNNNNNNNNNNNNNNNNNNNNNNNNNNNNNNNNNNNNNNNNNNNNNNNNNNNNNNNNNNNNNNNNNNNNNNNNNNNNNNNNNNNNNNNNNNNNNNNNNNNNNNNNNNNNNNNNNNNNNNNNNNNNNNNNNNNNNNNNNNNNNNNNNNNNNNNNNNNNNNNNNNNNNNNNNNNNNNNNNNNNNNNNNNNNNNNNNNNNNNNNNNNNNNNNNNNNNNNNNNNNNNNNNNNNNNNNNNNNNNNNNNNNNNNNNNNNNNNNNNNNNNNNNNNNNNNNNNNNNNNNNNNNNNNNNNNNNNNNNNNNNNNNNNNNNNNNNNNNNNNNNNNNNNNNNNNNNNNNNNNNNNNNNNNNNNNNNNNNNNNNNNNNNNNNNNNNNNNNNNNNNNNNNNNNNNNNNNNNNNNNNNNNNNNNNNNNNNNNNNNNNNNNNNNNNNNNNNNNNNNNNNNNNNNNNNNNNNNNNNNNNNNNNNNNNNNNNNNNNNNNNNNNNNNNNNNNNNNNNNNNNNNNNNNNNNNNNNNNNNNNNNNNNNNNNNNNNNNNNNNNNNNNNNNNNNNNNNNNNNNNNNNNNNNNNNNNNNNNNNNNNNNNNNNNNNNNNNNNNNNNNNNNNNNNNNNNNNNNNNNNNNNNNNNNNNNNNNNNNNNNNNNNNNNNNNNNNNNNNNNNNNNNNNNNNNNNNNNNNNNNNNNNNNNNNNNNNNNNNNNNNNNNNNNNNNNNNNNNNNNNNNNNNNNNNNNNNNNACAUUAUCUGCACAGACCUCAAUCUUCUUAUGCAUCAUAUCAUGAAACAUAGUGGUCAUGGCUCUCAUGUAUGUUGCUCCAGCAUUUUUCAAACCAAACGGCAUCACUCGAUAACAAUAGGUCCCCCAUAGUGUGAUAAAAGAUGUCUUCUCCGCAUCUUUAUCAUCCAUAAUUAUCUGGUGGUAUCCGGCAUAGCAAUCCAUAAAAGAGGCAACCUCAUGUUUAGCAUAGUUGUCCAGCAAAAUAUGGAUGUUGGGCAGCGGAAAAUCAUCUUUCGAAUUUGCUCUGUUCAAAUCACGAAAUCAAUACAUACUCGAAUUUUGCCAUCUUUCUUUGGGACAGGAACAACAUUGGAUAACCAUGUGGGAUAACGAGCCACUCGAAUUACAUUGGCUUCAAGUUGUUUUAUAAUUUUCUCUUUGAUUUUAAAACUUACAUCAGUUUUAAACUUCCUCGAUUUCUGUUUGACAGGAGGGAAUGCGGGAUCAGUUGACAAUUUAUAAGCCACUAAUUCAGUGCUUAAACCAGACAUAUCAUCAUAAGACCAUGCAAAAACAUCCUUAUAAUAAAUUAAUGCUUGAAUCGUUCCAUUUUUUAACUGUGGCAAAGCAUGUACACUGAUUUUAGUUUCCCUAACAUCUUCUUGAUUCCUUAGAUUAAUUGGCUCAGUUUCAUUCAAAUUAGGAUUCGGCUUGUCUUCAAACUGUUCCCACUCUUUGUUUAUUUCUUCUAGUUCCUCUUCUUCAUCAUAUUCCCCCUCUUGCUUUAUUAUAUCUUGAUUAGUUUGGAUUUUAAGAUCAGGCUGAAAAUUCCGCAUGCAUGUCAUGUCAUUAGAAUCAGCAUAAAGAGAACUAUAUAAAGAAAGAGACAAAAACAAAAUGUAUUAGACACAAAAUAAGAGAGACAUUGCAUUUCAUUUAAAAGGGAAAAAUAGGAGGGUUUAAACACAAACAACAGAAUAUAAACAAGCUAAAUUCUGAAAUACAACCCUGGAAUAACUCGGAUAAACAGAAAGAAAAACAAAUGAACUACCAAAACUCCCUUCUAACAGGGAGAGGAGUGACUUCCCAAAUGUUGAGGCGGACAGCUGGGCCUAUGAACUGCACACCUGCCUUACUUGGUACCUUCUCCUGCUUCAACCAUAUCAACUUCAAUAAAAAGGUUCUGGAAGUCAUCAACCAAUUUAGCUUCAAAUCCUACAUGCUUCGUGACACCGCUCUUAACAAAUGAUUCACUGAGUAAUGGCAUUGGGUGAGGGAGUGACCAUGUUUCCUUUUUCCUUCCCUUGGCUUUCUUCAGAUCUUCAGCCAUAGGAUCAAAUCCCAGACCAAAAGUGCCAUGUUCUCACUCGAACAUAUGGGACGAACUAUACCGUGCAGAGACGCUCCCAAACCCCUUCCUAGCUUGAAUCCAUAUUUCAAAAGUUCACUUACCAUCAUGAUAGAAGCAGAAGACAAUUAUGGUCCCGGUAUAACCUGCCCUUCUAGGAUAGAUUUCAUAUCCUUGAGUGUAUCCGGGAUUAUCUAAACCUGUCCUGAGAGUAUCCACGCCCUGCCAUGUGCAUUACUCCAGAAUUGCUCAUACUUGAUCUCACCCCUGGCUUGGUACCUAAAGUACUCCACAUCCUUUUGAAAGUCCACUAUUGGCGAAACAUCUUGCACUCUACCCAAUUGACGCAUUACCCUAAGAGGAGUGUAUGGUCGGGUACAAUUAAGCCCCAACAAAACUAGAUGGGGAGUAUGCUAGAUCCAACCAAGAUUACUUUCGGUCGGAACAAUAGAUAGGUCCACAAGACAUUGCUAUCUGUUCUUAGUUCAAGAAACUCAACCAAAGCGUCGACUUCUAUAGGUAAUGAGAAUUUAGCAAAACCCAUUCUAUGUUCUAUGGUUUCGACUUGACUAGGCAGAGAAUGGUCAGUCAUAUCAGAUUUAAGCAAAGAAGGGGCGUGCAAAUGCUCCAUCAUCCAUAGUUGUAACACUAGGUUGCUCCCCUCAAAAAAUUGCAUACCCCCUUUUAUCUCGGUCAAAGCUUUGUAUAUUUCCACCAAGAUCAGAAGCACGAUAGUGACCUUGUCUCCCUUAUCCUUGUUAAAUAAGGCCAUCGCUACAAAUUGCAAUUGAGUAUUAAUACGCCUAUCUUCCAAAGGGAAUACCAAAGUGCCUAACAGAACAAAGGAGAAGACUUCAAGGCGAUGCUCCCAAUUCUUCUUAGUUGUAUAAAAUUCAUCCCAAAAACAAUCAAAACCUUCUAGGAGGCCAAACUGAGCAUACAAGUAAUCUAAAGAGAUCCAAGAUUGGUUAAGGCAACCUAGAUGGUCAUUAACGUUCAACCCAUAACAGUGGAGAAACCUAUUGGGAGAAUGACACCGCGCUCGAAUCAUCAUCUUUUUAAUGUAGGGCAAUUUAAAUAAUCCAGAUAUCUCCGCCAAGGUAGGUGUCAUUUCACAACUCCCAAGCCUAAAAACUAGACAAGUUGGAUCCCAAAAAGUCAAUGCAGCCUCGAUCAAUUUUGGAUGGGGCAUGAUAGACAAGAAAGAAGUGAGAGUGCCUAGCUUCUUUGAUAACUCAUGCCUUUUGGAGUAGUUAAACGUGCCCCACCACUUGAUUAACUUCUUGGGCACUUUAGAAACCAUUAGGACUUUACACCUUGGAGGCAGAUCCAUCUUGUAACAACACACAAGACUUAUGAUCUAACAAUUGAUAAAAGGGGAGAAGUUCCCGGCCCUCGAGAUUUGGACACGGACAGGUUAUCAUGCAGAAACAAACCACUUUAGACUCAGAUUAAAACAAAUGGUACCACUAAGUGCGGUCAGCCUACUUGGCCAAGCGGUCAGCCUACUUGGCCAAGAUUAACCGACGACUCUAGUCCAGACUAGAAAGGAGGAGACCCCAAGCUAGGACUAAGAUAGUGACCAAAAUAAAAUUUUACUGGACCCACCGAGGGUUGCCUACGUAUCCGGCCCCGAAGUAUGAGAGAUACAUGUAUCCCGCCUCGAAGGACGAGAAUCAGGUACGCGUAGUACACAAUCAAUGUGCAUAACUUAAAUCAUUCAUAAGUAAUUUCCUUCCAGUUUAAUAAUAUGAAGUAAGAACUACGGAAAUAGGCUCACCAAAAUUUUGUAAAAUGUAUUUCAUUGAACAAGUAACCAAUAAGGAGUAUAAAUGUAAACUGUACAACAACAAAAACACACCCAACGUAAUCCCGUAAGCGGGUUUUGAGGAGAAUGGUAUGUACACAACUUUACCUCUACUUUAUGAAGAUGGAGAGGUUGUUUCCAAUGGAUUCUCGACCCAAGUAAAGCAAUAUAGCUAUAAAUUGCAUUGAUACUAAUUAGUUGAGGAAAAAAAGAAUUGGCUUAAGAUUAUUUCACCCAAAUAGUAGAUCUAAUCAUACUACUACUUAUUUUUCCCCUGUUAUUCCUCUGCCGGCCAUAAAAUGGAAAUUCAAAAUAUACAUAUGACUUACCAAUUCUGUUGAUGCCUUCUACGUUGAGGUGAAAUAUCAGGUGAUACAUAAACAGUUUGAUCCAAAAUUGUGCGAACUUUAACAUGAUAUGAUAUUAUCUGCUUUGGGUCAAACACACACGAAUGUUUUCAAAAUGCCUCACAUAACUAAGAAUAUUCAACACCUAAUAAUUAAGGUACUUUUCUUUUAAAUUAUCAAUCUGAAAUUUUGUUCACACACCAAACCAAAAUAUAUACCACUCUAUGUGAAACAAUUCAAUACAGGUGUUACAAACUUGAUUUUCUUCUAAAGUUAUGAUGUUUUUUUUAAAAAAAUUAAAAGUUGUGAGAAAGAAAGCAGCAAAUUGUUACUAUUUUUUUAUUUUUUUUUUUAAAAUAUCCCAUUUGUCUGUAUGUAAACUUUGAGAUAAGGACGAUUGAGUGUGACGUUAGGGGUUAAAAUUCUUGCGGCCAUCCAUUUUGAAAUGUCAAGAACCACAUAAUCCAAUGGUUACCAUUCCUCAAAGAUGAGGUUUGCGAGCUAUUUUUGUCGGUUAGUUUGGAAAAAGAUGUGAAGCCUUAUCACUAUAUAGAUAGAGGGGUUGCUACAGAGCCAACAACCCUCUUGAAAUUAAAGGUUAAGGAAAGCAUAGCAGUAGCUUUAAGCUAAGCACUUAAUUUUCAGCAAUGGCUUCUUCAGUGAUGUCCACAGCAACUGUUGCCACCGGCGCCAAUGCUGCACAAGCCAGCAUGAUUGCAUCCUUCAAUGGCCUUAAAUCCGCAGCCUCUUUUCCUGUUACAAGAAAGCAAGACCUUGACAUCACCUCCAUUGCUAGCAAUGGUGGAAGAGUCCAAUGCAUGCUGGUUCGUAAUAUUGGAUUUAACUUAUAUACACUGACACAGUACAAGGAAUUUAAAACUAAUUGUAGUAGGUUAUCUGCCUUAAAUUUUUAAUUGUCAAGUUACUAAUCUCAGUUAUUAUGAACAAUUGUGUCCGUAUGUCAUUCCAAAAUUUAAUCUACACUAUUAUUUUGCCUUAAUUUCACCAAAUAUAAUUAUGUACAUAGGAAAGGAUAAAUUUCACUGACCCUGUUUUAGAUUUAACGUGUUACCUCCUCUCUUGAAGCUUGUUUAGCUAAUUAUUUACGUGAUAUGUGUAUAGGUAUGGCCACCAAUUAACAAGAAGAAGUACGAGACUCUUUCAUACCUUCCUGAUUUGUCCGACGAGCAAUUGCUCAAGGAAAUUGAGUACCUUUUGCAAAAGGGAUGGGUUCCUUGUUUGGAAUUCGAGACUGAGGUUAACAUCUCUCUGUUCUUAAAAUAUAUGAUAAUUAAUAACAACUAAUUAGUAAUAUGUUAUGUUGAUGUUGUGGAUGUGUACAGCACGGAUUUGUGUACCGUGAGCACCACAGGUCACCUGGAUACUACGAUGGCAGGUACUGGACCAUGUGGAAGUUGCCCAUGUUCGGGUGUACUGAUGCUACCCAGGUCUUGAAUGAAGUCCAGGAGGCAAAGAAGGCUUACCCACAGGCCUGGAUCCGUAUCAUCGGAUUCGACAACGUUCGUCAAGUGCAGUGUAUCAGUUUCAUCGCCUACAAGCCCGAAGGCUACUAAAUUAUCCAUGUUUAAUGUAUAACCUGGCCCUAUGUCUUUAAGGGAAGCUCGUUUGAAUCCUCCUCAAGUUUUUCCCUGGAGAAACUGUAUUGAUUUUCCAUUGUUUUCCUUUUCUCUAUUCAGUGUAUGCUCUUGGAUUCCAGUUGAGUUUAUGAGAACUAAUAAUAAUAAUCAUUUGUUUCUUUGCUUAUUUGCCUUAUGAGACAUGAUUUCUGGUGCAUAUAUAUAUAUAUAUGAAAUGUUUAUGCUCUGCACCAACUACAUUUUUUGUCAGGCAGUCUUGUACAAUUAUAUUCAAUUCAAUGUACAAUUAUGAUAUAAGGCGAUAUGGAUAGAGAAGAUUUAUUAUCCAGCCGAUUCUAACUAGUCUUGCAUUGAGGCAUAGUGGAUUGAUGGGCGAAACCGACAGCAUACAUACAUUACGUUUUUAGUUAUAGCACAAACUUAUGGAGAAAUUGUCCGUAACUUUCAUAAUAAUGAUUGCUAAUCGACACAAUUGACAAGUUAUCUGUUACCGUGAUCUAUUUUGCUAUGCCAUGAAUUUCUUUCCCCUUUUGAUUAUCAUAUCUUCUAUAUGUAUAUAUAGCUCCGAAUCGAUGUAACAUACCAAUUACCAACUACAUUUGACAUUAUUAUAAGACAACUCUUUCACCGUAGAAGAAUCUCAGUUUUCCCUCACCAUAAUUAAGGAAGUGGCGAUAAAAGGAUCAUGUCCAAACCUUUUUUAUUAAAGAACAAAAUUGUGAAAAACCUAUUAUCUACUCCCAAAAUCUCAAAAUUAAACGAUGAAGCCAUAAAAAUUUGGGAUAACUACAAUCCAACCUUUGGAUAAUCUAGUUUACGAAAUAGCCGGUAAAUGUAUAUGUUUGUUAUAUCUUAUAAGUAAUACGAUACAAACAUACAAAUAGAGUACACAUAAUCAAUGUAUAAAUUUUAUAUAAUUCGACCAUAUUGGUAAAUAAAUUUGUCAAACUGUACGUAUUGAUAAAUUCUCCUAAUAAUUUCAAUCAAAUAAAGCUUCAUAUCCUCCUAUUUUUUUUUUUAUAUAUAUUUUUUUGUACUCGUCCACCAUAAUGGCGUUCCUUGGCUAGUCAUAAGGCCCAUAACGGCAAGGGGUUCAUGCAUGACGUUGACAUGUGUGGCCAUGCUAACAACUAGAUAGAACUAAAAAUGGAAAAAUUUCAGAAAUAACUAUAGAGUCUUAAUUGUACCUUUAUAGCAACAGUUUUAUAAUUACGAAAAAUAGCAAAUUAUAUUUUGUAUUUAAAUAAACUGUUGCUAUACAAAUACAUAUACAACAAGAUUUACUGUCCUUGUUUUACUCAAAUUAGUUGAGUUAAAUAAGGAAUAAUUAUCCUAUCUAAUUAAAUUUCCAUACAUUACUCUUAUUUAAAUUAGUAGAUUUCUUUUCCAACAAACUCAAAUAUGAAGAUUAUUAUUUACAUGUUCUUCAAAAUUUCAAAAUAUUAUUCUCUUAUAUCUCUAACUAUUUUUUCUUGUUAGUUUUUUCAUUUUUUUUUAAUAUUUUUUUUAAUUUUAAUUUCUUUUUCAUUUUUUGUUCCACUUUAUUUUCUCUCUUCUACUUCUUUUUUCUUUUUUUCAUUUUUCAUUUUUUUAUUUACUUUUUUCUUUUUUUCGUUUUCAUUCUUUUUUUUUUUUUCCCUUUUCACUUCUUUUUUUUUUUUGAAUUUUUAUUUUUCGUUUUUAUUUUUUUCUAUUUUUUUUCUUUUUUUUACUCUUCUAUCUCUAUCUUUUAUUUUUAAAAGACAAAUAUUUAUAUCAUAUAUAUGUAUAUUCAAAAAAUAUACAAAAUAAAAAGACAUACUGAUCUGCAUAUGUAUUUACUAUAAAAAAAAACAUACAUAUGUAUCUGCAUAUGUAUUUACAGAAAUGCGUAUCUGACUUACAUGUAUAUAUAAACAUAUAUGACACAAUUUCUAUAACAAAAAUGACAAUUAUAUGCAUAUACAUAUAAAUAAUAAAAAAAUACAUGACACAUAUCUUAAACAGUAAAAGAAAAUAAAUAAGUACGUAUGUUACCUUCUAAAAUGACAUAGUAUGUACAGUUCAAAGACAAAUUCAACACCGUAUAAAAUACAUAUAGCUCUGCAUAUGUAUUUAUAGAAUACAUACUUGAUCCAUAUGUAUAUUCUUAUUUUAUUUGAGUUACCUUUGUAUUUUGCAAAUACAUAUGAAGAUAUAUAAUAUAGUUAUGUUCAUUACUGUUUAAUAUGAAUAUGAUAUGUAUUUCGUAAAUAAUAUGUAUGUUUUGUACUGAAAUACAUAUAUAGAUUUGUAUGACUAUGUAUUUUGUAUGUUUUUGAUUAUGUGUAUGUGAUAUACAUAUUUGUCUUUCUAAAAUAAAAGUUAGAAAUAGAAAAAAAAUUAUAUAAAAAGAAAAAACGAAAAAAAGAGAAGUGAAAACAGAAAAAAAAAUGAAUGAAAGAGAAAUAGAAGUAUAAAAAUAAAAGAAAAAAAAACAAAAUAAAUUAGAAAAAAUAAGAAAAAAACGAAAAUAGAAAAAGAGAAAAAAAGAUAUGAGAAAGAAAAAAAAAAGAAAACGAAAAGAAAAAAAAAGAAAUAGAAAAGAGAAAAUAAAGUGAAAAUAAAAAAAUGAAAAAGAAAUCAAAAUAAAAUAAUAAAAAAAUAAGAUAAAAAAACUAAUAAGAAAAAAAAAGGUAGAAAUAUAAGAGAGUGAAAGAUGGUAAUGAUGUUUUAUAUUGAAAUCUUGAAAAUCGUGGAGAUAAUUAUCUUCAAAUAUGAAAAAGCAAAAAAAAGAAAAAAAUGAAAAAGAAAAAAAAAAGAGAAAUAAAAGAAAGAAAAUAAAUUGAAAAUGAAAAAAUGAAAAUAACAUAAAAUAAAAAAAUAAAAUGAUAAAAAAUAAGAAGAAAAAAAAGGGGUAAAAGAUAGCUAUAUUUGAUGGAGGUGAAAUAGUGGAGUAAAGAUAGAAAAAUGUAAAGUAAUGAGAGUAAAACAUGUACUUCAAAAAUAUUAUUGUUUAUUAUAAUUAUAGUUUUAAAUAUGCUACUUUCUGUAAUUUUCCCCCUAAAAUUUUGUUGUUUCCUUUUGUUGCCUUCUACUAAAGUUAAUGUGAAAUAUCAGGUGAUUCGAAAUCAAUUUGGCCCAACUAGGUUUCCCUUUCUAUAGGUAAUAAUAUCACAUUUCUCCUAAAAGAGAAAUACGCACCACCAAAAAUGUAGCAGACAAAUCAUAUUAAUAAGAAUACUCCUAAGAAUGGUUACUUAAUUACCUAAUUUGCAGUUGAUCUCAAAGUGAUUCUGUUUUAUUGAUACCAUUGAUGCACAAAGUUUAUUAAGCAACGCAUGUAUGUAACUUCAUAAUUUUUUUUUAUGUUGUUGAUGCUUCUUGAUUCAUAAUAGUUAAUUAAGCAUCGCUCUUGAGUAACUUAAUAAUUUUUUUGACACUAAUAAUGCACAAAAGUUAAUUAAGUACCGCAUUAGAAUAACUUCAUAGUACUUUUUUGACACUCUUAUUGCGCAAUAGUUAAUUAAGCAUCGUUUUUGAUAACUUCAUAAUUUUAUUGACACUAUUGAUGCACAAAAGUUAAUCAAGCACCACAUUUAAGUACCUUUAUAAUUUUUUUUGACACUAUUGAUGCACAAAACUUAAUUAAGCAUCACAAUCUUAAGUAACUUCAUAAUCAUUUUGACACUGAUGAUACACAAAAGUUAAUUAAACACCGCUUUUUAAUCAACUUUAUACCUUUCUUUGGUACAAAAUUAAUUAAUCACCACUUUUAAGUAACUACAUGCAGUAAUAUUUAUUAAGUUCCCAAUCUCAUCGAUCCUCUAUCCAUGCUUUACUUUUUGUUGCCUAUUUCUUAUGUACUAGCUUUUCGUUAGUCCAGUUUCAGGAUUGUAGGAAGAAAAACAUUAUUGGUUUUCAUUAAUUACUUUCUCUGUCUCAAAUUAUCCGUUCCAAAUUUUCUAAUUUGAUUUCUCAUUUUACUUGUAUUUUUUCAUUAAUCAAGAAGAGACAANNNNNNNNNNNNNNNNNNNNNNNNNNNNNNNNNNNNNNNNNNNNNNNNNNNNNNNNNNNNNNNNNNNNNNNNNNNNNNNNNNNNNNNNNNNNNNNNNNNNNNNNNNNNNNNNNNNNNNNNNNNNNNNNNNNNNNNNNNNNNNNNNNNNNNNNNNNNNNNNNNNNNNNNNNNNNNNNNNNNNNNNNNNNNNNNNNNNNNNNNNNNNNNNNNNNNNNNNNNNNNNNNNNNNNNNNNNNNNNNNNNNNNNNNNNNNNNNNNNNNNNNNNNNNNNNNNNNNNNNNNNNNNNNNNNNNNNNNNNNNNNNNNNNNNNNNNNNNNNNNNNNNNNNNNNNNNNNNNNNNNNNNNNNNNNNNNNNNNNNNNNNNNNNNNNNNNNNNNNNNNNNNNNNNNNNNNNNNNNNNNNNNNNNNNNNNNNNNNNNNNNNNNNNNNNNNNNNNNNNNNNNNNNNNNNNNNNNNNNNNNNNNNNNNNNNNNNNNNNNNNNNNNNNNNNNNNNNNNNNNNNNNNNNNNNNNNNNNNNNNNNNNNNNNNNNNNNNNNNNNNNNNNNNNNNNNNNNNNNNNNNNNNNNNNNNNNNNNNNNNNNNNNNNNNNNNNNNNNNNNNNNNNNNNNNNNNNNNNNNNNNNNNNNNNNNNNNNNNNNNNNNNNNNNNNNNNNNNNNNNNNNNNNNNNNNNNNNNNNNNNNNNNNNNNNNNNNNNNNNNNNNNNNNNNNNNNNNNNNNNNNNNNNNNNNNNNNNNNNNNNNNNNNNNNNNNNNNNNNNNNNNNNNNNNNNNNNNNNNNNNNNNNNNNNNNNNNNNNNNNNNNNNNNNNNNNNNNNNNNNNNNNNNNNNNNNNNNNNNNNNNNNNNNNNNNNNNNNNNNNNNNNNNNNNNNNNNNNNNNNNNNNNNNNNNNNNNNNNNNNNNNNNNNNNNNNNNNNNNNNNNNNNNNNNNNNNNNNNNNNNNNNNNNNNNNNNNNNNNNNNNNNNNNNNNNNNNNNNNNNNNNNNNNNNNNNNNNNNNNNNNNNNNNNNNNNNNNNNNNNNNNNNNNNNNNNNNNNNNNNNNNNNNNNNNNNNNNNNNNNNNNNNNNNNNNNNNNNNNNNNNNNNNNNNNNNNNNNNNNNNNNNNNNNNNNNNNNNNNNNNNNNNNNNNNNNNNNNNNNNNNNNNNNNNNNNNNNNNNNNNNNNNNNNNNNNNNNNNNNNNNNNNNNNNNNNNNNNNNNNNNNNNNNNNNNNNNNNNNNNNNNNNNNNNNNNNNNNNNNNNNNNNNNNNNNNNNNNNNNNNNNNNNNNNNNNNNNNNNNNNNNAAUUAAUUAAACACCGACACUGAUGAUACACAAAAAUUAAUUAAACACCGCUUUUUAAUCAACUUUAUACCUUUCUUUGGUACAAAAUUAAUUAAUCACCACUUUUAAGUAACUACAUAGUAAUAUUUAUUAAGUUCCCAAUCUCAUCGAUCCUCUAUCCAUGCUUUACUUUUUGUUACCUAUUUCUUAUGUACUAGCUUUUUGUUAGUCCAGUUUCAGGAUUGUAGGAAGAAAAAGAUUAUUGGUUUUCAUUAAUUACUUUCUCCGUCCCAAAUUAUCCAUCCCAAAUUUUCUAAUUUGAUUUCUCAUUUUACUUGUAUUUUUUCAUUAAUCAAGAAGAGACAAUUUUUUUUUUCCAUAUUUUACCCUUUGCAUUAAUUACUUUUUCUUCAAAUUAAAAUGUAAACAUCAUUUAAUAGGUGUAUUACAAUAAAUUAGAUAUGUUAUUAAUUAUUUUUCUUAAUCAAUAUGUCAUCACUAUUUAGGACGGAUAAUUUGGGAGGGAGAAAGUAUCUCAUUGUCAAAUUGGGGAGUAAAAAUAACAACACAAUGACAAAAUUGUCUAAUUCUCAUUCAAAACCAAAUUAAACCCCAAAUUUACGAAAUUAAGGUACGUAGCUUGUUUAUUUAUUUGAUACAACUGUUCACAUAUCUACACUUGUUUAAGUAGGUGGUAAAAAGCCUCAAAUGGAGAGACUUUAAACACUGCUCUUAGGUAAUGUCAUAAUUUUAUUUUAUUUUUUGAUGUAAUUGGUGCACAAAGUCUAUUAAACAUUGUUUUUAAGUAAAUACAUAAAUUUAUUGGUAUUGUUGGUGUACAAAAGUUAAUUAACCACCAUUUUAAGUAAUUAUAUUUUGGAUUUAUUGGUGCACAAAAGUUAAUAAAACACCAUUUUUGUGUAACUUCCUAACUUUGUGACACGAUUGUUGCACAAAAGUUAAUCAAGGUCCACAAUUAAGUGUCACACCCCUUUUUUUAACUCCAAAAUGAUUUGUUUUAAGGUUUCGAAAAGGUUUUUAUUAUUAACGUGACAAAAUAAAGAUUUGUUUCGAAAAAAGAUUAUUUUUAUAUUCAAACUCAGAGUCGCUACUUGACAUAAUCCGAUGUGCCAAGUCACCUUUGGAAAAUCCUUUUCAAAAUGAUUUGACUCUUUAAACUGGUUUGCGAACAGAGAUUCUGGCUAAGGAAUUCUGUUGACCGAGGGAAAGGUGUUAGGCAUCCCCCGAUCCCGUGGUUCGGCCAUAGUUGCUUGGUAGAACGUAUCGGCUAAUUUGACACUACGAAUGUACAAACCACAAAGGAGCACGUAAAGCAAUCAAACAAACAUACCAGGUAAAACGAAUAAAAGUAUAGUGUUCAGUCCAAUUAUACAGUUCCAAAAUAAAAAUACAAAAAUAAAUCCUAUCUAACCUAUACUAAUCCUAACUACGCUCCCAAACUUUACCCGAUGCCUCAGGCCUUCCUCACGAACAUCUUCCAUCAACAUAGUACGUCGGGGUAUACCCCGGUGAAUAACUACAAUGUGUCUCGAGGCAUUCUCCGGCUAAAUGAUACAUUCGAUCCAAAAGCAACAAAACCAAACCAUUCAACACGCAUUUCAAGCAUUCAAUAAUUCAACGAGCAAAACACUUAUUCCUAAAUAUUUGCCUACCCAAACCUACUUAUAGCUAUUCAUUCGAUGGCCUAACAUGAUGCUAUCCAAUUCGACAAUAUUCAGUAAUGAAUUAAAAUAAACAACCUUCGACUUAUUCGAUUAUUAAUUUUCGAUCCCGACCCCCAAAUUCAUUAUUAAUGAUUAAACCAAUUCUAUACACAUUUCAUCAAUCAAGUUUUCAACUCCAAAUUCAACAUCAAACAAACAAACAACGAGGAUUCGUAUAUGCUCAAACACAAAUCAUUCGUGAUCACGGGAAAAUAAAAAAAAGGAAGAAGUUGGAAUUGGACCUCAAAGAGCUUUCGAUUGACUUAAUAAAAGAAAUAAGAGCCCGUCCAAGAACCUCGAAGAACGCCAACGUAAGCCCAAUCCUCCAAAUCAAUCGAGAAACAAUCCAAGAAUGCAAUAAAACUCCAAAUUUCAAUCCGAACCAAAUAUAUCUAUGAGUGAAAUCGAUGAACAAAGCUAGACCAAACACUUAAGUAUCGCACGAAUCAACCAAAAUCAGCCAAGAACGACGAAAAACCAAACUAGAAUUUCCAAUCAACAAAAAAAGAAAAUGGAAGAACCGAACCAACUAGACCAAGUUUUCAGCGAGCUGAGACAACGGCAGAAGGCUUAAACUCCAAAAAUCUAACAUUUUCUGGGGAGAUUUCUUCUUUAAAAGAAGAGAAAAAAAUGAGAAGAUUUGAGAGUUUUGAGACCGGUUUAUAUGAACGACGAGCGGAGGAAAUGAUUUCGGUGAAGCUAUUGCUAGAACAGUAACCCAAAACCUCCCUUUUCUAUUACGGGAUGGAGAUAUAUAUGGGUAUGUGUAUGUAAAAAUGGAGUUGAAUAGAGGUUGGGGGGUCUGUGUGUUUAUCUCCAAGAGCAAAAAAAAAAUUCCUUCUUUUUCUUAGUGAGUAUAAGUGUAUAGCUAUGGUGAGGUAUGAAUCAAUUCAAUCCAAAAAAAAAAAAUGACGAGUAUCUGUAUGGUUUCAUGGGUGGGUCUUGUGAAUGGAGAGCUUUUUUUUUUUUUUUAGAAAGUUUGUUAGAGAAAAGAAAUAAAAAUGUGGGGUAAAGUAAAGGGGGUAUGGGGUGGGGUAGGUGAAAUUUCCUGGAAGUUACCUAGGUUUGUGUAUUUUCUUUAUGGCCAAGAAAAGGGAGGGAGUCACGUGGGUGGGGGUUAGGAGAAGGGUGAGGUGUUGUUUUUUAAUUGGAGGGGUAAGGGUUAGGUGUUUUUUUUUAUUGGGUGGGUUGUUGGAAUCUUUGAAAUAAGACAAAAUUAGUUAUUUGGAUAAAAGUAAAAUAAAUAAAAAAAAUAACUAAAUAAGUGAAAGAGGUGGUUAUUUAUUUAUUUUUCUUGUGGGAAGAUUAUAUAUAAAAAAAAAGGGGUUAAAUUGUGUGAUAACGAAAUAAGAAAUAUUUUUUUGACGGGACAAAAUUACGUGUCUACAUCAUGCCCCCUUUGAAUGUAAACACUAAGUGUUUUCAGACAAAGAAGUAGACAAUAAGAUAGAAUUUUGUCCCGACCAUUAUUCAAAAGAAGAAACAAAAAGAAGAAAGAAGGGAAACCGAGUCCUUACUUAGGACACCCUACCUACCCAAUUUAUGAGGGAAUCAAAUGACAAGUAUCUCAAAGGAUUGAAGGGAGAUGGACUAUACCGAGUUGGAGAGUCGAGUGAGGUUCCAUCGAGGUUCCGGUCCGCCGCUCUGUCAUUACAUCAAAAUGAAAAUUACAAGUUAACAUAUAAAUGAAAUUACAAAAUCCUAUAUAUGUAGCUUUCCUUGACUCUUGGCUCGAGUUUUAUAACCCUAUUCUUCAGGCAGGCUCCUGACUUGCAAUUUCUUUCGACUUGUUGCUUGACUUUCAAUUUCUUUGCUUUGUUGCUUGACUUUCAUUUAUUCGCCCUGCUCUUCAGGCGGGCUUCUGACUUACCAUUUUUGUCUUUCAAUUUCAUUAUCCUGUUCUUCAGGCGAGCUCCUGGCUUGCAUUUCUUUAAUUUCACAUUGCCUCACCCUGUUCUUCAGGCGGGCUCCUGACUUACAAUUUUCUCACCCUGUUCUUCAGGCGAGCUCCGAAAACCAGAUUCAAAAUUCGAACGACAACUAUCCCAAACAAAGAUUAUAAUAAGGAAGGAUUUCAUCAUUUUUGAGAGUAAUGUCCCAUUUUCUAGGAGGGUCCUGAACAGAAAGCAAAUUCACAUUUUUCAGAAGGGUCCUGAACAGAAAGUAAGUCCCAUUUUUCAAGAGGGUCCUGAACUUAAAGUAAAAUUCUAUUUUUUAGGAGGGUCCUGAACAGAAAGUAAAAUCCCAUUUUUCAGGAUGGUCCUGAACAUAAAGUAAAAUCUCAUUGUUCAAGAGUGUCCUGAACAGAAAGUAAAAUUCCAUUUUUCAGGAGGGUCGUGAACUAUAAAGUAAAAUCUCAUUUUUCUGGAGGGUCCUGAACAGAAGUAAAAUCUCAUUUUUCAGGAGAGUCCUGAACAUAAAGUAAAAUUCUAUUUUUCAGGAGGGUCCUGAACAUAAAGCAAAAUCCCAUUUUUCAGAAGGUCCUGAAUAGAAGUAAAAUCCUAUUUUUCAGGAGAGUCCUGAACUUAAACUAAAAUCUCAUUUUUCAGGACGGUCCUGAACAUAAAGUAGAAUCCCAUUUUUCAGGAGGGUCAUGAACAGAAGUAAAAUCUCAUUUUUCAGGAGGGUCCUGAACAUAAAGUAAAAUCUCAUUUUUCAGAAAGGUCCUGAACAUAAAGUAGAAUCCCAUUUUGAAGGAGGGUCCUGAACAGAAGUAAAAUCCCAUUUUUCAGGAGGGUCCUGAACAUAAAGUAAAAUCAUAUUUUUCAGGAGGGUCCUAAACAUAAAGUAAAAUCUUAUAUUUUAGGAGGGUCCUGAGCAGAAAGUAAAAUUCCAUUUUUUAGGAGGGUCCUAAAUAGAAAGUAAAGUCCCAUUUUUCAGGAGGGUCCUGAACAGAAAGUAAAGUCCCAUUUUUCAGAAGGGUCCUGAACAUAAAGUAGAAUCUCAUUUUUCAGGUGGGUCCUGAACAUAAAGUAAAAUCUCAUUUUUCAGGAGGGUCUUGAACAUAAAGUAAAAUCUCAUUUUUUAGGAGGGUCCUGAACAUAACGUAGAAUCCCAUUUUUCAAGAGGGUCCUGAAUAGAAGUGAAAUCCCAUUUUUUAGGAGGGUCCUAAACAUAAAGUAAAAUCUCAUUUUUCAAAAGGGUCCUGAACAUAAAGUAGAAUCCCAUUUUUUAGGAGGGUCCUGAACAGAAGUAAAAUCCCAUUUAUCAAGAGGAUCCUGAACAUAAAGUAAAAUCUCAUUUUUCAAAAGGGUCCUGAACAUAAAGUAGAAUCCCAUUUUUUAGGAGGGUCCUGAACAGAAGUAAAAUCCCAUUUUUCAAGAGGAUCCUAAACAUAAAGUAAAAUCUCAUUUUUUAGGAGGGUCCUGAACAUAAAGUAAAAUCCCAUUUUUCAGGAGGGUCCUGAACGGAGGUUAAAAUCCCAUUAUUCAGGAGGGUCCUGAACGGAAGUUAAAAUCCCAUUAUUCAGGAGGGUCCUGAACAGAAGGUAAAAUCUUAUUUUUCAGGAGGGUUUUGAACAUAAAGUAAAAUUCUAUUUUUUAUGAGGGUCCUAAACAUAAAGUAAAAUCUCAUUUUUCAGGAGGGUCCUGAACAUAAGGUAAAAUCCCAUUUUUCAUGAGGGUCCUGAACAGAAGGUAAAUUCCCAUUUUUCAGGAGGGUCCUGAACAGAAAGUAAAGCCUCAUUUUUUAGGAGGGUGCUUAACAGAAAGUAAAAUCCCAUUUUUCAGGAGGGUCCUGAACAGAAAGUAAAAUUCCUCAUAGAUGUGUUUUUCCAAUGGUAACUGAAUUAAGUGAAGUGAAUUUUCCCCUAUUUCAACAAAGAAAAUUUGUCAGUUAAAAACUUAGUGGUGGCUUGCAGCACUUGGUUUCCCAGGCAUUUGCUCCAACUAUUGUUCCUUUCACCUUUGUUUCAGAUCGCUGAAACUUGCCCCUAUCUUGUCACGUUAUUAACUCGGAUCUAGAUUGAGGUGAAUGAGUUCUGGCUCAAAUAAUGAAUUUCCAUUUUACCAUGCCUUUGAGAUGCACCCUUUUCCAAAUAUGAAUACUCCCACGAAUCCCGCAACCUGUCGGUUGAUAGACUUCUUUUGCUUUGUGUUGAAUUACAAUCAUAUUUCUUUCAUGUGCUGGUCCUUGGUUUUUCCUCAUACAAUUGGAAAGACUAGUAGCAAGUUUUGAAAUCAUUUCUCGCUUGUUUUGACACAGACUUGACUUAAAAUGUAAAGAAAUGAUGGUGACUUUUAUUUUGAUAAAUGACAUAAAAAAAACAAAAUAUGAAUAUGUAAAUGAAAUAAAAGGGCAAUGUACCUUAUUCAAAAAGAAAACCUAUCUAAAUACGGCAACUAACUCCAAUGAGUAUGACAUGUACUUUGGAUUAAGCUGUCUGAUCUUUCUAUCCAAACUUCCCUUUUGUUUUGAGUUCAUGCCUUUGCCGGUGAGCCGCUUCUUCAAAUCCAUUUGACUCAUAUAUCUCAUUCAAUUGAAGACAUCUUAAAAGACUUUCACUAACAAAUCUCUUUCCUUUUCACUUUUCUCUCGAACUCACCAUCGCCUUACGGUGCCCAUAAGGGUUUCACCAAUAAGACUCUCUCAUUUUUAUUUUUCUCAACUCCCCAUCGCCUUAUGGUGCCCGUGAAGUUUUUCACCAGUAAGACUCUCUUUUUUAUUUCUGUGGGCUCACCAUCGCCUUGUGGCGCCCGCGAGGGUUUUCACCAAUAAGACUCUUAUUUUUAUUACUUUCCUGACUUUUUAUGCUGAGGAAGACAAGUAGUACCCCACAAUGUAUCAUCAUAUCCAUUGUAUUCUUAGCCUUAAUAUUAUCAAAGAUUGAUCUGAAGGUAUUUCUUUGGCUGUAACUUGGUUUUUGGAUAAGGUUGGGAAUAAAAGAAUGGCAGGAGGCUUAAAUGACACUUGAAGUAGGGGUGGGAUUUACAACUUUUGGAAUCGACUCAACAACAUAUUAGCUCAUGCCCCAGUUUUUUGUUGACUGGGUGACUCUAAAAUGGCUUAUUUGGUUGGACUGAGCCCGGAAUAGGGCAGCCUACGUAUCUCACUCCCAAGAGAGGAGAAUCAGGUCGCACGUAGUUCCAUCGACUUAUUCUUUGUUUUGAUUUGAUUUGAUUUUUUUUCUUUUUUUUUCUUUUUUUUUCAAACUCUUUAUUUUAUUCUUAUUUUCCUAACAUUUAUCUUUGACUCUAUUUUGAUUCCAAAAGAGGAAUGUGAAAUAAAAAUAAAACUAAGAUCAAAUGGGUAAACAAAGGAUGACACAAUGUUUGGAUAGAAGAAUACAAUACCUUCAUCAUAUCAAUCUUCAAAAAUGUACGUACUAAACAUGCAAUAAAAUCAACAAAGGAUAAAAUAUCAUACAUAAUAUCUUUUGACCGCAUCUGCAUUGUUAGCUAUUUCUGCCAUUUUACCUUCAAUAUCUGUCAAAUAUAAGACUUCAUUGGGCAACACUUUCUUCACAAUGAAGGGACUUUGCUAGUUUGGGGAGAACUUGCCUUUCGCAUUAACCUGGUGAGGAAGGAUAUGCUUCAAUACCAACUAACCAACUUCAAAAUGUCUGGGUCGUACCUUCUUGUUAUACUCUCGAGCCAUUCUCUUUUGAUACAAUUGGCCAUGACAUACCGACGUUAGCCUUUUUUCCUCAAUCAAACUCAAUUGUUCCAAUUGGGUUUUGACCCACUUGUCAUCAUCAAUCUCUGCUUCCACAAUGACUCGAAGAGAGGGAAUUUCAACUUCUACAGGAAUUAUUGCUUCUGUCCCAUACACUAAUAAAUAUGGAGUUACCCCUGUUGAAGUGUGAACAUUAGUACGAUAACCUAGCAAUGCAAACGGCAACUUCUCAUGCCAUUGUCUAGACCCUUGUACCAUUUUCCGCAAUAUCUUCUUGAUAUUUAUAUUGGUGGCUUCCACCGUGCCAUUAGCCUUUGGACAAUAUGGAGUGGAAUUUCAUUGUGCGAUCUUAAACUGUUGACACAUUUCUUGCAUCAAAUGACUAUUGAGAUUGGCAGCAUUGUCUGUAAUGAUCAUCUUUGAAAUUCCAAACCUACAAAUAAUGUUGGCAUGAAAAAAAUCUACCACCGUUUUCUUUAUUACUGACUUGAAAGUUACUGCUUCUACCCACUUUGUAAAGUAAUCGAUGGCUACCAAAAUAAAUCUAUGCCCAUUUGAUGCUUUUGGAUCAAUCGGCCCAAUCAUGUCCAUCCCCCAAGCUACGAAAGGCCAUGGAGCAGACAUUUCAUGCAAUUCAAUGGUAGGAGAAUGUAUCAGAUCACCGUGUACCUGACAUUGAUGACAUUUUCGAACAAAACGAAUAAAAUCCCGCUCCAUAGUAAGCCAAUAAUAACCUGCUCGAAGUAUCUUCUUUGACAAGACAUAACCGUUCAUAUACAGCCCGUAUACUCCAGAGUGUAUUUCAACCAUGAUCGUCGAGGCUUCUCUUGCAUCUACACACCUCAAAAGUCCCAGAUCCGGGGUUUUCUUAUACAAGAUUCCCCCACUUAAGAAAACUCCACUAGCCAAACACCUAAUAGUCCUAUUUUGAUCAUUGGUGGCAUGUGUUGGAUAUUCUCCAGACUGAAUGUAUCGCUUGAUAUCAAAGAACCAAGGUUCUCCAUCUAGCUCUUCUUCAACCGUAUUACAAUAAGCAUGCUAAUCACGACUCUGUAUAUGCACUGGAUCGAUGUAGGCUUUAUUAGGAUGUUAGAGCAUUGAAGACAGAGUGGCUAAAGCAUCAGCAAUCUCAUUAUGAAUCCUUGGAAUAUGCCUAAAUUUUACUGACACAAACCAUUGACAUAGCUCCUGCAAGCAUUGUCGAUACGGUAUGAGCUUUAAAUCUCGUGUCUCCCAAUCGCCUUGAAUUUAAUGGAUGAGCAAAUCUGAAUCCCCCAAUACUAAUAGUUCCUGGACUCCCAUAUCAACAGCUAACCUCAAACCAAGAAUGCACAUUUCAUAUUCCGCCAUGUUAUUGGUAUAAUAAAAUCAAAGUUGUACUGUUAUCAGGAAAUAUUGCCCCAAUUUAGAGAUAAGAACCACACCUAUUCCAACUCCUUUCAUGUUGACAGCUCCAUCGAAGAACAACUUCCAACCUGGAUCAGCAUCUAUAAUGACUUCAUCAACACACAACACCUCUUCAUCUGGAAAAUAUGUAUUUAAUGGUUCAUACUCUUCAUCAAUGGGAUUAUCAGCAAUAUGGUCUACUAAGGCUUGAGAUUUUAUGGCGGUUUGAGUCACAUAUACAAUGUCAAACUCGGUAAGCAAUAUUUGCCACUUUGCCAAUCGACCUGUCGGCAUAGGCUUCUGAAAGAUAUACUUUAAAGGAUCCAUGCGGGAGAUGAGAUAAGUAGUGUAGGACAAGAGAUAAUGCUUCAAAUUCUGUGCUACCCAAGUUAGGGCAUAAUAGGUCCUUUCAAGAAGAGUGUACCUGGCCUCAUAUGUGGUGAACUUUUUUCUAAGAUAAUAAAUAGCCUGCUCCUUUUUGCCUAUGACAUCAUGUUGACCCAAGACACAACUGAAAGAAUUGUCCAUGACUGAUAAAUAUAAGAUCAAAGGUCUACCAGGCUCCAGUGUACCAGCACAGGUGGAUUUGACAAGUAUCUUUUGAUUCAAUCAAAUACUUCUUGACAUUACUGGUCCAUUCUACCACAACACUCUUUUUCAGCAACUUGAAUAUGGGCUCACAAGUGGUUGUGAGUUGAGAAAUAAAUCUACUAAUGUAGUUUAGUCUACCAAGUAAACUCAUCACCUUCGUCUUAUUCUUGGGCGGGGGCAAAUCCUGAAUGACUUUGAUUUUCAAGGGAUCCAAUUCAAUUCCCCACGACUGACUACAAACCCCAACAGCUUUCCAGACGAAACUCCAAACACACAUUUUGCUGGGUUGAGCUUGAGAUUAUACCUGCGAAGACUUUCAAAGAACUUUCUUUAAUCUUUAACAUGGUCAACCUGACUUUUUGACUUAAUGAUUACAUUAUCUGCAUAGACCUCAAUCUACUUAUGCAUCAUAUCAUGAAACAUAGUGGUCAUGGCUCUCAUGUAUGUUGCUCCAGCAUUCUUCAAACUGAAUGGCAUCACUCGAUAACAAUAGGUCCCCUAUGGUAUGAUAAAAAACGUCUUCUCUGCGUCUUCAUCAACCAUAAUGAUCUGGUGGUAUCCGGUAUAGCAAUCCAUAAAAUAGGCAACCUCAUGUUUAGCAUAGUUGUCCAGCAAAAUAUGGAUGUUGGGCAGCAAAAAAUCAUCUUUCGAACGUACUCUGUUCAAAUCACGGUAAUCAACACAUACUCAAAUUUUGCCAUUUUUCUUUAGGACAGGAACAACAUUGGAUAACCACGUGGGAUAACGAGCCACUUGAAUUACUUUGGCUUCAAGUUGUUUCAUGAUUUCCUCUUUGAUUUUAAUACUUACAUCAGUUUUAAACUUCCUCAAUUUCUGUUUGACAGGAGGAAAUGCGGGAUCAGUUGGCAAUUUAUGAGCCACUAAUUCAGUGCUUAAAUCGGGCAUAUCAUCAUAAGACCAUGCAAAAACAUCCUUAUAAUCAAUUAAUUCUUGAAUCAUUUCAUCUUUUAACUAUAGCGAAGCAUGUACACUGAUUUUAGUUUCCUUAAUAGCUUUUUGAUUCCCUAGAUUAAUUGGCUCAAUUUCAUUCAAAUUAGGAUUCGACUUGUCUUCAAACUGUUCCCACUCUUUGCUUAUUUCUUCUAGUGCCUUUUCUUUAUCAUAUUCCCCCUCUUGCUUCAUUAUAUCUUGAUUAGUUUGGAUUUUAAGAUCAGGCUGAAAAUUCCGCAUGCAUGUCAUGUCAUUAGAACCAGCAUAAAGAGAACUAUAUAAAGAAAAAGACAAAAAAAAUGUACUAGACACAAAAUAAAAGGGACAUUGCAUUUCAUUUAAAAGGGAAAUAUAGGAGGGUUUAAACACAAACAAUAGAAUAUAAACAAGCUAAAUUCUGAAUUACAACCCUGGAAUAACUCGGAUAAAUAGAAAGAAAAACAAAAUGAACUACCAAAACUCCCUCCUGAAUGGGAGAAGAGUGACUUCCCAAUUGUUGAGGCGGACAACUGAGCCUAUGAACUGCACACCUGCCUUACUAGUACCUUCUCCUGCUUCAACCAUAUCAACUUCAAUUAAAAGGUUCUAGAAUUCACCAACCAAUUUAGCUUUAAAUUCUACAUGCUUCGUGACACCGCUCUUAAUAAAUGAUUCACUGAGUAGUGGCAUUGGGCGAGGCAGUGACCAUGUUUUCUUUUUCCUUCCCUUGGCUUUCUUCAGAUCUUCAACUGUAGGCUCAAAUCCCAGACCAAAAGUGCCCAUGUUCUCACUCGGACAUAUGGGACAAACUAUACCAUCCAGAGAUGCUCCCAAACCCCUUCCUGGCUCGAAUCCAUAUUUCAAAAGUUCACUCACCAUCAUGAUAGAAGCGGAAGACAAUUGUGGUCCCGGUAAAACCUGCCCUUCAAGGAUACGAUCCACCAGCACUGUAUCAAAAAUUUGAUAGACAAAUGUCUCAUCUACAUUAUUCUUUCAAUAAGAGAUAAGGGAGAAUCUUCGUAGGCGGACAAAUCUCCUUCACCGUGAUAACCACUUCUUGUCUAUCAUGCUCAAACUUAAUGGGCCCUAUGAUCAACAUCAGCUUCUUCUUCGGUGACAGGCUUUUUGAUAGAUGAAGGUUCACUCAUAAUUGGCUUGAACUUCCUUAAACUUUCAGGCACGAAGCAUCUUCCUAACCAAGUCAAACCCCCUACCUCAUCUACAUCUCCCACUACUUCCUUCCCCUGAUAGGUCAUCACAGUCUGCUUAUAGUUCUAGGGAACCCUUUUUGUAUCAACUAUCGGAGGUUGGGUCACCCGUUUAAGGACAAUAGGCACUGCCAGUGCUCCUUUCACCAUCAAGAUAGGCUUUCUCAGAGCUCCUACCACAGUCAACUUAGGUUUAUCCUGAAUUAAAUCAACAUAUCUUCUGGCACCUUACACUGUGAUCACGGGUUUCUUUGUGCUUUCUUAGGCUUUAUCUUCUCCCAUUCCUUCGUGGCUUAAUGACAUUGCUUUCAAUGACUCUUCUACAUUCACUAAUUUUUCCUCAUUGGUCUGUAUCUUGACAAUAGGCUUAUAACACCUUGAUGACUCUUUCCCAUCAUAUAUCAAUUCUAACAUAUUGGUUUUAACAUGGGUUGGAAGUGGAUUCUGGUUAAUGUUUAGAACCUCCGAGGCCUGGACCAGCAUCUGCUUUGUGUCAAUUAAAUCUUGGAAACUCUCUUUAAAUACCAACAUUUCUCGAUAUCAUGGCCUUUCAUGUCAGAUUAAUAUGCACACCUUAAAGAAUAAUCAAGAUUCCUCCCAGGUGAAUUUGAAAGACUUCCUUGAAUUGGGGUUAAGACCUUCAUCUUUCUCAACCUAUCAAACAGGCUAGCAUAUGACUCCCCAAGAGGUGUGAACUGAUUUUUGACUGCCUUCUCUUUCUUGUACUCGGUCCUGGGUUAGAAACUGGGUCUGGAGAGGUUUUGGUAAUUUGGUGGAGCUGAUGGACGAUUUUAUGGAGCUUGCACGCUCCAUUGUGGGUAAGAAGGGGUUUGAGCAUAUGGUUGCACGCUAUAUACUGGGUAUGAGAGUGGUAGAAUAGAAUAUAAUGGAUUUUAUAAAGGGUAGUAAUGGUGGGGAGGAAUAUAUAGAGUUUGGGUGUAGGCUUGGGCUUGGGAUUGGGGAUAGGGGUGAGGCGGUCUUUUGGGAUAAGAAUGAGUCCCAGAUACGACGGUCGCCACAUCCUCUUUCUUCUUUUUACCUCCAAACGCUUUGGAGCCACCUUAAAUCGCUUGGGUGGUGGCUUUCAAUGCGGCAAAACUCACUAUUUGGCUGGUCUUGAUUCCAUCCUCUAUUAUCUCCCUCAUUUUGAGGACUUCAAUAAAAGACUUUCCCAUUACCGGAAGUAAAUAUUGAAAAUAGGUCUCAUCCUAUGACUAAAUGAAGACCUCUACCAGCUUACUCUCCUUCAUUGAAGGCUUUACCCUGGCGGCCUGUUCACACCACCUUAUCUCAUAUUCCCUAAAGCCUUCAGUGCUUUUCUUCUUCAUGUUGACCAAGAAUUUUUCAUCAGGAAUCAGGUUGACGUUAUACUGAAAAUAUUGCACAAACUCAAAAGCUAAGUCAUCCCAGUUGUUCCAAUGAUUGAUAUCUUGAUUGACAAAAAAUUCUAAAGCCAGAUCAAAAAGACUCUUACCAAAGAAAGCCAUGAGAAACUCUUCCCUUCCCCAUGCAUCCCUCAAUUGGUUGCAAUAACGUCUCAAGUGCACCACGGGAUCACCAUGCCUAACAUACUUUUUGAACUUGGGCAUUUUAAAACCGAAGGAAGGUUGAAGUCUGGGAACAUGCAAAUAUCUUUAUAGGAAACACUCUUAUAACUUCCGAUUCCCUGCAAAUUCCUUAUGGCCUUUUCCAAACUUUUCAAUUUCUGCGCUAUGGCCUCCUUUCCUCUGUUGCAAUACGUUUCUCUGUAUCAAAUGGAAAUACAGGUGACUGAGUGUACCCAUACGGUUCAUUCAUUCUUAAAGUAGGCUCCGAGGCAUAAUACUGAGUAUCUGAAACCUUCAAUACUAGCUCACUAGCAGACCGAGGAAGCACCAUUGUCGGACGCACAAAUAGGUGGGAGCUUCAGGUGGUGGCAGAGCCACGAAAACAGGCGAUGCCGGUAGCACCGGCUGAGCAGCGGGCCUUGGUUGGGGAACUGCCAAGGGCACACUAGAAGUGCCAAAAUAAUAUUGUUGUGGAGUGAAUCCUGGCGCGUGUUCCGGUGACUCCAUGGGAGCAGAUAAUUGAGCCUGAAAAAGUGGUGGGCAGUUAGAGAUAUUCCCAAGAUCUUCAGAAAGAGGAGGAGGCGGCAUGCCACUAGCCCAUGCUCGGUGCAUAUCUAUUAAUUAUUUCCUGAGUCUUAAAACCUCAUCAUUGUAUUCUGAACUUUUCUCCUGGGGACCCUGAUUUGGGUCAAUGAACGAAUUUUCAAUCUCCCUUCUAGCCAUGGCGAGCUUUGCUUUUGAUCAAGUGAAGUGCGGGUGACUAGCUAGAGUGCUGCAAACCAACCACUGUUAUCUGAAAGAAUAUGCUCAUCAAAUACAACACCCGUUAGGAUUAGGUCACACAACAAGCAUGGGAAUCACAUUGGUAAAGUUGUCCUAGAUUCAUGUUAAUUUCUACCAGUCUUGGAGGGUAACGAGAUCAUUUUAACAUCAUCCCGAUUUUCAUCUACACUCAUUUACUUCUUUCCCCCAAACACACCUCUUUUCUUUUGCCCUCAUUUUCCUCUUUUUUUGUAUGUCUCUGUUCUUUCCCUUUCUUGUAUCAUCAUCCGUUCUUUCUUCUAUUCUCUCGCCAUCUCAUUUAUUUUUGUCAUUCUUUAUGGAUUUUGCUUUUAUUUAAAAAAUAAAAUUGGAGAAAAUCAAAGAAACAAAAUGAUUAGAUCGAACGCAAAAGUAGGUUUUCUACGUAUCAUGUUGUUCAUGAAUCAGAUCUUGCAUAGUUCAGGAUGCAUAUGCAUAAACAUCACAUUGUUGAAGGUUAUUUUUUUCACGAAAAACGAAAACAAACAAACAAAAGAAAGAUGUAACAUCAUAACAUUUUGAUGAAAGAAACAACAAAAACAUACAAUGAAAUUAAGACAACCUCGAUACUAAUCAACAAAGACUGAAUGACAUUCUAGACUAACAUGACAAUAUACAUAAUGCUCCUAAUAAAGACUCCAAAGUUAAAGCAAACUUGACACCAACUUAACAAAGACACAAUACUACAAAUGGCAGAAAAGUAAAGGACUCAAACUAAACAAAAGAUAGGAAAUGCUCCUUCAAACUGGUGCUCUGCGCGACGACCCUAGUUGAGAUGAACCUGCCUGUGAAGUUCUCUUUCUACCAUUCAAACUAUGUAGCAUAUCUUGUAAGGACCCUUCGAUAUUUAGGAAGAUGCCUCUGGCACGUAUUCCUGCCUCAUGAGGAGUACAUUUGAAAAUACUGUUCUGAAACCCCUCUACAGUUUUGAGAAAACCUAAUAACUGAACUCUUAGUGCCUCUACCUUUACCCCCGCCCCUUCAUCCUGAUGGUCGCCAACUAUGCAUUUAUCUUGUAUCCUCCUUCUAAGUUGUACUGGCAAUGGUAUGCUGACACCCCGAGGAAUAGAUUGUAACCAGAUUCCAUAUCCUUGAGUGUAUCCGGGAUUAUCUAAACCUAUCCUGAGAGUAUCCAUGCCCUGCCAUGUUACAUUACUCCAGAAUUGCUCAUAUUUGAUCUCACUCCUGUCUUGGUCCCUAAAGUACUCCACAUCCUGUUGAAAGUCCACUAUUGGAGGAACAUCUUUCACUCUACCCAAUUGAUGCAUUACUCUAAGAGGAGUGUAUAGCUGGGUACAAUUAAGCCCCAACAAAACUAGAUGGGGUGUACGCUAGAUCCAACCAAGAUUACUUUCGGUCGGAACCAUAGAUAGGUCCACAAGACAUUGCUAUCUAUUCUUGAUUCAAGGAACUCAACCCAAGCGUCGACUACUAUAGGAAAUGAGAAUUUAGCAAAACCCAUUCUAUGUUCUAUGGUUUCCACUUGACUAGGCAGACAACGGUCAAUCACAUUAUAUUUAAGCAAAGAAGAGGCGUGCAAAUGCUCCAUCAUUCAUAAUUGUAACACUAGGUUGCUCCCCUCAAAAAAUCGCAUACCCCCUUUUAUCUCGGUCAAAGCUUUGUAUAUUUCCACCAAGAUUAGAGGUAAGAUAGUGACCUUGUCUCCCUUAUCCUUGUUAAAUAAGGCCAUCGCUACAGAUUGCAACCGAGUAUUAAUACGCCUAUCUUCCAAGGGGAAUACCAAAGUGCCUAACAGAACAAAGGCGAAGACUUUAAGGUGACGUUUCUCCCAAUUCUUCUUAGUUUUAUAAAAUUCAUCCCAAAAACAAUCAAAACCAUCUUGGAGGCCAAACCGAGCAUACAAGUAAUAGGAAGAGAUCCAAGAUUGUGUAAGGCAACCCAAAUAGUCAUUAACUUUCAACCCAUAAUAGUGGAGAAACAUAUUGGGAGAAUGACACCACGCUCGAAUUAUCAUCUUUUUAAUGUAGGGCAAUUUAAAUAAACAAGAUAUAUCCGCCAGGGUAGGUGUCAUUUCAAUACUCCCAAGCCUAAAAACUAGACAAGUUGGAUCCCAAAAAGUCAAUGCAUCCUCGAUCAAGUUUGGACGGGGCAUGAUAGACAAGAGAGAAGUGAGAGUGCCUAGCUUCUUUGAUAACUCAUGCCUUUCAGAGUAGUUGAACAUGCCCCACCACUAGAUUAACUUUUUAGGCACUUUAGAAACCAUUAGGACUUUAGACCUUGGAGCCAAAUCCAUCCUGUAACAACACACAAGACUUAUGAUUUAACAAUUGAUAAAAGGGGAGAAGUUCCCGGCCCUCGGGAUUUGGACACAGACAGGUUAUCAUGCAGAAACAAAAAACUUUAGACUCGGAUUAAAACAAAUGGUACCACUAAGUGCGGUCAGCCUACUUGGCCAAGAUUAACCGACGACUCUAGACCAGACUAAAAAAGGGGAGACCCCAAGAUAGGACUAAGAUAGUGACCAAAAGAAAAUUUUAUUGAACCCACCGAGGGUUCCCUACUUAUCCCGCCCCGAAGGACGAGAAUCAGGUACGCGUAGUUCGUCCAGCUUGCACAAUAAAGGAUUAAAUGACAAACUAAACCCUGAAAUUAAAGGCACGACUAAAGACAUACGAAUAAAACAUUUUGUGUUCUUAAUUAGAAACUAACAGCAACAACUAUGAAAGAAAAAUCUUUUUGAUAUUUUCGUUAUAUAAAAAUGUACAAAGCUCCUAUUGAAAGGAAAAAAAUAUUUUUGGAGUUUUCGAAUUGUGAAUACUUACUAAAGAAAUAAAAUAAAAAUCUUUUUAACAUUUUUGAUUUUUGAAAAAGGAGUGCAAAGAGUAAAAAAAAAAAAAUUGAAUUGUGAAAAACAAAAGCCAUAAAGAACCCUAAAAACUACCAAAUUUUUUCACUCUUUUUUUUUUCAAUAAUUUCUUGCCUACACACUCUGCUUCUAACUCAAACUUUUGCCCAAAUCAGUCUGUCAAAUGACCUCGUUAACCUCAAAGAUGCAACAUUUAGCACAUAGGGAUGCUUUAGAGGUGAGUCUCCUACAAAGGGUCACGUAAGUCCCGCUAGAUCUCAAUAUGAUGCAAAUAAGCAUGACCUAAAGGCUGACCUACGCUGGGAUUUACUAACAAGGCUAUUCAGGGGAGCGUAUGGUCAAUAGUGGCUGCGCUAGCUUUCCACCUACUCCAUACCAGCCGAUGGCUCCCCCUCCUAAAAAUAAGAGUGACUCAACUAUAGGUCGUGUACACAGCGUGUACUACAAAAUUUGUUGCAGAAAGAAUUGACUCGGGUUAUGCAAAUGAUGUCAAAUAUAAAGCGGUAACACAUAAGAGAAAACUGUAAACACGUAGCACGUAAACAGUCCACAAUGAUAAAACAAUAACACAAAAUAACACGACAAAAUGUUUAUACACCUAUAGUGCCAAACUAAGCCGAUACAACUCCAAAAAUAAGCUCGAAUUCUGAAAUGUUUCCCAGCAGAGUCGCCAGAGCUGUCACACCCCUUUUUUUAACUCCAAAAUGAUUUGUUUUAAGGUUUCGAAAGAAUUUUUAUUAUUAACAUGACAAAAUAAAGAUUUGUUUUGAAAAAAGAUUAUUUUUAUAUCCAAAACUCAGAGUCGCCACUUGACAUAAUCUGGUGCGCCAAGUCACCUUUGGAAAAUCCUUUUCAAAAUGAUUUGACUCUUUAAAAUGGUUUGCGAACAGAGAUUCCGGCUAAGGAAUUCUGUUGAUCGAGGGAAAGAUAUUAGGCACCCCCUGAUCUAAUGGUUCACCCACGGUCGCUUGGUAGAAUGUAUCGGUUAAUUUGACACUACGAAUGUACAAACAGCAAAGGAGCACGUAAAGCGAUCAAACAAACAAACCAAAUAAAACGACUAAAAGUAUAGUGUUCAGUCCAAUUAUACAGUUCCAAAAUAAAAAUGUAAAAAUAAAUCUUAUCUAACCUAUACUAAUCCUAACUACUCUCCCAAGCUUUACCCGAUGCCUCGAUCCUUCCUCACGAACGUCUUUCGCCAAUAUAGUACAUCAGGGCAUUCCCUGGUGAAUAAAUACAAUGUGUCUCGAGGCAUUCCCCGGCUAAAUGAUACAUUCGAUCCAAAAGCAAUAAAACCAAACCAUUCAACACACAUUUCAAGCAUUCAAUAAUUCAACAAGCAAAACACUUAUUCCUAAAUAUUUGCCUACCCGAACCUACUUUUAGCUAUUCAUUCGAUAGCCUAAUCAUGAUGCUAUCUAAUUCAACAAUAUUCAGUAAUGAAUCAAAAUAAACAACCUUUGACUUAUUCGAUUAUCAAUUUUCGAUCCCGACCCCCAAAUUCAUUCUUAAUGAUUAAACCAAUUCUAUACAUAUUUCAUCAAUCAAGUUUUCAACUCCAAAUUCAAUAUCAAACAAACAAACAACGAGGAUUCGAAUAUGCUCAAACACAACUCAUUUGUAAUCACGGGAAAAUAAAAAAAAAGAAUUUAGAAUUGGACCUCAAAGAGCUUUUGAUUGACUUAAUAAAAGAAAUAAGAGCCCGUCCAAGAACCUCGAAGAACGCCAACGAAUGCCCAAUCCUCCGAGUCAAGCGAGAAACAAUCCAAGAAUGUAAUAAACUCCAAAUUUCAAUCCUAACCAAAUAUAUCUACGAAUGAAAUCAAUGAACAAAUCUAGAUCAAACACUUAAGUAUUACCCGAAUCAACCAAAAUCAGCCAAGAACGAUGAACAACCAAACCAGAAUUUCCAAUCAAUAAAAAAAAGAAAAUGGAAGAACCGAACCAACGAGACCAAGUUUCCGGUGAGCUGAGACAACGGUAGAAGGCUUAAACUCCAGAAAUCUAACAUUUUCUUGGGAGAUUUCUUCUUUAAAAGAAGAGAGAAAAAAACGAGCAGAUUUGGGAGUUUUGAGACCGGUUUAUACGAACGACGAACGGAGGAGAUGAUUCCGGUGAAGCUACUGCUAGAACAGUAACCCGAAACCUCCCUUUUCUGUUACCGGAUGGAGAUAUAUAUGGGUAUGUGUAUGUAAAAAUGGAGUUGAAUGGAGGUUGGGGGGUCUGUGUGUUUAUGUCCAAGAGCGAAAAAAAAAUCCUUCUUUUUCUUAGUGAGUAUCAGUGUAUAGCUAUGGUGAGGUAUGAAUCAAUUCAAUCCAAAAAAUAAAUGAUGAGUAUCUGUAUGUUUUCAUGGGUGGGUAUUGUGAAUGGAGAGUUUUUUUUUUAGGAAGUUUGUUAGAGAAAAGAAAUAAAAACGUAGACAAAUAGGGCACAAAUAGGGCCUUCAACUAUUCAAAAUCUGAACAAAUAUGACCUCCGAUUUUGCAAUCCCAUGCGUGAGUUUCACUCGCGCCUAAGUGUAAAAGUAAUCCAAUCACACGGUGCCACAUCGUUAAAAGGUCUGACUUAGAGGGAGGUUAUAUUUGUGCAAUUUUGAAUAGUUAAAGGUCAUAUUUGUACACUGUCAAAGUUUUGCUUUUUGUGUUAAAAAAACAUCAUUUUUAUUAUUAUUAUUAUUAUUAUUAUUAUUUCUAUAGCUGUAACACCUAGCUUUUUUUUAAUUAAAAAAUCGAACCCGCUCAGUAGGUUGAAGAAAGCGCCCAAGAAGAGCAAAUAACACCACUGGGCUAACUAAGUGCCUUGUUUCAUGUGGUUCAACAUUAAUAAACGUACAUAGAUAUAGAUUUUCUACCUUAUAUAUAUAACAUAAUUUUUUUACCGAGGGGUUCGGGUGAACCCCAUGGCAACCACGUAGGUCCGCCCCUACAUUAAAUUAAUAAUGUUUUAAUAACGUUAAUUUAAUAACAUUGUAAUAACGUUAAUUUAAUAUACUACUACUACUAUCCUUAAUAACGAUAAUUUAAUAACGUUUUAUUAAAACUAUAGUUUUUUUAUUAUUAGUAUAGUUUCAUCUUUAAUUUAAUAUUUAAAUAAAUUAUAUUUUGAUAUAUUAUAUAACUUAAAUUCUCCCUCUGCUUUAUAAUAUAAAUAUAUACAUACCCACGCGAUUUUUUCGUCUGAGGCCGACCCACCUAAUUAAUAAAUCUUCAAUAUUACUCUUUUUCCGCAAUGACAAAAGAAAUUAGAUGCCAUUUUCAUCUUUGAGCCAAAAAUUAAAAAAAAAAUAAUAGUGAAAAGUCAUUUAAAGGUCAUAUUUAUGCAGUUUUGAAUAGUUAAAGGUCAUAUUUGUGCACUGUCAAAGUUUAAGGUCAUAUUUAUGUAUUAUGCCCUUAGAUUUUAAGCUGGACGCGCCCAGUUUUGCGUAUUGAACACGCAUUUUGCCACGUAGGAUUGGAGGUCAUAUUUGUGCAGUUUUGAAUAGUUAAAGAUCAUAUUUGUGCACUGUCAAAGUUUAAGGUCAAAGUUAUAAUUUGGUGUCAAGUUUAGGGUAAUUUUUAUGUAUUAACUCCGCCCAUUUUAAGUAUCUUCGUAAUUAUGUUGCACUAUUAUGCACAAAAGUUAUUUAAGAACCGAUUUUAAGUAAUUUCAUGAUUUUUUUGACAUUGUUGAUGCACAUAGGUUUAUUAAGCAUCAGUUUUAAGUAAUUACUGUUAUUUCCACAAUAUAUUCGGGUAUGCAAAAUCUGUAUAGCAGAACAACAACUUCAUCUAGUUCAAGUUUAUAAAUAAGAACAUAAUGAAGUAUAUCAAUACCCUCAACACAAGAUCAAAAUGAUAUUUCCAAGAGGUAUAUUUAUUUUUCCAGAAAUAAUAGAUGAAGUAGAAAUGAAUAAGGUCAAGUCGUCCGAAUUCACAGAGUUUUCUUAAGGAAAUAAUUCCCCUCACUGUACCCGAGGUUGUGGAAUUUUUUCUCCAAGGAUAAAAUGUCCUUCAAUUCGACUAUAAUGGUACCUCAAAUAGGCGGAUUCUACGAACGCACUGAACGAUUUAAUGAUCAUACAGAAUAGUUUUUUCAAGAGAAGAUGAAGAGUUUAUAAUCUGAAAUUUUUGUAAUUUUUAUAUCAAACCUGUGGAUGAAACCAGGUUAUUUAUAGCCACAAGAUGCCUCUUUAGAAAGGAGGCAAUGGUUCACUCAAAAGGUUGUACCUUUGCUGUAAGUUCAUGUCUAUUCAUCAAAGAUUGCAUCCUUUCCUAAACAGUCAUAUCUUUCCAUGAAUCAGUGUGUCUUUUGCUGAAUAGUUGCAUCUGUUUGUUCAACCAGUGCAUCAAUUCAAUUAAAAAAUAGAAAAAAAUGCAUUAUUUCUAAAGCAAUGCAAUAUUUUCUAAGCAGUGCAACUGUUCUGCAUCACUGUUCAUGUAAAACAGUAGCAUCAGUUCCUGCGUCGCUGUUACUGCAUGAAUAUAUACAUACGUAAAUAAAGGAUUAAACACAGAAAAUAUUUAGUACAUUUUCUCUUGGCAUUGUUCGAAAUUCAAAUAAAGUUUGUCCAAAAAGAUAGAUCUCAUCGAUCGAUCAUUUGAGGUAGUGAGGGAGGGGGUGGGAUGCCUAGGGGUGAGGAGGGGUAGGGGUGGGAUAGUGAGGUGGUUUAUUUUGAUUGGAUAGGCUGUUAGGAUAAGAUAAAAUUAGUUAGAGGUUAUUGUUUUGUUAUUUUGUGGAGGAAUUAUCACACGGGUUGGGGAGCGUGGUAAAACGGGAUAAGAUAAUAAAAAUAAUUUUUGACGGGACAAAAUUACGUGUUUACACAUGUCUACUCCUGGCCCGCAAGAGUAUAAACUGUGUACGGCUAAAAAAAAUGUUCGCUAGGUUAAAAACCUCGAAAGAGGCACCUAGGCAAAAGUUAGGACGCAAAAAAAAAAAAAAAACUUACCCCAGAACUACAUUGUGACUUGAUCCUCUUCAUUGAGGUACGUAGGCACUUGGAAUUUUAUUUUGAGUUUAGUUGCAUGAGUGUCAAAAAAAAUACAUGUUCCUCCUCAUAGAAAAAAUACAGUCCUCAAAAGACUUUUAACAUCAUCAAUCUUCAGACUUGCACCCAAGUGUUGGUGACUCAUUGGGGGCAAAUCCCUAUGAAUUAUAAGCUUCUGUGACAUAAAUUGAAGUCUUUAGAUUCACUAAGUCUUCAUGUUGGAGAUUUCAAGUUACCAUAUUGGAGCCUGCAAGUUCACAAAGUCUGAUAGUUAAAGUCUUUAAAUGAAUUAUGCAUAAAAGUUGAAGUUUCUAAAUUCACUAAGUCUUCAUGUUGGAGCUUUCAAGUUACCAUAUCGGAGCCUACAAGUUCACGAAGUCUGAUAGUUGAAGUCUUCAAAUGACCUAUGCAUAUAAGUUGAAGUCUUCAAAUUUACUAAGUCUUUAUGUUGGAGAUUUCAAACAUGCGAGUUCACUAAGUCUAUAAAUUGAAGUCUUCAGAUGCUCUGUGACUAUAAGUUGAAGUCUUCAAGUCUGCCAUAUUGAAGCUUUAAGAGUUUGAAAGUUGGAGUCAUCGGGUUCUUUGAUCUAUAAGUUGAAGUCUUUAAACCCUUCAAACCUUCUUGAGUUUACCUUCCAAUUUUCAUGAAAUUACCUUUUCUUAUGGCGGGGAUGAGUAUCCAUCCCUGUGCGCCAUAAUAUUACCAUAAGGUUACCUUUUCUUAUGGUAGGUACAAACAAGCCGUCCCUAUGCGCCGUAAGAUUACCACAUAGUUACCUUUUCUUAUGGCGGGGACGAGUAGUCCUCCCAAUGCGACAUAAGAUUACCAUAAAGUUACCUUUAUCCUUUACCUUUACCAUAAGACUACCGUUAAGAUACCUUUACUUUUUACCUUUACCAUAAGACUACCUUGAAGUUACCUUUACCCUUUACCUUUAUCAUAAGACUACCGUGAAGUUACUUUUACCCUUUACCUUUACCAUAAGACUACCAUGAAGUUACCUUUUACCUUUACCAUAAGACUACGAUGAAGUUACCUUUUACCUUUACCAUAAGAAUACCAUGAAGUUAACUUUUACCUUUGCCAUAAGACUACUAUGAAAUUACCUAUUACCUUUGCCAUAAGAUUCUCACGAAGUUACAUUUAUUAUGGCAGGGAAGAGUAGCCAUCCCUAUGAGUUGCAUUUAUUAUGGCAGGGAAGAGUAGCCAUCCCUAUGCGGUGCAAGAUUACCAUAAAGUUACCUUUUCUUAUGGCGGAAACGAAUAGUCGUCCCUAUGAGCCGUAAGAUUACCUUCUAGGAUUACCUUACUUAUGGUAGGAAAGGAUAUCUAUCCCUUUACGUCGUAAGACUAUAUCCUUUACCUAAAAGGCAUUAUCUUGAGAAAAAUCUUGUAGUUCACCUAAAAAAGAAAAAGAAGAAAGAAAAAGGGGAACGAAAAAAAAAAAAAGAAGAAGAAGGAAUGCUUACCUAAAUAUGGCGAGUAUCUCGAUCGGUAAAGAUGGAUCAAAUUACACCCUUGAGUUUGCUCGCCUACCAAAAGUGUUGUAAAUAUUAGAGUUCUCUUUCCAAAAAUAAAAAGGAAACUCAAAAUUUCAACACUCCCAUGCCGAGAUAUGAUUUGUCUUGUGAAGCCACGCAAACCUGAAAUUGAAAACAUAUCAGCUGGCAGAGGCAAAUUCAAAAAAUUAUAUAGGAUAAUUCUGAAGGUUUUAAAUCAUGAAUUUUGGACAUGUUAUAUAUUUUCGAAUCUAGUUUCUAAAAAAUCAAGCGGUUUAUGAUUUUAUUGGUCCAACUUUGAGAUAUGAAAGUUUCAGUGAAGACGCGCAGAUCUGAAAUUUUCAGCAUGGCAAAAUUUAAAGUCAACGUCAAAAUUUUGUCUAAAAUAAUGCUGAAGGUAUUAAAUCAUGAAUUUCAGAUAUGUUAUAUAUAUUUUUCAUAAAAAGUUGGUAGCAAUCUACUAUAAUCAGUUAAAUGACCAAUUUUGCAAAACACCUUUACACAAUCAAUGUGCAUAACUUAAAUCCUUCAUAUGUAAUUUCCUUCAGUUUAAUAAUAUGAAGUAAGAACUACGGAAAUAGGCUCACCAAAAUUUUGUAAAAUGUAUUUCAUUGAACAAGUAACCAAUAAGGAGUAUAAAUGUAAACUGUAUAACAAUAAAAACACACCCAACGUAAUCCCGUAAGCGGGUUUUGAGGAGAAUGGUAUGUACACAACUUUACCUCUACUUUAUGAAGAUGGAGAGGUUGUUUCCAAUGGAUUCUCGACCCAAGUAAAGCAAUAUAGCUAUAAAUUGCAUUGAUACUAAUUAGUUGAGGAAAAAAAGAAUUGGCUUAAGAUUAUUUCACCCAAAUAGUAGAUCUAAUCAUACUACUACUUAUUUUUCCCCUGUUAUUCCUCUGCCGGCCAUAAAAUGGAAAUCCAAAAUAGACAUAUGACUUACCAAUUCUGUUGAUGCCUUCUACGUUGAGGUGAAAUAUCAGGUGAUACAUAAACANNNNNNNNNNNNNNNNNNNNNNNNNNNNNNNNNNNNNNNNNNNNNNNNNNNNNNNNNNNNNNNNNNNNNNNNNNNNNNNNNNNNNNNNNNNNNNNNNNNNNNNNNNNNNNNNNNNNNNNNNNNNNNNNNNNNNNNNNNNNNNNNNNNNNNNNNNNNNNNNNNNNNNNNNNNNNNNNNNNNNNNNNNNNNNNNNNNNNNNNNNNNNNNNNNNNNNNNNNNNNNNNNNNNNNNNNNNNNNNNNNNNNNNNNNNNNNNNNNNNNNNNNNNNNNNNNNNNNNNNNNNNNNNNNNNNNNNNNNNNNNNNNNNNNNNNNNNNNNNNNNNNNNNNNNNNNNNNNNNNNNNNNNNNNNNNNNNNNNNNNNNNNNNNNNNNNNNNNNNNNNNNNNNNNNNNNNNNNNNNNNNNNNNNNNNNNNNNNNNNNNNNNNNNNNNNNNNNNNNNNNNNNNNNNNNNNNNNNNNNNNNNNNNNNNNNNNNNNNNNNNNNNNNNNNNNNNNNNNNNNNNNNNNNNNNNNNNNNNNNNNNNNNNNNNNNNNNNNNNNNNNNNNNNNNNNNNNNNNNNNNNNNNNNNNNNNNNNNNNNNNNNNNNNNNNNNNNNNNNNNNNNNNNNNNNNNNNNNNNNNNNNNNNNNNNNNNNNNNNNNNNNNNNNNNNNNNNNNNNNNNNNNNNNNNNNNNNNNNNNNNNNNNNNNNNNNNNNNNNNNNNNNNNNCCUGUUACAAGAAAGCAAGACCUUGACAUCACCUCCAUUGCUAGCAAUGGUGGAAGAGUCCAAUGCAUGCUGGUUCGUAAUAUUGGAUUUAACUUAUAUAUACUGACACAGUACAAGGAAUUUAAAACUAAUUGUAGUAGGUUAUCUGCCUUAAAUUUUUAAUUGUCAAGUUACUAAUCUCAGUUAUUAUGAACAAUUGUGUCCGUAUGUCAUUCCAAAAUUUAAUCUACACUAUUAUUUUGCCUUAAUUUCACCAAAUAUAAUUAUGUACAUAGGAAAGGAUAAAUUUCACUGACCCUGUUUUAGAUUUAACGUGUUACCUCCUCUCUUGAAGCUUGUUUAGCUAAUUAUUUACGUGAUAUGUGUAUAGGUAUGGCCACCAAUUAACAAGAAGAAGUACGAGACUCUUUCAUACCUUCCUGAUUUGUCCGACGAGCAAUUGCUCAAGGAAAUUGAGUACCUUUUGCAAAAGGGAUGGGUUCCUUGUUUGGAAUUCGAGACUGAGGUUAACAUCUCUCUGUUCUUAAAAUAUAUGAUAAUUAAUAACAACUAAUUAGUAAUAUGUUAUGUUGAUGUUGUGGAUGUGUACAGCACGGAUUUGUGUACCGUGAGCACCACAGGUCACCUGGAUACUACGAUGGCAGGUACUGGACCAUGUGGAAGUUGCCCAUGUUCGGGUGUACUGAUGCUACCCAGGUCUUGAAUGAAGUCCAGGAGGCAAAGAAGGCUUACCCACAGGCCUGGAUCCGUAUCAUCGGAUUUGACAACGUUCGUCAAGUGCAGUGUAUCAGUUUCAUCGCCUACAAGCCCGAAGGCUACUAAAUUCUCCAUGUUUAAUGUAUAACUUGGCCCUAUAUCUUUAAGGGAAGCUCGUUUAAAUCCUCCUCAAGUUUUUUCCCGCAGAAACUGUAUUGAUUUUCCAUUGUUUUCCUUUUCUCUAUUCAGUGUAUGCUCUUGGAUUCCAGUUGAGUUUAUGAGAACUAAUAAUAAUAAUCAUUUGUUUCUUUGCUUAUUUACCUUAUGAGACAUGAUUUCUGGUGCAUAUAAAAAUAUGAAAUAUAUAUAUAAUGCACCAAUUAUGAUAUAAGGCGAUAUGAACAGAGAAGAUUUAUUAUCCAGCCGACCCUAACUAGUCUUGCAUUGAGGCAUAGUGGAUUGAUUGGGCGAAACCGACAGCGUACAUACAUUACAUUUUCAGUUAUAGCACAAACUUAUGAAGAAAUUGUCCGUAACUUUGAUAAUAAUGAUUGCUAAUCGACACAAUUGACAAGUUAUCUGUAACUAUGAUCUAUUUUGUUAUGCCAUGAAUUUCUUUCCCCUUUUGAUUAUCAUAUCUUCUAUAUGUAUAUAUAGCUCCGAAUCGAUGUAACAUACCAAUUACCAACUACAUUUGGCAUUAUUAUAAGACAACUCUUUCACCGUAGAAGUAUCUCAGUUAUCCCUCACCAUAAUUAAGGAAGUGGAGAUAAAAGGAUCAUGUCCAAACCUUUUUUAUUAAAGAACAAAAUUGUGUAAAACCUAUUAUCUACUCCCAAAAUCUCAAAUUAAACAAUGCAGCCAUAAAAAUUUGGGAUAACUGCAAUCCAACCUUUGGAUAUGUUUGUUAUAUCUUAUAAGUAAUACGAUACAAACAUACAAAUAGAGUACACAUAAUCAAAGUUUAUUAAGCAACGCAUGUAUGUAACUUCAUAAUAUUUUUUAUGUUGUUGAUGCUUCUUGAUUCAUAAUAGUUAAUUAAGCAUCGCUUUUCAGUAACUUAAUAAUUUUUUUGACACUAAUAAUGCACAAAAGUUAAUUAAGUACCGCAUUAGAAUAACUUCAUAGUACUUUUUUGACACUCUUAUUGCACAAUAGUAAAUUAAGCACUGUUUUUGAUAACUUCGUAAUUUUAUUGACACUAUCAAUGCACAAAAGUUAAUCAAAAACCACAUUUCAAGUACCUUUAUAACUUUUUUUUGACACUAUUGGUGCACAAAACUUAAUUAAGCAUCACAAUCUUAAGUAACUUCAUAAUCAUUUUGACACUGAUGAUACACAAAAGUUAAAUAAACGCCGCGUUUUAAUCAACUUUAUACCUUUCGUUGGUACAAAAUUAAUUAAUCACCACUUUUAAGUAACUACAUGCAGUAAUAUUUAUUAAGUUCCCAAUCUCAUCGAUCCUCUAUCCAUGCUUUACUUUUUGUUGCCUAUUUCUUAUGUACUAGCUUUUCGUUAGUCCAGUUUCAGGAUUGUAGGAAGAAAAACAUUAUUGGUUUUCAUUAAUUACUUCCUCCGUUCCAAAUUAUCCGUCCCAAAUUUUUUAAUUUGAUUUCUCAUUUUACUUGUCUUUUUUCAUUAAUCAAGAAGAGACAAAAAAAAAAUUUCUAUGUUUUACCCUUUGCAUUAAUUACUUUUUCUUUAAAUUAAAAUGUAAACAUCAUUUAAUAGGGGUAUUAUAAUAAAUUAGAUAUGUUAUUAAUUAUUUUUUUUAAUCAAUGUGUCAUCUCUAUUUGGGAUGGAGGAAGUAUCUCAUUGUCAAAUUGGGGAGUAGAAAUAACAACACAAUGACAAAAUUGUCUAAUUCUCAUUCAAAACCAAAUUAAACCCCAAAUUUACGAAAUUAAGGUACGUAGCUUGUUUAUUUAUUUGAUACAACACUUGAUACAACUGUUCACAUAUCUACACUUGUUUAAGUAGGUGGUAAAAAGCCUCAAAUGGAGAGACUUUAAACACUGCUCUUAGGUAAUGUCAUAAUUAUUUUGUUUUUUGAUGUAAUUGGUGCACAAAAGUCUAUUAAACAUUAUUUUUAUGUAAAUACAUAAAUUUAUUGAUAUUGUUGGUGUACAAAAGUUAAUUAAGCACCAUUUUAAGUAAUUAUAUUUUGGAUUUAUUGGUGCACAAAAGUUAAUUAAACACCAUUUUUGUCUAACUUCAUAAUAUUGUGACACGAUUGUUGCACAAAAGUUAAUCAAGGUCCACAAUUAAGUGUCACCCCUUUUUUUAACUCCAAAAUGAUUUGUUUUAGGGUUUCGAAAGGGUUUUUAUUAUUAACGUGACAAAAUAAAGAUUUGUUUCGAAAAAAGAUUAUUUUUAUAUUCAAAACUCAGAGUCGCCACUUGCCAUAAUCCGGUGUGCCAAGUCACCUUUGGCAAAUCCUUUUCAAAACAAUUUGACUCUUUAAACUGGUUUGCGAACAGAGAUUCCGGCUAAGGAAUUCUGUUGACCGAGGGAAAGGUGUUAGUCACCCCCCGAUCCCAUGGUUUGGCCAUAGUCGCUUGGUAGAACGUAUCGGGUAAUUUGACACUACAAAUGUACAAACCACAAAGGAGCACGUAAAGCAAUCAAACAAACAAACCAAAUAAAACAAAUAAAAGUAUAGUGUUCAGUUCAAUUAUACAGUUCCAAAAUAAAAAUGCAAAAAUAAAUCCUAUCUAACCUAUACUAAUCCUAACUACGCUCCCAGACUUUACCCGAUGCCUCGGGCCUUCCUUACAAACGUCUUCCACCAACAUAGUACGUCGGGGUAUUCCCCGGUGAAUAACUACAAUGUUUCUCGGGGCGUUCUCCGGCUAAAUGAUACAUUCGAUCCAAAAGUAAUAAAACCAAACCAUUCAACACACAUUUCAAGCAUUCAAUAAUUCAACGAGCAAAACACUUAUUCCUAAAUAUUUGCCUACCCGAACCAAGUUUUAGCUAUUCAUUCGAUGCCUAAUCAUGAUGCUAUCCAAUUUGAUAAUAUUCAGUAAUGAAUCAAAAUAAACAACCUUCGACUUAUUCAAUUAUUAAUUUUGGAUCCCGACCCCCAAAUUCAUUCUUAAUGAUUAAACCAAUUCUAGACACAUUUCAUCAAUCAAGUUUUCAACUCCAAAUUCAACAUCAAACAAACAAACAACGCGGAUUCGUAUAUGCUCAAACACAAAUCAUUCGUGAUCAUGGGAAAAUAAAAAAGAAGAAGAAGUUAGCAUUGGACCUCAAAGAGAUUUCGAUUGACUUAAUAAAAGAAAUAAGAGCCCGUCCAAGAACCUCGAAGAACGCCAAUGAAAGCCCAAUCCUCCGAAUCAAUCGAGAAACAAUCCAAGAACGCAAUAAACUCCAAAUUCUAAUCCGAACCAAAUAUAUCUACGAGUGAAAUCGAUGAACAAAGCUAGACCAAAUACUUAAGUAUCGCACGAGUCAACCAAAAUCAGCCAAGAACGACGAACAACCAAACUAGAAUUUCCAAUCAACAAAAAAAAGAAAAUGGAAGAACCAAACCAACGAGACCAAGUUUCCAGCGAGCUGAGACAACGGCAAAAGGCUUAAACUCCAGAAAUCUAACGUUUUCUGGGGAGAUUUCUUCUUUAAAAGAAGAGAAAAAAAUGAGAAGAUUUGGGAGUUUUGAGACCGGUUUAUACGAACGACGAGCGGAGGAGAUGAUUUUAGUGAAGCUACUGCUGGAACAGUAACCCGAAACCUCCCUUUUCUAUUAUCGGAUGGAGAUAUAUAUGGGUAUGUGUAUGUAAAAAUGGAGUUGAAUGGAGGUUGGGGGGUCUGUGUGUUUAUCUCCAAGAGCAAAAAAAAAUCCUUCUUUUUCUUAGUGAGUAUCAGUGUAUAGCUAUGGUGAGGUAUGAACCAAUUCAAUCCAAAAAAAAAAUGACGAGUAUCUGUAUGAUUUUCAUGGGUGGUAGAUGAUUGAUACUAAACUAUAAGCUUGAAUUUAAAUGGUGUGGUGGUAAAUAGUGGCAAGAGUUUGAUGAUGCAUGUUUUGUGGGAUUAAAUUAGUAGGCUUGAGGUGCUGAAAUAGUAUAUGCUAAUGGAUUAUGAUAAGGGAAAAUCGUUAGGUCAUGAUCGAUUAUUGUGGUUAUGAAGUUCUAGUGCACUAGUGUUUCAUGAUGUUUAUUUAUAGUUUCCAAGUGAAAAUUUUGUGUAAGGUUGGGUUGUAAAUCAUGCAAUAGCACUUGAUAUUAAGUUUGAAUAGUUGAUGUCCAUGAAGGUAGAUGUGUUGAUUUCUUGGUUAAUGAUACUAGUUAUAUGGUAAUGGAAGUGAUCUAAUAGGCUUGAACGGUGUAUGAAAUGUCUUAAGUUUAAGUUGAUUCGUAAUGAAGUAUAAUGUUGUAGGUAUGGUGGGUAAAUAUGCCCAAGGCGAUAUGGAGUUGUGGAAUUUCUCUAGGACUAUUACAUGUUGUGUGUGACUAGUGGUACCGUAGAUUUGCUAGUUGGAAAAAGACUAGUUAGAUGGUAGAUGGUGUUCUAGAUAGCUAAGUUAAGGAGUUUUUAUUGAUAAUGUUGAGCCUUUUGAUAUGAUCUUGAUUCUUAUAGUAGAGAGAUAUAAGUUUGGAGUCGUGAUACUAGUAGGCUAUCUCAGAAGUAGUAUGAUUCAUCAAAGGCUUGGUGAUAUCUAUGUUAAGUGUUAGAAUCUAAGUUUGAAUUUUUGAAGGUUGAACUGACAAAAAUAAGAGUUAAAGCGCUAGAGGGUGUGCACUCUGACUAUGGGGAUACUCAUGAAGAUUCGAAGUUCGUAAGUGUUCAAGUAUUAUAUGAUGACUAUUGGGGGACUAUAGAAAGAUAGAGUGUAUAAUGCUAGAUGAUGACUUGAAGCUAAGGGGGAGAUGAUAGAACGAAUAACCAAGUAAGGCUAUCAGAUUUUAGUAGUGAUGUAGUAUGACAUAGAACAUCAGAAAGUGAGGGUGAAUCUCAACCCAUUCCUACCUCAGUAUUUUUAUUUUCAGUUAUUCGGAUGCUUACUCAUGCCUUACGAUCCAGUUCUGUGAUAGUAGUUCAUGAUUCCUGUAUAUGAUAGAGAGUCACGUACUCUUCCAGUUCCGAGAUAAUGAGUUCUAGUUCAUUCAAGUAGUCAGAAUCACAUUCCUUAUGUUAUGAACUCUAGUUGAGGUCAUGCAACUCAUGACACAUGUACUCACUCUUUAUAGUGUGCUCAGUCCCUUAUAAAUUUUUUUUCAUGUUUCAAGGUCUUAUGUUUUAACCUUUUUGUGACCCGCCCUAUGCAAUGAUAGUGGUGAUGAUGUAAAUAUUCUUGUUGAUGGAAGAUCAUAGUAUGCUUGUUUAGAUACGGCCAUAAGUAUGAAGUAAGAUUUGGGGCCAAGUCUCUGAUACAUGUGAUGGUUAGUGGAAAAGUUUGUGUGUGUUUGUUUUUAGGAUAGCGCAUAGGAGUUAUAUUGAUAAUAGUGUAGAAAACUAUUUGAAGUAUGUAUUUAUGGGCGUCUGGCUUUAAGUUAACAUGUCGUUAAAAUUAUGCUUGAAUGACGUUUUGGGAUUGUAGUGGAAGGUCGCCAUAUGCAUUAGCGACUUCAUAUUAAGAGUUCAGAGUAGUCAUUGAAGUGGUAAGGCAUGUUAUGCUUAGGAUGUGAUCUUUAAAAAUGGUGUAGAAAGUGGCAUCAUAUGGUUUAGAAUAAUAGUGUGGUCUGGCAUGUUUUAUUUUUUUUGUGACUUAGAGUUAAGCUUGAUCACGGCGAAGAGAUUAAGUUAUUUCCAACAUUAGUAGAAAGAUUUGUCAAUGCUCAUAUGAGAAUUUUAAGCUGAGUUGAAUGAAUAUGAUAUAUAUAGGGAAUAGUAUAGUUAAGGGAUAUUCCGGAAGUGCUCUAAGCCUUAAAGUAAGAAGUUGUAUUGCGAAAGGUCUAAAAAUUCUAUCCUAAUUUAGGAGUUAUAUGUCUAUAUUCCAAACUGCAAAGUAGUGUCAAUGUUGUGAUUUCCUCAGUUGGAUGUCUUGUGUAAUCCGUACCCAAGAUGCAUGGAUCCCUAUUACUGCUAGAGCUUCUUUAGAGAGAAUGUUGAAGAGAAUACUCCAGUUAAGUAUGAGGGUGUAGUAUAAUUCAGUCUGUAUGGCCAAUAAGUCAGUUUAGUAGUCAGAUUCGCAUGACUUAUUUUCUCGUCUUUGCACUUAUUCAUGCUACUCGAAAUCUCAGACAUGCUACUAUUCCAAGAUAGAGUAUACCAAUAGUUACGAGUAUAGCCCAGUUCAUGCAUCAUGCAUUAAAUUAAGAUUCCAAAUGUUCAGAUAUGAUUCAAUUCGUAGGUGCCCUGUGCAUCGCCUCAGUUUUUUGAGUUUCUUAGUGAAUUGAAGAUUCAUAGAAGGACAUAAGGUCCCAAGGGGGAGAUACCUCAUUCAGCUGUAUGCAUAGAUUCUUAUUACAAGCUCCGCACCAGUUUUCAUUGUGUAUUCAGUCAUACGUUCAUACGUCAGUUCAGUCAGAUAUACAUGUAUUAGAUAUGUAUGUCCGGUAUAAGAAUUCAGAACAUCAGUAGUUCCAACCAUAUGGUCAUGUUUUAGAUCAGUGUAUUCUUUAUUAGAGGACAUAUCAUGUCCGCGUUAUUCCAUACCUCUAAGCUUCAAUAUGUUCCUACCCAUCAUUCGAGGAUGAAUGAUCCUAAGGGGGAGAUAAUGUAACACCCCGCAUUUUAGGCUAGAAUAAAAAUCAUGAUUUCGAUGCAUUGAUAAUCCCGAAGCCAUAAAUCCUAUGCCAAUAUGUCAUGUUAAUUAAUUGUGUAGUAUGUAAAUCCAUUCAAGCUUGAAUUUAGACCAUGGAGGUCCUUCAACUCAAGGACGAGUUGAAACUAUUUCGAUCGACUAAGUUUUAGUGGAUGUUGUAAAGAUUGUCAGCUUCCAUCGAUCAUAACUCUCUGUAUAUGUCAAAUUAGAGAGCCUACUAUGUGUCAAAUGAUAGUUCUUCGAGUUAGCUUUCCAACAAUACCAAGUUUGCUAAAAUCUGACACCCAAGCAAGAAGUUAUGGCCUUUCAAAGUAAUAGGCGGCGCCUAUGUAAACAUAGGCGAUAGCAUAGGCACCGCCUAUGUAAAAGUUUUAGGUGACUUAAACACUCCGUUUUUGGGGUAAAAUGGUCUUUUUCCAUCCUUAUUUAGCCAUAAACACGAAAUUCAAUUCCCAAAGACCCCAAAAUACACCUUCAUUCAUCCAAAUUGUUCAAUAACUCUCUCUAGGGUUUCAAAAUAAAAACCCAAAUAGUUCAAGAUUCAACCAUGGGUUUUCAAAAUAAAUUGAAGAUUUGGAAUCUCUGCAACGUAGGCUUCAAGAAGCACCUAUCAUAUUCGCAUAUAGAGGUACGUGGGGUUAUCCAAAAAUCUCAUAGGCGUAUUUUUUAUGAACAUGCAUGCUUUUAAAUGGGGGUUUUCAAUCAAAUGCUAAUAACUUGCUUUCAAUAUGAUUUCUAAGUCAUUUUCUUUAUGUCAUGGGAAUUGUUUGCCUAUAUACUUCAAUGGUUGAAACCAUGCAUAUGUGAUUUGAGAUUUUCCAUGGAAGUUUGAUAAAUAUGAAUGAUAAAUUAUUUUUAAAUUCCCAUGAUAAUGUUUCGAUACUCCAUAUUAUAUUGUGAUCAACAAAAGAGUGCAUGAAUUUGAACUAAAUAUUAUUCACCACUUGUAAAUGAUGAAGCACCUUGGCUUUUACAUGAUUAUGCAUAUGUGGAUGUGAUAUUGAUGACUUGCAAGUCGGGUAUGACGAUACCCUUCAAAAUAUGAUAUGUGAUUGAAUAAGAUGAAAUUUGAAUGCAUUGAUUUUACAUGAGAAAGGUGGAUGCCCGAAGAAGGCGUUUGAGACACAAGGGCUCAUCGCUGGAAAACGUGUUUGCCGACACAGAAUAUUGGUACCAGGAUAAGUGGUCUUGUGUACUUAACUUCAUGUCAUUCCCAAAUUGGGACUAUAGGUAGGAGCCCGGGCUAAGUGAUCUUGGGCACUACCAUUGGGUCCAGACACCAUGCUAUGUGUCUUGUGUGUCUCUACCUCACUUAUACUCUAAUCUCAGCGGCAACCGAGGUUUGACAGUUGGUGUAAAUUAUGUAGGGUAUUCCACCUAGCUCAGUUGCAUUUCAUUGAUUGUUGAGAAAACUAUUGCAUUACGCCCAUGUGAUUUCAAAUGAUUUGAUACGAAAUUUCUUUAUAAUGGCUCUCAACCAUAUUUUGUAAAAAUAUUAUGUCUUGUUUUGAUAUCUCUGCGUGCCAGUACUUUUUUGCUGACCCCCUUCCCUCUCCAACCUCCCAGGUUUAGAGGCCCAGUCUAGGGGUCAAGAGAAUCAGUAGAUCAUUCAGACAGUUGCAGAGACAAGUGGUGAGCCUUCUAUGUUUCGGAAGGUCUUAUGUCCUGCAGUCCUUUUAUCUUAUAUUAGUUUUGGGUCUACUGGGGGCCUUGUCCCAAUUUAUAUACAGUUACUUGACUCAGUCAUUUGUUAGAGAUUUUCGCAGACAGUUGUUUAGAGGUUGAUUGAUGUUGGGGGAACCUUAUUUCCCCGUUAUUGUUCCUUUUCAUAUUUAUGACCAUGUUUCCGAAUUAUAGUGUUUCUUCCACAUUACUUUGAUCAUAUGAAUUAGGUGCAUGAUUACCAGACAGAUAGGGGUGUUUUGGGCCUUCAUGGUUCGAAAUGCUCGUCACGGCCAGGCCCUGGUUCGGGUCGUGACACUUAUGGAGAAAUUGUCCGUAACUUUCAUAAUAAUGAUUGCUAAUCGACACAAUUGACUAGUUAUCUGUUACUAUGAUCUAUUUUGCUAUGCCAUGAAUUUCUUUCCCCUUUUGAUUAUCAUAUCUUCUAUAUGUAUAUAUAGCUCCGAAUCGAUGUAACAUACCAAUUACCAACUACAUUUGGCAUUAUUAUAAGACAACUCUUUCACCGUAGAAGUAUAUCUCAGUUUCCCUCACCAUAAUUAAGGAACUGUAGAUAAAAGGAUCAUGUCCAAACCUUUUUUAUUAAAGAACAAAAUUGUGUAAAACCUAUUAUCUACUCCCAAAAUCUCAAAUUAAACGAUGCAGCCAUAAAAAUUUGGUAUAACUACAAUCCAACCUUUGGAUAAUCUAGUUUACGAAAUAGCCGGUAAAUGUAUAUGUUUGUUAUAUCUUAUAAGUAAUACGAUACAAACAUACAAAUAGAGUACACAUAAUCAAUGUAUAAAUUUUAUAUAAUUCGACCAUAUUGGUAAAUAAAUUUGUCAAACUGUAAGUAUUUAUAAAUUCUCCUAAUAAUUUCAAUCAAAUAAAGCUUCAUAUCCUCCUAUAUUUUUUUUAUUUUUUUUUGUACUCGUCCACCUUAAUGGUGUUCCUUUGCUAGCCAUAAGGCCCAUAACGGCAAUGGGUUCAUGCAUGACGUUGACAUGUGUGGCCAUGCUAACAACUAGAUAGACCUAAAAAUUUUGUUGUUUCCUUUUGUUGCCUUCUACUAAAGUUAAUGUGAAAUAUCAGGUGAUUCAAAAACAAUUUGGCCCAACUAGUUUUCCCUUUCUAUAGGUAAUAAUAUCACAUUUAUCCUAAAAGAGAAAUUGGCACCACCAAAAAUGUAGCAGACAAAUCACAUUAAUAAGAAUACUCCUAAGAAUGGUUACUUAAUUACCUAAUUUGCAGUUGAUCUCAAAGUGAUUCUCUUUAAUUGAUACCAUUGAUGCACAAAGUUUAUUAAGCAACGCAUGUAUGUAACUUCAUAAUUUUUUUUAUGUUGUUGAUGCUUCUUGAUUCAUAAUAGUUAAUUAAGCAUCGUUCUUGAGUAACUUAAUAAUUCUUUUGACACUAAUAAUGCACAAAAGUUAAUUAAGUACCGCAUUAGAAUUACUUCAUAGUACUUUUUUGAAACUCUUAUUGCACAAUAGUUAAUUAAGCACCGUUUUUGAUAACUUCAUAAUUUUAUUGACACUAUCGAUGCACAAAAGUUAAUCAAGCACCACAUUUAAGUACCUUUAUAAUUUUUUUUGACACUAUUGGUGCACAAAACUUAAUUAAGCAUCACAAUCUUAAGUAACUUCAUAAUCAUUUUGACACUGAUGAUACACAAAAAUUAAUUAAACACCGCCACUGAUGAUACACAAAAAUUAAUUAAACACCGCUUUUUAAUCAACUUUAUACCUUUCUUUGGUACAAAAUUAAUUAAUCACCACUUUUAAGUAACUACAUGCAGUAAUAUUUAUUAAGUUCCCAAUCUCAUCGAUCCUCUAUCCAUGCUUUACAUUUUGUUGCCUAUUUCUUAUGUACUAGCUUUUCGUUAGUCCAGUUUCAGGAUUGUAGGAAGAAAAACAUUAUUGGUUUUCAUUAAUUACUUUCUCCGUUCCAAAUUAUCCGUCCCAAAUUUUCUAAUUUGAUUUCUCAUUUUACUUUUCUUUUUUCAUUAAUCAAGAAGAGACAAAAAAAAAUUUCCAUGUACCCUUUGCAUUAAUUAUUUUUUCUUUAAAUUAAAAUGUAAAUAUCAUUUAAUAGGGGUAAUAUAAUAAAUUAGAUAUGUUAUUAAUUAUUUUUCUUAAUCAAUAUGUCAUCUCUAUUUGGGACGGAUAAUUUGGCACGGAGGAAGUAUCUCAUUGUCAAAUUGGGGAGUAGAAAUAAUAACACAAUGACAAAAUUGUCUAAUUCUCAUUCAAAACCAAAUUAAACCCCAAAUUUACGAAACUAAGGUACGUUGCUUGUUUAUUUAUUUGAUACAACACUUGAUACAACUGUUCACAUAUCUACACUUGUUUAAGUAGGUGGUAAAAAGCCUAUGGAGAGACUUUAAACACUGCUCUUAGGUAAUGUCAUAAUUUUAUUUUUUUUGAUGUAAUUGGUGCACAAAAGUCUAUUAAACAUUGUUUUUAAGUAAAUACAUAAAUUUAUUGAUAUUGUUGGUGUACAAAAGUUAACUAAGCACCAUUUUAAGUAAUUAUAUUUUGGAUUUAUUGGUGCACAAAAGUUAAUUAAACACCAUUUUUGUGUAACUUCCUAAUUUUGUGACACGAUUAUUGCACAAAAGUUAAUCAAAGUCCACAAUUAAGUGUCACAUCCUUUUUUUUUAACUCCAAAAUGAUUUGUUUUAAGGUUUCGAAAGGGUUUUUAUUAUUAACAUGAAAAAAUAAAGAUUUGUUUUGAAAAAAAUUAUUUUUAUAUUCAAAACUCAGAGUUGCCACUUGACAUAAUUCGGUGUGCCAAGUCACCUUUGGAAAAUCCUUUUCAAAACAAUUUGACUCUUUAAACUGGUUUGCGAAUAGAGAUUCCGGCUAAGGAAUUCUGUUGACCGAGGGAAAGGUGUUAGUCACCCCCCAAUCCCGUGGUUCGGCCACAAUCGCUUGGUAGAACGUAUCGACUAAUUUGACACUACGAGUGUACAAACAACAAAGGAGAACCUAAAGAAAUCAAACAAACAAACCAAAUAAAUCGAAUAAAAGUAUAGUGUUCAGUCCAAUUAUACAGUUCCAAAAUAAAAAUGCAAAAAUAAAUCCUAUCUAACCUAUACUAAUCCUAACUACGCUCCCAGACUUUACCCGAUGCCUUGGGCCUUCCUCACGAAUGUCUUCCGCCAACAUAUUAUGUCUGGGUAUUCCCCGGUGAAUAACUACAAUGUGUCUCGGGGCAUUCCCCGGCUAAAUGAUACAUUCGAUCCAAAAGCAAUAAAACCAAACCAUUCAACAUGCAUUUCAAGCAUUCAAUAAUUCAACGAGCAAAACACUUAUUCCUAAAUAUUUGCCUACUCAAACCUACUUUUAGCUAUUCAUUCGAUGGCCUAAUCAUGAUGCUAUCCAAUUCAACAAUAUUUAGUAAUGAAUCAAAAUAAACAACCUUCGACUUAUUCAAUUAUCAAUUUUCGAUCCCGACCCCCAAAUUCAUUCUUAAUGAUUAAACCAAUUCUAUACACAUUUCAUCCAUCAAGUUUUCAACUCCAAAUUCAACAUCAAACAAACAAAUAAAGAGGAUUCAAAUUUCCAAUCAACAAAAAAAAGAAAAUGGAAGAACCGAACCAAUGAGACCAAGUUUUCGACGAGCUGAGACAACAGCAGAAGGCUUAAACUCUAGAAAUCUAACGUUUUCUGGGGAGAUUUCUUCUUUAAAAGAAGAGAGAAAAAAAACGAGAAUAUUUGGGAGUUUUGAGACCGGUUUAUACGAAUGACGAGCGGAGGAGAUGAUUCCGGUGAAGCUACUGCUGGAACAGUAACCCGAAACCUCCCUUUUCUAUUACCGGAUGGAGAUAUAUUUAGGUAUGUUUAUGUAAAAAUGGAGUUAAAUAGANNNNNNNNNNNNNNNNNNNNNNNNNNNNNGGUUAUCUCCAAGAGCCAAAAAUAAAUCCUUCUUUUUCUUAGUGAGUAUCAGUGUAUAUCUAUGGUGAGGUAUGAAUCAAUUCAAUCCAAAAAAAAAAUGACGAGUAUCUGUAUGUUUUCAUGGGUGGAUCUUGUGAAUGGAGAGCUUUUUUUUUAGAAAGUUUGUUAGAGAAAAGAAAUAAAAACUUGGGGUAAAGUAAAGAGGGUAUGGGGUGGGGUAGGUGAAAUUUCCUGGAAGUUACCUAGGUGUGUGUAUUUUCUUUAUGGCCAAGAAAAGGGAGGGAGUCACCUGGGUGAGGGUUAGGUGUUGUUUUUUAAUUGGAGGGGUAAGGGUUAGGUGUCUUAUUUUUUAUUGGGUGGGUUGUUGGAAUCUUUGAAAUAAGACAAAAUUAGUUAUUUGGAUAAAAGUAAAAUAAAUAAAUAAAUAAAUAAGUGAAAGAGGUGGUUAUUUAUUUGUUUUUCUUGUGGGAAGAUUAUAUAUAUAAAAAAAUGGGGUUAAAUUGUGUGAUAACGAAAUAAGAAAUAUUUUUUAGACGGGACAAAAUUACGUGUCUACAUCAUGCCUCCUUUGAAUGUCAACAUUAAGUGUUUUCAGACAAAGAAGUAGAAAACAAGACAGAAUUUUGUCCCGACCAUUAUUCAAAGGAAGAAACAAAAAGAAGAAAGAAGGGCAACCGAGUCAUGACUUAGGACACCCUACCUACCCAAUUUAUGAGGGAAUCAAAUGACAGGUAUCUCAAAGGAUUGAAGGGAGAUGGACUAUACCGAGUUGGAGAGUCGAGUGAGGUUCCAUCGAGGUUUCGGUCUGCAGCUCUGUCAUUACAUCAAAAUGAAAAUUACAAGUUAACAUAUAAAUGAAAUUACAAAAUCCUAUAUAUGCAGCUUUCCUUGACUCUUGGCUCGAGUUUUAUCACCCUAUUCUUCAGGCGGGCUCCUGACUUGCAAUUUCUUUCAACUUGUUGCUUGACUUUCAUUUAUUCGCCCUGCUCUUCAGGCGAGCUUCUCACUUACCAUUUUUGUCUUUCAGUUUCAUCACCCUGUUCUUCAGGCGGGCUCCUGACUUGCAAUUUCUUCAAUUUCCCAUUUUGUCACCCUGUUCUUCAGGCGGGCUCCUGACUUACAUUUUUCUCACCCUGUUCUUCAGGCAGGAUCCUGAAACCAGAAUCAAAACUCGAACGGCAAUUAUUCCAAAAAAAGAUUAUAAUAGGGAAGGAUUUCAUCAUUUUUGAAAGUAAUGUCCCAUUUUCUAGGAGGGUCCUGAAUAGAAAGUAAAUUCCAUUUUUCAGGAGGGUCCUGAACAGAAAGUAAAGUCUCAUUUUUCAGGAGGGUCCUGAAUAGAAAGUAAAAUCUCAUUUUUCAGGAGGGUCCUGAACAUAAAGUAAAAUCCCAUUUUUCAGGAGGAUCCUGAACAGAAAGUAAAAUUCCAUUUUUCAGGAAGGUCCUGAACAUAAAGUAAAAUCCCAUUUUUCAGGAGGGUCCUGAACAUAAAGUAAAAUUCUAUUUUUCAGGAGGGUCCUUAACAUAAAGUAGAAUUCCAUUUUUCAAGAGGGUCCUGAACAGAAGUAAGAUCUCAUUUUUCAAGAGGGUCCUGAACAUAAAUUAAAAUCCCAUUUUCAGGAGAGUCUGAACAUAAAGUAAAAACUCAUUUUUUAGAAGGGUCCUAAAUAGAAGUAAAUUCCCAUUUUUCAGGAGGAUCCUGAACAUAAAGUAGAAUCCCAUUUUUUAGGAGGGUCCUGAAUAGAAGUAAAAUUCCAUUUUUCAGGAGGGUCCUGAACAUAAAGUAAAAUCCCAUUUUUCAGGAGGGUCCUGAACAUAAAGUAGAAUCUCAUUUUUUAGGAGGGUCCUGAACAGAAGUAAAAUCUCAUUUUUCAGGAGAGUCCUGAACAUAAAGUAAAAUUCCAUUUUUCAAGAGGGUCCUAAACAUAAAGUAAAAUCCCAUUUUUCAGGAGGGUCCUGAACAAAAAGUAAAAUUCCAUUUUUGAGGAAGGUACUGAACAGAAAGUAAAGUUUCAUUUUUCAGGAGGGUCCUGAACAGAAAGUAAAGUCCCAUUUUUUAGGAGGGUCCUGAACAUAAAGUAGAAUCCCAUUUUUCAGAAGGGUCCUAAACAGAAAGUAAAAUCCCAUUUUUCAGGAGGGUCCUGAACAUAAAGUAAAAUUCUAUUUUUCAGGAGGGUCCUGAACAUAACGUAGAAUCCCAUUUUUCAGGAGGGUCCUAAACAAAAGUAAAAUCCCAUUUUUUAGGGGGGUCCUGAACAUAAAGUAAAAUCUCAUUUUUCAGGAGGGUCCUGAACAUAAAGUAAAAUCCCAUUUUUCAGGAGGUUCCUGAACAUAAAGUAGAAUUCCAUUUUUUAGGAGGGUCCUAAACAGAAGUAAAAUCCCAUUUUUCAGGAGGGUCCUGAAUAGAAGUAAAAUCCCAUUUUUCAUGAGGGUCCUGAACAUUAAGUAAAAUUCCAUUUUUCAGGAAGGUCCUGAACAUAAAGUAAAAUCUCAUUUUUUAGAAGGAUUCUGAACAUAAAGUAAAAUCCCAUUUUCAGGAGGGUCCUGAACAGAAAGUAAAAUCCCAUUUUUCAGGAGGGUCCUGAACAGAAGGUAAAAUCCCAUUUUUCAGGAGAGUCCUGAAAAUAAAGUAAAAUCUCAAUUUUCAGGAAGGUCCUGAACAUAAAGUAAAAUCUCAUUUUUUAGAAGGAUUCUGAACAUAAAGUAAAAUCCCAUUUUCAGGAGGGUCCUGAACAGAAAGUAAAAUCCCAUUUUUCAGGAGGGUCCUUAACAGAAGUAAAAUCCCAUUUUUCAUGAGGGUCCUGAACAGAAGGUAAAUUUCCAUUUUCCAGGAGGGUCCUGAAUAGAAAGUAAAGCCCCAUUUUUUGGGAGGGUCCUUAACAAAAAGUAAAAUUCCAUUUUUCAAGAGGUUCCUGAACAGAAAGUAAAAUUCCUCAUGGCUGUGUUUUUCCAAUGGUAACUAAAUUAAGUGAAGUGAAUUUUCCCCUGUUUCAACAAAGAAAAUUUACCAGUUAAAAGCUUAGUGAUGGCUUGCAGCACUUGGCUUCCCAAGCAUCUGCUCCAACCGUUGUUCCUUUCACCUUUAUUUCAGAUCGCUAAAACUUGCCCCUGUCUUGUCGCGUCAUUGACCCGAAUCCAGAUUGAGUGAAAUGAGUUCUGGCUCAAAUUAUGAAUUUCCAUUUUACCAUGCCUUUGAGAUGCACCCUUUUCCAAAUCUGAAUACUCCCACGAAUCUCGCAGCCUGUCGGUUGAUAAACUUCCAUUGCUUUGUGUUUAAUUAUAAUCAUAUUUCUUUCAUGUGCUGGUCCUUAGCUUUUCCUCAUACAAUUGGAAAGACUAGUAGCAGGUUUUGAAAUCAUUUCUCGCUUGCUUGGACACAGACUUGACUUAAAAUAUAAAGAAAUGAUGGUAACUUUUAUUUUGAUAAAUGACAUAAAAUGACAAAAUAUGAAUAUGUAAAUGAAAGAAAAAGGCAAUGUACCUUAUUCAAAAAGAAAACCUAUCUAAAUACGGAGAUCAACUCCAAUGAGUAUGACAUGCACUUUGGAUUAAGCUGCCUGAUCUUCCUAUCCAAACUUCCCUUUUAUUGUUGAGUUUAUGCCUUUGCUGCUGAGCCGCUUCUUCAAAUACAUUGGACUCAUAUAUCUCAUUCAAUUUAGGACAUCUUAAAAGACUUUCGCCAACAAAUCUCUUUCUUUUUCACUUUUUUCCCAAACUCGCCAUCGCCUUACGGUGCCCAUAAGGGUUUUCACCAAUAAGACACUCUCAUUUUUAUUUUUCUCAACUCCCCAUUUCCUUAUGGUUCCCGUGACGGUAUUCACCAGUAAGACUCUAUCAUUUUUAUUUCUCUCAGUUCACCAUUGCCUUGUGGUGCCCGCGAGGGUUUUCACCAAUAAGACUCUCUCAUUUUUAUUUCUUUCCUGACUUCUUAUGCUGAGGAAAACAAGUAGUACCCCACAAUGUAUCAUCAUAUCCAUUGCAUGCUUAGCCUUAACAUUAUUAAAGAUUGAUUUGAAGGUCUUUCUUUGGCUGUAACUUGGUUUUUGGAUAAGGUUAGGAUGAAAGGAUGGCAAGAGGCUCAAACGACACUUGAAGUGGGAGUGGGAUUUACAACUUUUGAAAUCGACUCAAUAACAUAUUAGAUCAUGCCCCAGUUUUUGGUUGAAUAGGUGACUCUAAAAUGGCUUAUUUGGUUGGACCGAGCCCUGAAUAGGGCAGCCUACGUAUCUCACUCCCAAGAGAGAAGAAUCAGGUCGCACGUAGUUCCAUCGGCUUGUUCUUUGUUUUGAUUUCAUUUUUUUCUCUCUUUUUUCUUUUAUUUUCGAACUCUUUCUUUUAUUCUUAUUUUCCUGACAUUUAUCUUUGACUCUAUUUUGAUUUCAAAAGAGGGAAAUGAAAGAAAAAUAAAACUAUGCUCAAACGGGUAAAUAAAGGAUGACACAAUGUUUGGAUAGAAGAAUAAAAUACCUUCAUUAUAUCAAUAUUCAAAAAUGCAAGUACUAAACAUGCAAUAAAAUCAACAAAGGAUAAAAUAUCAUACGUAAUAUCUUUUGACCGCAUCUGCAUUGUUAACCAUUUCUACCAUUUUACCUUCAAUAUCUGUCAAAUAUAAGGCUCCAUUGGGCAACACUUUCUUCACAAUGAAGGGAUCUUGCCAGUUUGGGGAGAACUUGCCUUUCGCUUCAACCUGGUGAGGAAGGAUACGCUUCAAUACCAACUAACCAACUUCAAAAUGCCUGGGUCGUACCUUCUUGUUAUAUGCUCGAGACAUUCUCUUCUGAUACAAUUGGCCAUGACAUACCGACGUUACCCUUUUUUUCUCAAUCAAAUUCAAUUAUUCCAAUCGGGUUUCAACCCACUCAUCAUUAUCAAUCUCUGCUUCCACAAUGACUCGAAGAGAGGAAAUUUCAACUUCUGCAGGAGUGACUGCUUCUGUCCCAUACUCCAAUAAAUAUGGAGUUUCCCCUAUUUAAGUGCGAACAUUAGUGCGAUAACCUAGCAAUGCAAAUGGCAACUUCUCAAGCCAUUGUCUAGACCCUUGUAGCAUUUUCGUAAUAUCUUCUUGAUAUUUUUAUUUGCGGAUUCCACCGUGCUAUUAGACUUUGGACGAUAUGGAGUGGAAUUUCGGUGUGCGAUCUUAAACUGUUGGCACACUUUUUGCAUCAAAUGACUAUUGAGAUUGGUAGCAUUGUCUGUAAUGAUCAUCUUUGGAAUUCCAAACCUACAAAUAAUGUUGGCAUGAACAAAAUCUACCACUGCUUUCUUUGUUACUAACUUAAAAGUUACUGCUUCUACCCACUUUGUAAAGUAAUCGAUGGCCACCAAAAUGAAUCUAUUCCCAUUUAACGUUUUUAGCUCAAUUGGCCCAAUCACGUCCAUCCCCCAAGCUACAAAAGGCCAUGGAGCAAACAUUGCAUGCAAUUUAGCGGGAGGAGAAUGUAUCAGAUCACUGUGUACCUGACAUUGAUGACAUUUCCGAACAAAACAAAUAGAAUCCCACUCCAUAGUAAGCCAGUAAUAACCUGCUCAAAGUAUCUUCUUUGACAAGAUAUAAUCGUUCAUAGGCGGCCCGCAUACUCCAGAGUGUAUUUCAACCAUGACCGCCGAGGCUUCUCUUGCAUCUACACACCUCAAAAGUCCCAGAUCCGGGGCUCUAUUAUAUAAGAUUCCCCCACUUAAGAAAAAUCCACUAGUCAAACGCCUAAUUGUCCUCUUUUGAUCAUUGAUGGCAUGUGUUGGGUAUUCUCCUGACUGAAUGUAUCACUUGAUAUCAAAGAACCAAGGUUCUCCAUCUAGCUCUUCUUCAACCGCAUUACAAUAAGCAUUCUAAUCACGACUCUGUAUAUGCACUGGAUCGAUUUAGGCUUUAUUAGGAUGUUGGAGCAUUGAAGACAGAGUGGCUAAAGCAUCAGCAAUCUCAUUAUGAAUCCUUGGAAUAUGCCUAAAUUUUACUGACACAAACCGUUGACAUAGCUCAUGCAAUCAUUGUCGAUACGGUAUGAGCUUCAAAUCUCGCGUCUCCCAAUCGCCUUGAAUUUGAUGGAAGAGUAAAUCUGGAUCCCCCAAUACUAAUAGUUCCUGGACUCUUAUAUCAACAGCUAACCUCAAACCAAGAAUGCACGUUUCGUAUUUCGCCAUGUUAUUGGUACAAUAAAAUCAAAGUUGUGCUGUUACCGGGAAAUGUUUCCCCAAUUUAGAGAUAAGAACCGCACCUAUUCCGACUCCUUUCAUGUUGACAGCACCAUCGAAGAGCAGCUUCCAACCUGGAUCAGCAUCUAUAAUGACUUCACCAACACACAAUGCCUCUUCAUCUGGAAAAUAUGUCUAUAAUGGUUCAUACUCUUCAUCAAUGGGAUUCUCAGCAAGAUGGUCUACUAAGGCUUGAGCUUUCAUGGCGGUUCGAGUCACAUAUACAAUGUCAAACUUGGUAAGCAAUAUUUGCCACUUUGCCAAUCGACCUGUUGGCAUAGGCAUCUGAAAGAUAUACCUCAAAGGAUCUAUGCGGGAGAUAAGAUAAGUAGUGUAGGACAAGAGAUAAUGCUUCAACUUCUGUGCUACCCAAGUUAGGACACAACAGGUCCUUUCAAGAAGAAUGUACCUGGCCUCAUAUGCGAUGAACUUCUUGCUAAGAUAAUAAAUAGCUUGCUCCUUUUUGCCUAUGACAUCAUGUUGACCCAGGACACAACCAAAAGAAUUGUCCAUGACUGAUAAAUAAAAGAUCAAAGGCCUACCAGGCUCCAUGGUACUAGCACGGGCGGAUUUGACAAGUAUCUUUUGAUUCUAUCGAAUGCUUCCUAACAUUCUUGGUCCAUUCUACCACGACACUCUUUUUCAGCAACUUGAAUAUGGGCUCACAAGUGGUUGUGAGUUGAGAAAUAAAUCUGCUGAUGUAGUUCAGUAUACCAAGUAAACUCAUCACCUCCAUCUUAUUCUUGGGUGGGGGCAAAUCCUAAAUGGGUUUGAUUUUUGAGGGAUCCAAUUCAAUUCCCCGAUGGCUGACUACAAACCCCAACAGCUUUCCAGACGGAAUUCCAAAUACAUAUUUUUCCAGGUUGAGCUUGAGAUUAUACCUGCGAAGCCUUUCAAAGAACUUUCUUAAAUCUUUAACAUGGUCAGCCUGACUUUUUGACUUAAUAAUUAUAUCAUCUACAUACACCUCAAUCUCCUUAUGCAUCAUAUCAUGAAACAUAGUGGUCAUGGCUCUCAUGUAUGCUACUACAGCAUUCUUCAAACUGAACGGCAUCAUUCGAUAAUAAUAGGUCCCCCAUAGUGUGAUAAAAGACAUCUUCUCCGCGUCUUCAUCAUCCAUAUUGAUCUGGUGGUAUCCGGCAUAACAAUCAACAAAAUAGGCAACCUCAUGUUUAGCGCAGUUGUCCAGCAAAAUAUGGAUGUUGGGCAAUGAAAAAUCAUCUUUUGGACUUACUCUGUUCAAAUCACGGUAAUCAACACAUACUCGAAUUUUGCCAUCUUUCAUUAGGAUAGGAACAACAUUGGAUAACCACGUGGGAUAACGAGCCACUUGAAUUACUUUGGCUUCAAGUUGUUUCAUGAUUUCCUCUUUGAUUUUAAUACUUACAUCAGUUUUAAACUUCCUCGAUUUCUAUUUGACAGAAGGGAAUGCGGGAUCAGUUGGCAAUUUAUGAGCCACUAAUUCAGUGCUUAAACCGGACAUAUCAUCAUAAGACCAUGCAAAAACAUCCUUAUAAUCAAUUAAUGCUUGAAUAAAUCCAUCUUUUAACUGUGGCAAAGCAUGUACACUGAUUUUAGUUUUCCUAACAUCUUCUUUAUUCCCUAGAUUAAUUGGCUAAAUUUCAUUCAAAUUAGGAUUCGGCUUGUCUUCAAACUGUUCCCAUUCUUUGCUUAUUUCUUCUAGUGCAUCUUGUUUAUCAUAUUCCCCCUCUUGCUUUAUUAUAUCUUGAUUAGUUUGGAUUUUAAGAUCAGGCUGAAAAUUUCACAUGAAUUUCAUGUCAUUAGAAUCAGCAUAAAGAGAACUGUAUAAAGAAAAAGAUAAAAACAAAAUGUAUUAGACAUAAAAUAAGAGGGACAUUGCAUUUUAUUUAAAGGGGAAAGAUAAGAGGGUUUAAACACAAACAAUAGAAUAUAAAUAAGCUAAAUUAUGAAUUACAAACCUGGAAUAACUCGGAUAAAUAGAAAGAAAAACAAAAUAAACUACCAAAACUCCCUCCUGACGGGGAGAAGAGAGACUUCCUAAUUGUUGAGGUGGACAGCUGGGCCUAUGAACUGCACACCUACCUUACUGGUACCUUCUCCUGCUUCAACUAUAUCAACUUCAAUAAAAAGGUUUUGGAAGUCACUAACCAAUUCAGCUUUAAAUUCUACAUGCUUCGUGACACCGCUCUUAACAAAUGAUUCACUGAGUAGUGGUAUUGGGCAAGGAAUUGACUAUGUUUUCUUUUUCCUUCCACCGUAGGCUCAAAUCCCAGACCAAAAGUGCCCAUGUUCUCACUUGAACAUAUGGGACGAACUAUACCAUGCAAUGAAGCUCACAAACCCCUUCCUGGCUCAAAAAUGUAUUUCAAAAGUUCACUCACCAUCAUGAUAAAAGCGGAAGACAAUUGUGGUCCCGGUAUAACCUGCCCUUCAAGGAUACAAUCCACUGGCACUGUAUCAAAAAUUUGAUAGACAAAUAUCUCAUCUACAUUAUUUGAUUCAAUAAGAGAUAAGGGAGAAUCUUCAUAGGCGAACAAAUCUCCUUCACCGUGAUAACCACUUCUUGCCUGUCAUGCUCAAACUUAAUCAUCUGGUGCAGUGUAGAUGCAACCGCUUUAGCUUGUGGAUCCACGGUCUUCCUAACAAUAGAUUUUAGGAGGAUUUGAUGUUCAGAAUUUGAAACUCUAGAGCAAAUUCAACAGGCCCUAUGAUCAACAUCAGUUUUAUUUCGCCAAUGGUGUUUGGUUUUGCUCCGUCGAAAGCCCUGACACAUACAUUGUUAGGCCUGAUCCUCUCCACGCCAAUAUUCAAAUUUUGCAAGCUGGAAAUAAGGUAAAUAUUGGCACCUGAACCUCCGUCAAUCAUGACAUGAGUGAUUUAGAAAUCUUCACACUUCACGGUAAUGUAAAGACCCCGAUUAUGGCCCAUACCAUCAACUGGUAAUUCGUCAUCAAAGAAACUGAUUUGAUUUACUUCAAUGAUUUUUCCAACCAUUUUCUCAAGCUGAUUUACUGUAAUCUUCCCUGGAACAUAUGCUUCAUUUAAUACCUUUAAUAUAAUAUCACGAUAUUCCUUAGAAUGCAACAACAAAGAUGAGAGGGAAAUUUGAGUAGGGAUUUUCUUCAACUGAUCUAUUAUUGAAUACACUGGCAACUUCAUCUUUUUCAAAAAUUCUUUAGCUUCUUCUUCGGUGACAGACUUUUUGAUAGAUGAAGGUCCACUCACAAUUGUCUUGGACUUCCUUAAACAUUCAGGCACGAAGCAUCUUCCUGACCGAGUCAAACCCCCUACCUCAUCUACAUUUUCCACUACUUCCUCCCCCUGAUAGGUCAUCACAGUCUGCUUAUAGUUCCAGGGAACCCUUUUUGUAUCAACUAUCGGAGGUUAGGUCACCGAUUUGAGGACAAUAGGCGCUACCAGUGCUCCUUUCACCACCAAGAUAGGCUUAGUCGGAGCUCCUACCACUGUCAACUUAGGUUUAUCCUGAAUUAAAUCAACAUAUCUUCUGGCACCUUGCACUGUGAUCAUGAGUUUCUUUGUGCUUUCUUGGGCUUUAUCUUCUCCCAUUCCUUCAUGGCUUAAUGACAUUACUUUCAACGACUCUGCUACAUUCACUGAUUUUUCCUCAUUGGUCUGUAUCUUGACAAUAGGCUUAUAACACCUUGACGAUUCUUUCCCAUCAUAUAUCAAUUCUAACAUAUUGGUUUCAGCAUGGGUUGGCAGCGGAUUUUGGUUAAUGUUUGGAACCUCCGAGGCCUGGACCAGUAUCUGAUUUGUUUUAAUUAAAUCUUGGACAGCUCUCUUUAAAUACCAUCAUUUCUCGAUAUCGUGGCCUGGCAUGUCAGAAUAAUAUGCACACCUUAAAGAAUAAUCGAGAUUCCUCAGAGGUGGAUUUGAAAGCCUUUCUUAAAUUGGGGUUAAAACCUUCAUCUUUCUCAACCUAUCAAAGAAGCUAGCAUAUGACUCCCCAAGAGGUGUGAACAAAUUUUUGACCGCCUUCUCUUUUUUGUACUCGGGCCUGGGUUUGAAACUGGAUCUGGAGGGGUUUUGGUAAUUUUGUGAAGCUGAUGGGCGACUUUAUGGAGCUUGCGGUGCUAUUGUAAGUAAGAAGGGGUUUGGGCAUAUGGUUGCGCGCUAUAUACUGGGUGUGGGGUGGUGGAAUGGAAUAUAAUGGGUUUUUAGGAGGAUAGUAAUGGUGGGGAGGAAUAUAUGGAGUUUGGGUGUAGGCCUGGGCUUGGGAUUGGAGAUAUGGGUGAGGCGGUAUUUUGGGAUAGGAAUGGGUUCCAGCUGCAACGGUCGUCACGUCCUCUUUCUUAUUUUUGCCUCCAAACGCUCCAGAGCCACUUUGAAUCGCUUGGGUGGUGGCUUUCAAUGCGGCAAAACUCACUAUUCGGCCAGUCUUGAUUUCAUCUUCUAUCAUCUCCCCCAUUGAGAACUUUAAUAAAAGACUUUUCCAUUACCGAAAGUAAAUGUUGAAAAUAGGUCUCAUCUUGUGCCUGAAUGAAAACCUCUACCAGCUUACUUUCCUUCAUUGGAGGCUUUACCUUGGCGGCCUGUUCACGCUACCUUAUCGUGUAUUCCCUAAAGCCUUGAGGGCUUUUCUUCUUCAUGUUGAUCAAGGAUUUUUCGUCAGGAAUCAGGUCGAUAUUAUACUAAAAAUGUUGUACAAACUAAGAAGCUAAGUCAUCCCAGCUGUUCCACUUGUCGAUAUCUUGAUCGACAAACCAUUCUGAAGCCAGAUCAGAAAGGCUCUCGCCAAAGAAAGCCAUUAGAAACUCUUCCCUUCCUCAUGCAGCCCUCAAUUGGUUGCAAUAAUGUCUCAAGUGCGCCACGGGAUCACCAUUCCCAACAUACUUCUCAAACUUGGGCAUUUUAAAAUCGAGGGAAAGUUGACGUCUGGGAACAUGAAAAGAUUUUUAUAGGAAACACUCUUACAACCUCCAAUUCCCUGCAAAUUCCUCAAGGCCUUUUCCAAACUUUUCAAUUUCCAUGUUAUGGCCUUCUUUCCUCUAUUGCAAUAGGUUUCUCCAUAUCAAAUAGAAAUACAUGUGGCUUAGUGUACCCAUAUGGUUCAUUCAUUCUCAAAGUAGGCUCCGGGGCAUAAUACUGACUAUCUGAAACCUUCAAUACUGGAUCACUAGUAGAUCAAAGAAGCACCAUUGUCGGACGCACAAAUAGGUGGGAGCUUUAGGUAGUGGUGGAGCCACGAAAACAGGCACUGCCGGUGGCACCGGCUGAGCAGCAUGCCUUGGUUGGGGAACUGCCAAGGGCACACUAGAUGUGCUAGGAUAAUAUUAUCGAGGAGUGAAUCCUGGAUCGUGUUCCGAUGACUCCACGGGAGCAGAUAAUUGAGCCUGAAAAAGCGGUGGGCAGUUAGAGAUAUUCCUAAGAUCUUUAGGGAGCGGAGAAGGAGGCAUGCCACUAGCCCAUGCUCGGUGCAUAUCUAUUAAUUAUUGCCUGAGUCUUAGAACCUUAUCAUUGCCUUCAGAACUUUCCUUCUGAGGAUCCUGAUCUGGGUCAAUGAACGAAUUUUCAAUCUCCCUUCUAGCCAUGGCGAGCUUUGAUUUUGAUCUAGUGAAGUGCGGGUGACUAGCAAGAGUGCUGCAAGCCAACCACUAUUAUCUGAAAGAAGAUGCUCAUCAAAGACAACACCCGUUAGGAUUAGUUCACACAAUAAGCAUGGGAAUCACAUUGGUAAAAUUGUCCUAGAUUCAUGUUCAUUUUUACCAGUUUUGGAGGGUAACGAGGUCAUUUUAACAUCAUCCCGAUUUCAUCUACACUCAUUUGCUUCUUUCCCCCAAACACACCUCUUUUCUUUCGCCCUUAUUUUCCUCUUUUUUUGCAUGUCUCUGUUCUUUCCCUUUCUUGUCUCAUCAUCCUUUCUUUCUUUUAUUCUCUAGCCAUCUCAUUUCUUUUUAUCAUUCUUUAUGGCUUUUGCUUUUCUUUAAAAAAUAAAAUUGGGGGAAAAUCAAAGAAACAAAAUGAUUAGAUCGAACCCAAAAAUAGGUUGCCUACGUAUCAUGUUGUUCAUGAAUCAGAUCUUGCGUAGUUCGGGAUGCAUAUGCAUAAAUAUCACAUAGUUGAAGGUUUUUUUUUUCACGAAAAAUGAAAACAAACAAACAAAAGAAAGACGUAACAUCAUAACAUUUUGAUGAAAGAAAAAACAAAAACAUACAACGUAAUUAAGACAACCUCGAUACUAAUCAACAAAGACUGAAUGACAUUCUAGACUAACAUGACAACAUACAUAAUGCUCCUAAUAAAGACUCCAAAGUUAAAGCAAACUUGACACCGACUUAACAAAGACACAAUACUACAAAUGGCAGAAAAGUAAAGGACUCAAACUAAACAAAAGAUAGGAAAUGCUCCUUCAAACUGGUUCUCUGCUCGACGACCCUGGGUGAGAUGGACCUGCCUGUGAAGUUCUCUUUCUCCCAUUCAAACUAUGUAGCAUAUCUUGUAAGGACCCUUCAAUAUUUGGGAAAAUGCCUCUGGCACGUAUUCCUGCCUCAUGAGGAGUACAUUUGAAAAUACUAUUCUAAAACCCCUCCAUAGUUUUGAGCAAACCUAAUAACUGAACUCUUAGUGCCUCUACCUAUGCCCCCGCCCCUUCAUCCUGAUGGUCGCCAACUAUGCAUUUAUCUUGUAUCCUCCCUCUAAGCUGUACUGGCAAUGGUAUACUGACACCCGGAGGAAUAGAUUGUAACCGUAUUCUAUAUCCUUGAGUGUAUCCAGGAUUAUAUAAACCCGUCCUAAGAGUAUCUACGCCCUGCCAUGUUGCAUUACUCCAGAAUUGCCCAUACUUGAUCUCACCCCUGGCUUGGUCCCUAAAGUACUCCACAUCCUGUUGAAAGUCCACUAUUAGAGGAACAUCUUGGACUCUACCCAAUUGACGCAUUACCUUAAGAGGAGUGUAUGGUCGGGUACAAUUAAGCCCCAACAAAACUAGAUGGGGUGUAUGCUAGAUCCAACUAAGAUUACUUUCGGUCGGAACCAUAGAUAGGUACAAGACAUUGCUAUCUAUUCUUGAUUCAAGGAACUCAACCCAAGUGUCGACUUCUAUAGGCAAUGAGAAUUUAGCAAAACCCAUUCUAUAUUCUAUGGUUUCCACUCGACUAGGAAGACAACGGUCAAUCACAUUAGAUUUAAGCAAAGAAAGGGCGUGCAAAUGCUCUAUCAUCCAUAGUUGUAACACUAGGUUGCUCCCCUCAAAAAAUCGCAUACCCCCUUUUAUCUCGGUCAAAGCUUUGUAUAUUUCCACCAAGACAACAGGCAUGAUAGUGACCUUGUCUCCUUAUAAUUGUUAAAUAAGGCCAUCGCUACAGAUUGCAACCAAGUAUUAAUACGUCUAUCUUCCAAGGGGAAUACCAAAGUGCCUAACAGAACAAAGGUGAAGACUUCAAGGCGACGUUUCUCCCAAUUCUGCUUAGUUGUAUAAAAUUCAUCCCAAAAACAAUCAAAACCGUCUAGGAGGCCAAAUCGAGCAUACAAGUAAUAGAAAUAGAUCCAAGAUUGGUUAAGGCAACCCAGAUGGUCAUUAACUUUCAACCCAUAAUCGUGGAGAAACCUAUUAGGAGAAUGACACCGCGCUCGAAUUAUCAUCUUUUAAUGUAGGGCAAUUUAAAUAAACCAGAUAUCUCCGCCAGGGUAGGUGUCAUUUCAUAACUCCCAAGCCUAAAAACCAGACAAGUUGGAUCCCAAAAAGUCAAUGCAUCCUCGAUCAAGUUUGGACGGGGCAUGAUAGACAAGAGAGAAGUGAGAGUGCGUAGCUUCUUUGAUAAUUCAUGCCUUUCGGAGUAGUUGAACGUGCCCCACCACUUGAUUAACUCUUUGGGCACUUUAGAAACCAUUAGGACAUAGACCUUGGAGGCAAAUUCAUCCUGUAACAACACACAAGACUUAUGAUUCAAAAAUUGAUAAAAGGGGAGAAGUUCUCGGCCCUCAGGAUUUGGACACGGACAGGUUAUCAUGCAGAAACAAAACACUUUAGACUCAGAUUAAAACAAAUAGUACCACUAAGUGCGAUCAGCCUACUUGGCCAAGAUUAACCGACGACUCUAGACCAGACUAAAAAGAAAAGACCCCAAGCUAGGACUAAGAUAGUGACCAAAAUAAAAUUUUACCAGACCCACCGAGGGUUGUCUACAUAUCCCACCCGAAGGACGAGAAUCAGGUACGCGUAGUUCGUCCAGCUUGGACAAUAAAGGAUUAAAUGACAAACUAAACCCUGAAAUGAAAGACACGACUAAAGACAUACGAAUAAGAUAUUUUUUGUGUUCUUAAUUAGAAACUAACACCAACUAUGAAAGAAAAAUCUUUUUGAUAUUUUCGUUAUAUAAAAAUGUACGAAGCUCCUAUUGAAAGGAAAAAAAUAUGUUUGAAGUUUUCGAAUUGUGAAUACUUACUAAAGAAAUAAAAGAAAAAUCUUUUUAACAUUUUUUAUUUUUGGAAAAGGAGUGCAAAAAGUAAAAAAAAAUAUAUUUUUUUGAAUUGUGAAAAACAAAAGCCAUAAAGAACCCUAAAAACUAUCAAUUUUUUUUUCACUCUUUUAUUUUUCUUCUUUUUUUUCAUAAUUUCUUGCCUACACACUCUGCUUCUAACACAAACUUUUGCCCAAAUCAGUCUGUCAAAUGACCUCGUUACCCUCAAAGAUGCAACAUUUAGCACGUAGGGACGCUUCAGAGGUGAGUCUCCUACAAAGGGUCACGUGGGUCUCGCUAGAUCUCAAUAUGAUGCAAAUAAGCAUGAACUAAAGGCUGAUCUACGUUGGAGUUUACUAACAAGGCUAUUCAGGGGAGCGUAUGGUCGAUAGUGGCUGCGCUAGAUUUCCACCCACACCAUACCAGCCGACGGCUCUCCCUCCUAAAAAUAAGAAUGACUCAACUAUAGGUCGUGUACAAAGCGUGCACUACAGAACUUGUUGCAGAAAGAAUUGACUCGGGUUAUGCAAAUGAUGUCAAAUAUAAAGCGGUAACACAUAAGAAAAAUACUGUAGACACGUAGCAUGUAAACACACCACAAUGAUAAAACAAUAACACAAAAUAACACGAACAAAAUAUUUAUACACCUAUAGUGACAAACUAAGCUGAUACAACUCCAAAAAUAAGCUCGAAUUCUAAAAUGUUCCCCAGCAGAGUCGUCAGAGCUGUCACACCCUUUUUUAACUCCAAAAUAAUUUGUUAUAAGGUUUCGAAAGAAUUUUUAUUAUUAACGUGACAAAAUAAAUAUUUGUUUCGAAAAAAGAUUAUUUUUAUAUUCAAAACUCAGAGUCGCCACUUGACAUAAUACGGUGUGCCAAGUCACCUUUGGAAAAUCCUUUUUAAAAUGAUUUGACUCUUUAAACUGGUUUGCAAAUAGAGAUUCCGGCUAAGGAAUUAUGUUGACGGAGGGAAAGAUGUUAGGCACCCCCCGAUCCCGUGGAUCGUCCACGGUCGCUUGGUAGAACGCAUCGGUUAAUUUGACACUACGAAUGUACAAACCACAAAGGAGCACAUAAAGCAAUCAAACAAACAAACCAAAUAAAACGAAUAAAAGUAUAGUGUUCAGUCCAAUUAUACAGUUCCAAAAUAAAAAUGCAAAAAUAAAUCCUAUCUAACCUAUACUAAUCCUAACUACGCACCCAGGCUUUACCCGAUGCCUCGGGCCUUCCUCACGAAUGUCUUCCAACAAUAUAGUACGUCGGGGCAUUCCCCGGUGAAUAAAUACAAUGUGUCUCGGGGCAUUCCCCGACUAAAUGAUACAUUCGAUCCAAAAUCAAUAAAACCAAACCAUUCAACACACAUUUCAAGCAUUCAAUAAUUCAACGAGCAAAACACUUAUUCCUAAAUAUUUGCCUACCCCAACUUACUUUUAGCUAUUCAUUCGAUGGCCUAAUCAUGAUGCUAUCCAAUUCAACUAUAUUCAGUAAUGAAUCAAAAUAAACAACCUUUGACUUAUUCGAUUAUCAAUUUUCGAUCCCGACCACCAAAUUCAUUCUUAAUGAUUAAACCAAUUCUAUACACGUUUCAUCAAUCAAGUUUUCAACUCCAAAUUCAACAUCGAACAAACAAACAACGAGGAUUCGAAUAUGCUCAAACACAAAUCAUUUGUAAUCACAGAAAAAAAAAGAAUUUAGAAUUGGACCUUAAAUAGCUUUUGAUUGACUUAAUAAAAGAAAUAAGAGCCCGUCCAAGAACCUCGAAGAACGCCAACGAAUGCCCAAUCCUCUGAAUCAAUCGAGAAACAAUCCAAGAACGCAAUAAACUCCAAAUUUCACUCCGAACCAAAUAUAUCUACAAGUGAAAUCGAUGAACAAAGCUAGACCAAACACUUAAGUAUCACCCAAAUCACCAAAAUCAGCCAAGAAUGACGAACAACCAAACCAGAAUUUCAAUCAACAAAAGAAAGAAAAUGGAAGAACCGAACCAACGAGACUAAGUUUUCGGUGAGCUGAGACAACGGCAGAAGUCUUAAACUCUAGAAAUCUAACAUUUUCUGGGGAGAUUUCUUCUUUAAAAGAAGAGAGAAAAAAAUGAGCAGAUUUGGGAGUUUUGAGGCCGGUUUAUACGAACGAUGAACGGAGGAGAUGAUUCCGGUGAAGCUACAGCAGAAGCAGGAAUAGUAACCUGAAACCUCCCUUUUCUGUUAUCGGAUGGAGAUAUAUAUGGGUAUGUGUAUGUAAAUAUGGAGUUGAAUGGAGGUUGGGGGGUGAGGGGGUCUGUAUGUUUAUCUCCAAGAGCAAAAAACAAAUCCUUCUUUUUCUUAGUGAGUAUUAGUGUAUAGCUAUGGUGAGGUAUGAAUCAAUUCAAUCCAAAAAAUAAAUGACUAGCAUUUGUAUGUUUUCAUGGGUGGGUCUUGUGAAUGGAGAGUUUUUUUUUUAGGAAGUUUGUUAGAGAAAAAAAUAAAAACGUGGCAAAUAGGGCACAAAUAGGGCAUUCAACUAUUCAAAAUCUGAACAAAUAUGACCUCUGAUUUUGCAACCCCAUGCGUGAGUUUCACUCACGCCUAUGUGGAAAGGUAAUCCAAUCACAUGGUGUCAUAUCGUUAAAAGGGAUGACUUGGAGGGAUAUUUGUGCAGUUUUGAAUAGUUAAAGGUCAUAUUUUUACACUGUCAAAGUUUUGAUUUUUGUGUUAAAAAAGCAUCGUUUUUAUUAUUAUUAUUAUUAUUAUUUCUAUAGCUGCAACACCUAAAUUUUUUUAAUUAAAAAAUAGAACCCGCGCAGUAGGUUGAAGGAAACGCCCUAGAAGAGCAAAUAACACCACUGGGCUAUCUAAGUGUCUUGUUUCAUGUGGUUCAACAUUAAUAUACGUACAUAAAUAUAGAUUUUCUACCUUAUAUAUAUAUAACGUAAUUUUUUUACCGAGGGGUUCGAGUGAACCUCAUGGCAACCACGUAGGUCCUCCCCUGCAUUAAAUUAAUAUUGUUUUAAUAACGUUAAUUUAAUAACAUUGUAAUAACAUUAAUUUAAUAUACUACUACUACUAUCCUUAAUAACGUUAAUUUAAUAAUGUUUUAUUAAAACUAUAAUUUUUGUAUUAUUAGUAUAGUUUCAUCUAUAAUUUACUAUUUAAAUAAAUUAUAUUUAGACAUAUUAUAUAAUUUAAAUUCUCCCUCUGCUUCAUAAUAUAUAUACAUAUCCGCGCGAUUUUUUCAUAUGAGGCUGACCCACCUAAUUAAUAAAUAUUCAAUAUUGCUCUUUUUCUGCAAUGACAAAAGAAAUUAGAUACCAUUUUCAUCUUUGAGCCAAAAAUAAUUAAAAAAUAAUAGUGAAAAGUCAUUUAAAGGUCAUAUUUUGCACUGUCAAAGUUUAAGGUCAUAUUUAUGUAUUAUGCCCUUAGAUUUUAAGCUGGACGCACCCAGUUUUGCGUGUUGGACACGCGUUUUUUCACGUAGGAUUGGAGGUCAUAUUUGUGUAGUUUUGAAUAGUUAAAGGUCAUAUUUUGCACUGUCAAAGUUUAAGGUCAAAGUUAUAAUUUGGUGUCAAGUUUAGGGUCAUUUUUAUGUAUUAACUUAGCCCAUUUUAAGUAUCUUCUUAAUUUUGUUGCACUAUUAUGCACAAAAGUUAUUUAAGAACCGAUUUUAAGUAAUUUCAUGAUUUUUUUGACAUUGUUGAUGCACAUAGGUUUAUUAAGCAUCGGUUUUAAGUAAUUACUAUUAUUUCAACAAUAUAUUCAGGUAUGCAAAAUCUGUAUAGAAGAGCAACAACUUCAUCUAGUUCAAGUUUAUAAACAAGAACACAAUGAAGUAUAUCAAUACCCUCAACACAAGAUCAAAUUGAUAUUUCCAAGAGGUGUAUUUCUUUUUCCAGAAAUAAUAGAUGAAGUACAAAUGAAUAAGGCCAAGUCAUCUGAAUUCACGGAAUUUCCUUAAGGAAAUAACUCCCCUCACUAUACCUGAGGUUGUGGAAUUUUUCCUCCCAGGAUAAAAUGACCUUCAAUCCGACUAUACCGGUACCUCAAAUAGUCGGAUUCUAUGAACGCACUGAACGAUUUAAUGAUCACACAGAAUAGUUUUUUCAAGAGAAGAUGAAGAGUUUAUAAUUUGAAAUUUCUGUAAUUUUUAUAUCAAACCUGUGGAUGAACAAUAGGUUAUUUAUAGCCACAAGAUGCCUCUUUAGAAAGGAGGCAAUGGUUCACUCCAAAGGUUGCACCUUUGUUGUAAGUUCGUGUCUGUUCAUCAAAGAUUGCAUCCUUUCCUGAAUAGUCAUAUCUUUUUAUGAAUCAGUGUAUCUUUUACUGAAUGGUUGCAUCUGUUUGUUCAACCAGUGCAUCAAUUCAGUUACAAAAUAGAAAACAAUUCAUCAUUUCUAAAGCAAUGCAACAUUUCCGAAGUAGUGCAACUGUUCUGCAUCACUGUUCACAUAAAACAGUAGCAUCAGUUCCUGCGUCACUGUUACUGCAUGCAUAUAUACACACGUAAAUGGAGGAUUAAACACAAAAAAUAUUUACUGCAUUUUCUCUUGGCAUUGUUCGGAAUUCAAAUAAAGUUUGUCCAAAAAGAUAGAUCUCAUCGAUCGAUCAUUUGAGGUAGUGAGGGAAGUGGUGAGAUGCCUAGGGGUGAGGUGGGGUAGGGGUGGGGCAGUGAGGUGGAUUAGUUUGAUUGAAUAGGUUGGUAGGAUAAGAUAAAAUUAGAGGUUAUUGUUUUGUUAUUUUAUGGAGGAAUUAUCACACAGGUUAGGGUGCGUGGUAAAACGGGAUAAGAUAAUAAAAAUAAUUUUUGACAGGAUAAAAUUAAGUGUCUACACAUGUCUACUCCUAGCCCGCAAGAGUAUAAACUCUGUACGGCUAAAAAAAAUGUUCGCUAGGUUAAAAACCUCGAAAAAGGCACCUAGGCAAAAGUUAGGACGCAAAAAAAAAAAACUCACCCCAGAACUACGUUGUGACUUGAUUCUUUUCAUUGAGGUACGUAGGCGCUUGGAAUUUAUUUUGUGUUUAGUUUCAUGAGUGUCAAAAAAAUACAUGUUCCUCCUCAUAGAAAAAAUUCAAUCUUCAAAAGACUUUUAACAUCAUCAAUCUUCAGACUUGCACCCAAGUGUUGGUGACUCAUUGGGGGAAAAUCCCUAUGAAGUAUAAGCUUCUUUGACAUAAAUUGAAGUCUUUUGAUUCACCAAGUCUUCAUGUUGGAGCUUUCAAGUUACCAUAUUGGAGCCUGCAAAUUCACAAAAUCUGAUAGUUGAAGUCUUUAAAUGACUUAUGCAUAAAAGUUGAAGUCUUUAAAUUCACUAAGUCUUCAUGUUGGAGCUUUCAAGUUACCAUAUUGGAGCCUACAAGUUCACAAAGUCUGAUAGUUGAAGUCUUCAAAUGACCUAUGCAUAUAAGUUGAAGUCUUCAAAUUUACUAAGUCUUUAUGUUGGAGAUUUCAACUUCAUCAUAUUGAAACAUGCGAGUUCACAAAGUCUACAAGUUGAAGUCUUCAGAUGCUCUGCGACUAUAAGUUGAAGUGUUCAAGUCUACCAUAUUGAAGCUUUCAGAGUUUGAAAGUUGGAGUCAUCGGGUUCUUUGAUCUAUAAGUUGAAGUCUUUAAAUCCUUCAAACCUUCUUGAGUUUACCUUCCAAUUUUCAUGAAAUUACCUUUUCUUAUGGCGGGGAUGAGUAUCCAUCCCUGUGCGCCAUAAGAUUACCAUAAGGUUACCUUUUCUUAUGGUAGGGACGAAUAAGCCGUCCCUAUGCGCCGUAAGAUUACCACAUAGUUACCUUUUCUUAUGGCGGGGACGAGUAGUCAUCCCAAUGCGACAUAAGACUACCUUGAAGUUACCUUUACCCUUUACCUUUAUCAUAAGACUACCGUGAAGUUACUUUUACCCUUUACCUUUACCAUAAGACUACCAUGAAGUUACCUUUUACCUUUACCAUAAGACUACCAUGAAGUUACCUUUUACCUUUACCAUAAGACUACCAUGAAGUUACCUUUUACAUUUACCAUAAGACUACGAUGAAGUUACCUUUUACCUUUACCAUAAGAAUACCAUGAAGUUAACUUUUACCUUUGCCAUAAGACUACUAUGAAAUUACCUAUUACCUUUGCCAUAAGAUUCUCACGAAGUUACAUUUAUUAUGGCAGGGAAGAGUAGCCAUCCCUAUGCGGUGCAAGAUUACCAUAAAGUUACCUUUUCUUAUGGCGGAAACGAAUAGUCGUCCCUAUGAGCCGUAAGAUUACCUUCUAGGAUUACCUUACUUAUGGUAGGAAAGGAUAUCUAUCCCUUUACGUCGUAAGACUAUAUCCUUUACCUAAAAGGCAUUAUCUUGAGAAAAAUCUUGUAGUUCACCUAAAAAAGAAAAAGAAGAAAGAAAAAGGGGAACGAAAAAAAAAAAAAGAAGAAGAAGGAAUGCUUACCUAAAUAUGGCGAGUAUCUCGAUCGGUAAAGAUGGAUCAAAUUACACCCUUGAGUUUGCUCGCCUACCAAAAGUGUUGUAAAUAUUAGAGUUCUCUUUCCAAAAAUAAAAAGGAAACUCACAAUUUCAACACUCCCAUGCCGAGAUAUGAUUUGUCUUGUGAAGCCACGCAAACCUGAAAUUGAAAACAUAUCAGCUGGCAGAGGCAAAUUCAAAAAAUUAUAUAGGAUAAUUCUGAAGGUUUUAAAUCAUGAAUUUUGGACAUGUUAUAUAUUUUCGAAUCUAGUUUCUAAAAAAUCAAGCGGUUUAUGAUUUUAUUGGUCCAACUUUGAGAUAUGAAAGUUUCAGUGAAGACGCGCAGAUCUGAAAUUUUCAGCAUGGCAAAAUUUAAAGUCAACGUCAAAAUUUUGUCUAAAAUAAUGCUGAAGGUAUUAAAUCAUGAAUUUCAGAUAUGUUAUAUAUAUUUUUCAUAAAAAGUUGGUAGCAAUCUACUAUAAUCAGUUAAAUGACCAAUUUUGCAAAACACCUUUACACAAUCAAUGUGCAUAACUUAAAUCCUUCAUAUGUAAUUUCCUUCAGUUUAAUAAUAUGAAGUAAGAACUACGGAAAUAGGCUCACCAAAAUUUGGUAAAAUGUAUUUCAUCGAACAAGUAACCAAUAAGGAGUAUAAAUGUAAACUGUAUAACAAUAAAAACACACCCAACGUAAUCCCGUAAGCGGGUUUUGAGGAGAAUGGUGUGUACACAACUUUACCUCUACUUUAUGAAGAUGGAAAAGUUGUUUCCAAUGGAUUCUCGGCCCAAGUAAAGUAAUAUAGCUAUAAACUGUAUUGAUAAUAAUUAGUUGAGGAAAAAAAGAAUUGGCUUAAGAUUAUUUCAACCAAAUAUAGAUCUAAUCAUACUACUACUUAUUUUUUCCCCUGUUAUUCCUCUGCCGGCCAUAAAAUGGAAAUCCAAAAUAGACAUAUGACUUACCAAUUCUGUUGAUGCCUUCUACGCUGAGGUGAAAUAUCAGGUGAUACAUAAACAAUUUGAUCCAAAAUUGUGCGAACUUUAACAUGAUAUGAUAUUAUCUGCUUCGGGUCAAACACACAUGAAUAUUUUUAAAAUGCCUCACAUAAUUAAGAAUAUUCAACACCUAAUAAGUAAGGUACUUUUCUUUUAAAUUAUCAAUCUGAAAUUUUAUUCACACACCAAACCAAAAUAUAUACCACUCUAUGUGAAACAAUUCAAUACAGGUGUUACAAACUUGAUUUUCUUCUAAAGUUAUGAUAUUUUUUUAAAAAAUUUAAAAGUUGUGAGAAAGAAAGCAGCAAAUUGUUACUAUUUUUUUUAUUUUUUUUUAAAAAUAUCCCAUCUGUCUGUAUGUAAACUUUGAGAUAAGGACGAUUGAGUGUGACGUCAGGGGUUAAAAUUCUUGCGAUCAUCCAUUUUGAAAUGUCAAGAACCACAUAAUCCAAUGAUUACCAUUCCUCAAAGAUGAGGUUUGCGAGCUAUUUUUGUCGGUUAGUUUGGAAAAAGAUGUGAAGCCUUAUCACUAUAUAGAUAGAGGGGUUGCUACAGAGCCAACAACCCUCUUGAAAUUAAAGGUUAAGGAAAGCAUAGCAGUAGCUUUAAGCUAAGCACUUAAUUUUCAGCAAUGGCUUCUUCAGUGAUGUCCACAGCAACUGUUGCCACCGGCGCCAAUGCUGCACAAGCCAGCAUGAUUGCAUCCUUCAAUGGCCUUAAAUCCGCAGCCUCUUUCCCUGUUACAAGAAAGCAAGACCUUGACAUCACCUCCAUUGCUAGCAAUGGUGGAAGAGUCCAAUGCAUGCUGGUUCGUAAUAUUGGAUUUAACUUAUAUAUACUGACACAGUACAAGGAAUUUAAAACUAAUUGUAGUAGGUUAUCUGCCUUAAAUUUUUAAUUGUCAAGUUACUAAUCUCAG
rnacentral:lncRNA from 1 species